UCAGAUUUAAAGAAUAAGAAAGAAAUAUGGAGAUGCAUACAUGUUGGAUUGCUAUGCGUUCAAGAAUAUGCUAAAGAUAGACCCACUAUGUCUACUAUUGUUUCAAUGCUUAACAGUGAGAUUUCAGAUCUUAACACUCCAAAACAACCUGCUUUCACUCAAGCACUAUUAAUUAGCGAUGAUUUUGAAGAUUGUGUUUCAUUUAAUGAUGUAACUCUGACGGGCUUUGAUGGUCGAUAAAGAUACAAAUUAAUUAUUUGUAGUGUUUACAAUUAAAGUUCAAGCAGUAAAAUUUUUUUUUAUAUUAUGUUUUGAUAUGUUUUUAUCAUUUUAUUUUGAUCAUAAUUUGUCAUUUUAUUUUUUUCAUUCUAGAGUGAAUUUACCAUUAUAUUUAAACAUGGUAGCUUUGUCCCAAACUUGAAAAUUCGAUUUUAUCAAAUCCAAACUUAAACUUGACCUAACUUGAAUUGAAUAUAAAAAAUUAAGAAUUUGAACCCGUUCACCUUAAACUCAAAAAUGAUCUAAAACCUAAAAUGAUUUUAAUUUAAAGUGACCAAAUUCAAAAUUUCUUAAAUAAACUCGAAAUGUUCAGAGCAUAAUAUGACCUAACUUGAAAAACCCAACUUACAAAUCCACUUGAACCCAAAAUAGCUUCAACCUUAAACUAAUUCAAAUUCAAAAUUACUCAAAUUUUAAAAUUUGAAUUUAGUUCAUUCAAAACCAGUCCAAAAUAAAUUCAGUUAUACUUUAUGUCACCAUUUGUGAUGAUUAUCACUUUUGUUUAUUGAAUUUUGCGGGGUAAAAAAGCUCAUGAAGUUUCUAAAAAAAUUAUUAAGUCAUUCGACAAAAAAUGCAUUCAAUUUAAUCAAUGAAAUCCGUCCUUGAUAAUUACUUUUGUUAAAAGUUGGUGAUGUGGUAGUUAAUAAUUGUCAAAUCAUUCAUUUUCUUUCAAGCGCAGUCCAAAGUAGUAGAUAAUGUGUCAACUUAAUGACAUGGGAAUUGGGGAAUAAAUUUAAAGAGAUUAUUAAUUAAACUAUUAAAUGUAAUUAAUUAAAGUUAAUGAUAGUUGUCAAAUCAUUCGUUUUCUUCCAAGUGGCAAGCAUGACCGAUCGGUACAUCCAAACCUAAUCAUAAAGAAUAAAAUAAUAGCACCAAAUUUUGAUGGGUGUCAUCCACCAAAAAUAAAAUAUCUAUGCCUAAAAUUGAAAUCAAAUUUAAAUGUAGGAAGUAAGUUCAAUCCCAUAAAGACUGAUCUAAUUGAAUUUGGAUUUUGUUAUAACUAGAAUGUGUCGUAGGUAGUUUUUAUUUCCGCAACUCAUGCUAAUAUGUAUGAAACAGAAAGGGGAUUAAAUUGAAAUAUAAAAUAAAUAAUAAGAAAAUAAAUAUAGUACAAAGAUUAAACAUUUCUAUCUUUCAACAUUAGACCUCAAAGUUUUUAUCUUUUACAAUUAGAUUCCUAACAACUAGACCUGUUCAUGAGUCGAGUCACCCAGCCUGGCCCUAAAAGUGGGAGAGUUUGAGCAAAAUAUAGACCUAAAAAAUAGGUUUGGAUAAAAAAUAAGGCCCGUUUAAAAAAUAGGUUUGGCUUUGAGUAAAGCAUUUUUUGCCUAGGUCUGGCCCGGCCCGAAUUCACAAAAGGACAAAAAAUCUACUAAUUUUUGUUGUUUUAAUGCUAUUUUCUUGUUAUUUUCUCCCUAUUUUGCUACCAUUUCACUAUUAUGUUACUAUUAUUUUGUUGUUAUUAUUUGAAUAUUGUAUAACACUUGUUUUAUCAUUACUUUUGUUAUUAUUUUAAAGGCAUUUACUUGUUAAGUUGCAUUUAUCUUAGUGUUAUUUAAGUAUAUAUACAUAUUUUUUAAAGUUUAUUUUAAUGUUUUAGUAUUUUGAUAUAUUAUAUAUUUAAAAUUAUAUAAAAAUAAUAUAAAAAUUAAUAUGGGUGGGUCAGACCUGAGUUUUAGUAUUUUUAUCCGAAUCGGGUCUAGAUAAAAUUUUAGGCCCAUUUUUUGGGCCGAGCUCAGGCCUAGCAAAUGGGCCUAUUUUUUUUACUUGACCCAAACUCGGUCUGGCUUAGCCCAUGAGCACCUCUACUACCAACAUAUAUUUACUCAAACUUAUCCAAGCUUGAAUUAAUAUCUCUUAGCACAUUUUCUCGAUUUUCACAUUAUAGAUUUAACUAACAUUAAACAUCCUAACUCAAUUUUGAUAUGGGGGUGAGCAUUUGAUUGAAUCAAGUGAAAAAAUUUUGAGUUUAUGAGUCCUAUUUUAUCAUCCUAACUCAAUUUGAAUUUUUUUUUCGAAUUGAGUCGAGUGAAAUAAAAUUCGACCCAAGUCGAAUCAAAUCGAAUAGAGUGAAAUUGUUCAAGUUAAAUUAAAAAAAUAAAAAUAAAAAUAAAAAUAAAAAUAUUAUUACAGUAUGACUAAUUCCAUAUUAGAGCACAUAAAUUUGAAAUAUUUUUCAAAGCAAAAAAAAAAAAAAAACUUGAGUAUGAUAAAUUUGAAUCAUUACUUAAGUCUCCAACAUUAUUGUUUUAGAAAUUAUUUAAAAUAUUAACUCUUUUUAUAUAUUUUUAAGAAUUUCUAUAAUUUCUUUAAAAAUAUAUAAUUUCUGAAAUUUUUAUAAAUAUUUUGAAUUAUUUUGAGAGAGAGACCAAUUUGCUUAUUUUUAAAGUUGUCAGGAACCAAAAUGAUGUUUAUACCAAUCUGUUAUUUGAAUUAUUCGAGGUAUACAAAUUGUGAAAUUCAACUCGACUUGAACUUGAAAUCCAAAUUUAGUUAUUCGCGUUGACUUGAAUAAUUUAAAUAACUCAAAAUUAAAAAAAAUCGAUUUUUUUUCAGUCGAAUCGAAUUUUACUCACCACUAAAAAGAUACAAAAAAUAAAUCAUAACUUGAUCCACGAACAUGUAUUUAAAUAGUAGCAGCAAUGUAAAAUUUAGACUCUUUUCAUUGUUCAAUAUUUAUUUCAAUUAAUCGACAUAACAUCAGUUACAUCUACAAUCACUAAGGUAGAAAACACAACAAUAAUUGUAGUUUAGAUUCACUAUUAUAGGAAUUACUGUUAAUCUUGGAGGUCUCCAUGUUUAAUUUUUAUAUAAUAUAUCCCGUUGCACCCAAAAAGGAAGCAUUCCUCCCCUCCUUUGGAUUUUCUAAUACAUGUUUAAUCACUAUUAGUAAGUUAAUUUUAAAACUUUCAUAUUUAAUAGAUAGAUUUUACAUAUAUCUCACACAUUUAAAUGGCGAUAAUCAUGUAGAAUGAUAAAAGAAAACUGCUCAAAUGUAUGUUGGAUGCUAACGUAUUGUUAUAUACAAGUAAGAAAAUGGAGUAACAGAAAAUAACAAAAAAAUAAACUACUAACUGACUAACAAGAAAUUAAUUUAAAACUAUAUGACUAACAGCCCCUCUCAAGCUGGAGAGUGAAUGGGAAACAAUCCCAACUUGGACAAAAUAAGCUGGAAGGGAACAUCAGUCAGAGCUUUGGUGAAGAUGUCAGCAAGCUGAUCCUUGGAAGAACACGGAAGCAAUUUAACAACACCGAACAACACUUUUUCACGAACAAGAUGACAGUCGAUCUCAAUGUGUUUAGUACGUUCAUGAAACGUAGGGUUUGCAGCAAUUUGAAGAGCAGAAUUGUUGUUGCAAAACAAAGCAGUAGGCCCAGAAAUAGACAUAUGCAAGUCGGACAGAAGAAAUCGAAGCCACUUGAUUUCACAAACAGUAGAUGCAAGAGCCCUAUAUUCUGCUUCUGAGGAAGAGCGAGACACAGUGCUUUGCUUCUUGGCUUUCCAACUAACAAGGGAAUCCCCAUAAAAUAGGCAGUAACCAGUCACGGAGCGACGUGUUAGAGGACAACCAGCCCAAUAAGAGUCACUAAAUGCCUUCAGUGUAGACGAAGAAGAAGCAGAAAAGAAAAGACCAAAGUCAAUGUAGCCUUUCAAGUAGCGAAGGAUGCGAUGGGCAGCUUGAAGGUGAGUGACUGUAGGUCGAUCCAAGAAUUGACUUAACCGUUGAACAGCAAAAGCAAGAUCAGGUCUAGUAGAAACCAAAUACAAUAGACGUCCAAUAAGUUUUCUGAAAAUAGUGUUAUCAGGAAGCAAUUCGGCAGAAGCAUCACGAGGGAUUUUGGUCACCAUGGGAGUUGUAACAGGCUUGCACUCGGAGAAACCAAAAUCAGUCAGGAGAUCGAGAGCAUAUUUCUGCUGACAAAGAUAAAUACUAGCAGAACUACGAGCAACUUCAAGGCCAAGAAAAUACUUGAGAUCUCCCAAGUCUUUGAUGCUAAAGGCAGAAUGCAAGAAGGCUUUUACGCAUGUUAUUUCUUCCAAAAGAUCACCGACUAGAAUAACAUCAUCAACAUAAACUAAUAAGGCAGUAAAGGAAAUUUCAUCCUUUUUAACAAACAAAGAAAAAUCUGAACUAGAUUGAACGUAACCAAUUGAAGUGGGAGCUGCAGUAAGUUUGGCAAACCAUUGUCGACUUGCCUGCUUGAGACCAUAUAAUGACUUUUGCAACUUACAAACCUUAUGGGAAGUAGAGGGAGCAAAACCAGGAGGCAAAUGCAUGUAAACCUCUUCAGUCAAAUCGCCAUGCAAAAACGCAUUGUUAACAUCAAGCUGGUGCAAAAACCAGUUUUUGGAAGCAGCAAUAGCAAGCAAUAAUCGAACAAUAGUAAUCUUGGCCACAGGGGAAAAGGUAUCAAAAUAAUCAACACCCUCAGUUUGUGUGAACCCUUUUGCAACCAAACGAGCCUUGUAACGCUCAAUAGAACCAUCAGCUCGAUAUUUCACACGAUAGACCCAUUUGCAACCAAUUGCAAUCUUGCCUGGAGGUAAGUCCAUAAUGAUCCAGGUGUUAUUUUGUUCAAGAGCAGAAAUUUCAGCUUGCAUUGCUUCUUGCCAAUGGGGAAUUUUGCUAGCUUGUAAAUAGGUUGUAGGUAUGGGAGAAGCAUUGAUAGCAAGAGUAAAAGGUGUGGGGCAGCGAAGAUGAUUGGCAACAGCUUUGCUGGAAAAGCAGUGAUACUGGUCUAAAUAUGAAGGAGGUUUCCUAAGACGAGGUGGCCUAGAGGGUUGUAAAGGAACGGGAGGUAAAGGUGGUGAUUGAAGUGGCAAAUCAUAGGUAAUAGUGGGGUCAAAGGUUAACUGUAGGAUGAAAGAGGAAGAAGAUGGUUGAUGAGAACAAGGAAAAACAGACUCAUGGAAAUGGACAUUUCUAGAGAUAAAAAUGGCAUGAGUUGAUAGGUCAAAAAGAAUAUAGCCUUUGACAUGGGGUGGAAAACCAAGAAAGACACAUUCACGUGCUCGAGGAUCCAACUUAUGACGAUGAGCAGUGUGAGUGGUUGCAAAGCAAAGACAACCAAAGACACGGAGGUGUUGAAAAGAUGGCUUAGUUUGGUAUAAUUUGUCAAAAGGAGUAAGGUUUGUCAAAAGGGGAGUAGGGGUACGAUUAAUAAGAAAAACAGCAUGAAGAACAACAUGUCCCCAAAAAUGCUUGGACAGAGAGGAAUGAAACAAGAGAGCCCGUGCAACAUUGAGAAUAUGUUGGUGCUUACGUUCUACAAGAUCGUUUUGUUGUGGGGUUUCAACACAUGUAGUUUGAUGAAUUAUGCCUUUGGAAGCAUAAAAAGCUGAAAUGGCAAACUCACAACCAUUGUCAGAUCGAAUGACUUGAAUUUUAGAUAUUAAUAAAUGAAAAAAUGGAACGGAUAUUAACCCAUAUACACAUCGAAAACGCUCUUCCAUUUCUAACCAAUUUCCAUCAAUGCAUUGGAUUAUAUGACUACUUAAAUUUUACUUUGAAGUUAAAUUUGUAAUAUUUCAAAUAAUUGGUUUAAUACAUUAUAAUGUUGUACUAAUUUUAUAUAUUUAUACAAAUUUUAUUUAACAAAUUGAAUUUUAGUUUAGUAAUAUAAUUUUUUCACAUUAAGUUUUCAAUUAAUUUGAUAUAUAUGUUAUUUGAGAAUACAAUUUUAUAUAUUUUUAAUGGUUGAAUUUUUUUAUAUUAAACAAAUAAAUAUACUUUUUAACAUAUUCCAAUUUUGAUGUAAGUUACAUAUAACAUGAAAUUAAACAAAUAUAGAUCUUAUAAAAAGAAAAACUAAGGAUCAAUAUUUUCCUACAAAUGAUCAAUAUGCAUGGUGUUACUUUCCCUUUUUUGUUUGAGAUCAUUUGGUGUUUAGUUUCAAUUAAAUUUAGAAUUUUUGGUCGGGUUUCAAUUAAAUUUAGGUCUCAACACUAUAUUCUAUAUCCACAAAAUUAAACUUGAAAUCUUAGUUAAGGAACAUUGAACUCAGGGUGGUGCCAAGGAUGCUAACAAAGGUUUCGUUCGCCUGCUUUUCCCUCCCCAAAAAAGGAAAUCUCACUUUUGGCCUUUUAAAGUUUAAAGAAUUUUAAAGGGUAAAUUACACCCAUGGUCACUUUUGUUUACUUCAGAUUACGUUUUAGUCACUUAUGUUUGAAAUGUUACGUUUUAGUCACUUAUGUUAUUGUGUUGUAACAUUUUAGUCAUUGAGCCAUUAAUUGUCGUUAACGGUAUAACGGUAAGCUAAUGUGGCGCAUUAAAUCAUCAUUUUAAACAAAAAGAUUACGUUAAAUUAUACAAUAGGUCCCCAUAUUUUUUUCAUUUUGAGCAAUUUAAUUUUUUUUCUUUUAUGUUCUUUUAACUUUCUUUUUUUUUUCAUUAUUUUCCAUUCUCUUCUGCUUCUCCCUCUAUUUUCCUACCUUCUCCAUUUCUUUCAAUAUAUUAGGAAGUCGAAUUGGCAGUGAAGAAAAAAACAUGGUAUGGAUUUAUGGGUUUUGGUUAUAGGCAAUGAUGGUUUUCGACUUCCUACUUAUUUCUUCACUGCCAAUUCGACUUCUUGAUAUGUUAAAGGAAAUGGAGAAUGUAAGAAAAUAGAGGGAGAAGCAUAAGAUAAUGGAAAAUAAAUAAAUAAAAAUUAAAGAACAUAAAAAAUUAAAUUACUCAAAAUUAAAAAAUAUGGGGAUCGAUUGUAUAAUUUACCCUAAAAUUUUUGUUUGAAAUGAUGAUUUAACGUGUCACGUCAACUUGCUAUUACACCGUUAGUGACAAUUAAUAGCUCAGUGACUAAAAUGUUACAACACGAUAACAUAAGUGACAAAAACGUAACAUUUCAAACAUAAGUGACUAAAGUGUAACCUAAGGUAAACAAAAGUGACCAUGGGUGUAGUUUACCCAAUUUUAAAUUAAUAUAUAGUAAAUUUAUACUUUAACUUCCAAAAAUAUUAAAAUUUUGAUUUAGUCCUUUAAAAUUAUAAGAUAUAAGUUAUUAAAAUGGUAAAAUUACAUUUUUAUCUCUCACAAAAAUAUAUAACUUAAUUCCAACCCCUAGAAAAAUUUUCUGACUUUCCCCCUAAUUAAACUUCUUAUCACUCAGUCCAACAUCUGUAGCUAAACAAAUAAUCUUAUUUGUAAGAUCUGUAUAACAAAGGGAUAAAUAUCAAAACUACACAUAAAAUUUGAUCUAAUAUGCAAUUUGAUAUAUGAACUUUGAUUUGAUGCAAUUAUACACAUCAAACAUGGAUUAUAAUUCAAAUGUGUAUAUAAAACAUUUAAAGAAAUAAAUACAUUACUUUAUUUUUUAUAUUAGAUAAAUUAAAUUAUUUAUGUAUGUAAUAAAAAAUACAAAAUUAUAUUAUAUCAAUAAUUAUAUCAAUAAUUUAUAAAAUUAAAAUAAAAAAGUUUUCAUAUAUAAAAUCAUAAAUUUUUAGAUUUAUCCGUAUAGCAAACAACUCCCAAGUUGUGGGACAUAUAAGCCAUGCAUGCGUCAUAUCAAACGUACAAAAAACUUCUAAAGAUAGGGAAAUACUAAGUCAAUGUGUCUUUGUGCUGAAAGAAUGUUGAAUUCAAUUAUAAUUCUACAAAUUAUGCACUUGUAAGUCCAUAAUAUAAAUAAAUGAACAUGAAAUUACUUUAUCAUGUCAUAUUCCAUGAUUUGCUGACAGGAUCUUUAUCGUCCACCUUCUUUUCUUGGCAAAUUAAGAAAGACCAACUUAAGCUCCAAGCAAGUCUAGUGGGUCCUUCUGUCUAAUACUUUAAAUUAUACAUUUAAUUGAUUUUAGUAGUUAAAUUUUAUUAUUAGAUUGAUUUUAUGUGUAAGUUGCAACUCUAUUCUUUAGAUUGAUUUUUUUUAAUCCUUAAAAUUUUUGGAUUUUAAAAUUCAAUCCUAACUCAAACGACAGUAGUUAAAUUCAUCAAGUACUAUAAUACCGUUUUUGUGAGUAUUAUUUGUAAAUAAAAAGUUAAUAUAAUAUCACACAUGAUAAUAUAUUUGUUGUAUAAUAUUUUAAAAAUAAUAAAUCUAACUGCUAUUAUUUGAGUUACACAUAAUUUAAAGAAUUUAAUUAUUUUAUAAAUCAAAAUAUAGUAUCAGUGCCCCUAAUCCUAUGAUAAAAAAAAUUAUAUUAAAAUGAAGUCUUAGGUCCAGAAUUCAAUUUUUUGGACAUCCUAUACCCUGAUUGUAUUUGUGUGAACAUGGUGGCACAUGAGUUGAUUUUUUGGUACAACAAUGAAAGAAAGAGCCAAGAAAGAUAUAGAAAAUUAAGAGUAAUUGACACUUCCAGAAAAUUUCCAUAAGUCAAAAUGAGAUUACGUAUAUACAAAAAAAAAAAUUGAGAUGUAGAUCACUAGAUGUAAACAUUUGAGGCUGCCAUGAAACAUCAUUACACCAUAUCAAUAUCAGACCCUAAGAAAGAGUCAAUUUCUGUAGAAGGUCCCUACCCUAUAUAUAUUUUGUGAAUUUAGUCCUUUCAUAUAAUUCGGUAUUUUUAAUCUCUCCUCGUUUUAGAAAUUACAAAUUCAAUUGAUAAAGAUGGACACAAAAAUUGGUUAUACAAAUCAAAAAACUUUUUUGCAUUUGAAACUUCACCCAAAAUCUAAUUUAUUAUCAAUAUGCAGUGUAAGAAGUGACUAAGACUCAGAUACCAUAAUGAGAUACACGAAUGUAAUCUAUAAUGAUCAUAAAACGAUCAAUUUUUCAUAUAUUGAACUGGAUAACGAGCUAUGAUAUAUAUACACAAUCUGUCAAACUAAUUACAACCACCUUAACUGCUAUUGUUAACUGCUAACUGUCAUAACAGUUUUAUUAAUUCUUAACAUUCCGUAAAGAGACUUUUUUUGAUGUCUUAAAUCAACAAUGUAAUUUUUAAGAAGAAAACAGUGGAAAGCAAAUUAAACUUGCAUUUUGGGUGGAAGAUAAAUGAGCCAAAUUAAACCUGCAUGAGGUGACAUGCUAGUUGAAGACAAUAUUCUAAUACAAAAUAGGUAGUGAUUAUAUACUAUUACCUUAGAAUGUUAAUCUUUUCAUCUUAUUUUUGAAGAUAGAAAACAAAUUACAUGAAAAUAUUUUGUACACGAGUAGUGCACUAGCGUGAAUGACAUUGUAGUCAAUGAUUUUGGUAUACUUUUUCACAAAGUAAAGCGGAUAAUUCGGUUUUUGGAAGGUUACUUAAAAAUUGCUUCCAUUUUAAAUCUUGUUUUUAAUCAUUAUCCAUACGUUGGAUUUGUAGAUCCACUAAUAAAAUAGCUCAUUCGUUGGCGAGAACGGCUUUAUCUCGAACUACACCAACUUUUUACGAAGUCCUUCUAUUUUGGAUAUUUUGAAUGCUAUUGUUCUUCUAAUUUUGGUGAAAAUGGGGAGAACUAAAAUUAGGUGUAUUGGAAACCUAUUGGCUUGAGAGUAGAUUCUCUCCUAUUUUUACCUCUUUUUGUCAUUUACUAUAUGAGUUUUACUUUUAAAAAAGAAAGAAAGAAAUGGUAGCUCAAAUACUAGUCCUACUUCAACCCGUAUAGCACCCCCUCGCCAUACGCUAUUGUUAGGAUUGUGACGUGAAAAUAGCUUGCAAAUCCGAUAAAAUGUGUAACAGCUAUAUCAACGGAGCGUAAUAAUCUGGCAAAGAAAAUCAGACCCCCUCAUACGCUGUUAUUAGGAUCGUGACAUGAAAUAGCAUGCAAACCCGACUAAAUAUGCAACGACGAAAUCACCGGAACUAACCCCUAUAAUAAUAUGGCAAAGAAAAUCAGACCCCCUUCCCCGAAAACACAGUUGUUAAGAUUGCGACAUCACUGGAGAACAGCGAUAUCAACAGAACUAACACUUUUUUAUAUUUUGCAUACUUUGUCCACAUUAAUUGCAAUAUUCUAGUUUAAUCUUUUCGUCUCCUUCAUACUCCUUCAAGAAAUCCCAAACUUCAAAGGUUAAUUUCAUUGUCAUCAUUCUGAGAAAGAUUUCAGAUGAGGCUGCAACAAAUAAUGUAGCUCUUGCCUCUGAUUUUCUUGAUUCUCUCAUUGUAAUACUUGAUUUGCACCAUAGCCGGAUUGACAGGUAAUGAAAGAACUUCGUAGUCCUUCUCCAUGGCUUCCCAGAAAUCAUUUUCCUCUAGAUGAGCCUCUAUCCUUGCUGCCCAAACAUGGGAACCUUCACUAUUGAAAAUAGGUGGUGCAAGUGCAGUGAAAGGGAUUUCUGAAUCCAUAGAAGAAGAAAGAGAGAAAAAAUUUUCCUUAGUUACAGGUCCCUCAAGAAGAUAACUCUGAUACCUAUUUAUUGAAGUUUUUGAAGAAAAUUUUAUUGUAAAAAGAAAACAACAAAAACAAGAGGAAAAUAUAAAUAAUUUUUAUGGAAAGUGUUUUCAUUUAUUAAACUAAAAACUAGUGUUUAUAUAGAAAAACAACAACUAUUGACUAAAACUAGACUACUAAAAUAUUCAUAAUCUCUAAACAUCAGCAACAAAUAAAAAAUUGUUAAAAUUAAUUAGAUUAUUUUGGGUUUUUUUACUAAAUUAUUAUAAAAAAAUUUCAAAAUUUCAAAAUAUUAUAUAUAUUUUUAUUUACCAAAAUAUACAAAACAAAAAACAAAAAACAGAAAAAAAAGUUGCGCCGAUUUGACAGAACCCUGGUGGAGGGGUUCUGAUUGGCGGCACCAAAGGUGCCAAACUGAUUGGCGGCAUCGAUGGUGCCAAUGAGGUUGGAAGCACUGAUGAUGCCAUACAGGUUGGCAGCACCGACGGUGCCAUACUGAUUGGCGGCACUACUCGUCUUAUAAACACGAGCUUUGUCCAGCUGAAGGAAGAAAAAUUAGAAGAAAAAAAAGAGAAAGAAGAGGUGCUGCAGAAAAAAAAGAGAAAAAGAAGGUAUUUUUUUUAAAAAUAACUGAUUAUCUUGUUGUUAUUGUUUUGUAUAAUUUGCAUUAUUUUUUGUUUUAGUUUAGUUAUUAAGAUUAAUAAAACUCAAAUUGAUAGUUUUAAUUAUUAUUAUUAUUAUUAUUAUUAUUAUUAUUAUUAUUAUUGUUAGUAUUAAGAUGUUAUUAAGGUAUUAAGAUGUUACUUAGUAUUAUUGUUAGUAAAAAACUAGUAUUAUUAUUAUGGUUAGUUAUUAUUUUUAUUUAUCAAAAUAAACUAGUUAGUAGAAAGCUAGUAUUAUUAUUAUAGUUAGUUAGUUAUUAUUUGUAGUAAAACCCUAAUUAAUAAUUUUAGUUAGUAUUAUUUUGAGUAUAAAAUUGUGUUAGUUAUUAGGAUUAGUGGUUAAACGGUUUUCAUGUACAAAAUUGUAUAUUGAAACAUUAAAUUUUUUUAUUUAAGUAAUUUAUUUACCGAUCGAGAUUUUUUAUGAGAUUUUGUUUAUUUUUUGACAGAUUAAAUAUUGAAGAUGGAUGCUAAGUUUUUUGUAUGCGUUUAUUUCGAUAGAGUCAUCUUGACAACAAGUGUUGGAUGUGUAUUUGAAUGUCGGCAACAAAUGGCAAUGAGAUUUAAUAGAAAUGUCUCGUUCGAUGAAAUGAAGGCAAUGAUUAAUGCAAAAAUUCUUAGACGUUGUGGGAGAAGGAUAUCAAAAAUUUUCUACAAGUUUCUAGUUUCGACAAAUCCGGUCAAAUUCACCGAAAUGGAACUUGUAGAUGACGAAGACGUGGAGACAAUGGUGGAUCUCUACUGUGGGAAUGAGAGUGACAAGAAUGCACCGAUUCACUUAUUUGCUGAGUUGGUCGGUAUGGAGCAAAAUGAAGAUGUCAAUGCAUGUGAUGAAGAACACGGAGCUCAAGAACCAUGGAUGGUGGCUCCAAUAUCAUACGUUGAUAGUGAAUCAACUAUGGGUGGGAUCGGUAUCGACUUGAAUAUUACACCCGAUGUUGAUAUGGUUGGUGGUGAAGAAGAAAGUGGUGGCGAAGAAGAAGGUGGUGGCGAUCAUUGGGAUGAAGAGGUCGAUAGUGACGGUGAUCCCGAUGUGGACGAUGUACCUGAUGAUAUUGACGAUGAAGAUGUCAACAACGAUGAAGACAUUAACGCUUCUUCGGUCGGGGAGCAGAUACGGCGUAUUUUGAUACACAAUAAUUCUGCGCCACACAUAUCGCUCAUAGACCUCGACGCAGCGUAUGUAGCUGAGUUCCCGGAGUACCCUGAAAUAGUUCAUCCUCACGGGCUGGCCGUAACAUCUGAUGAUGAGGAGUUAUACAUAGGCCAGAGAUUCAGCUGUAAGGAAGAGUGCGUAUAUGCCAUUAAACGGUACAUCAUGAACAUAUCGAUGGAUUAUAAAGUCGCAGUGUCUACUCCGACAAUAUAUGUUGGGGAGUGUUGGAAGGCAGCGAAAGGCUGCAAUUGGUGGGUACGAGCUGCAUUCAUUAAAAGUUCUCAAAUGUGGGAGAUACGAAAAUUUAUUGGUCCUCAUACAUGCACAUCAACACGUAUGACAGAAGAUCAUGGAAAACUUGAUUCGAAAACUAUCUGUACGUGUAUCAUGCCAAUGGUGAAGGACAUGCCGACCAUUAAAGUUUCGGUACUGAUUGCUGAGAUGCAAGCACGAUUCUAGUAUCAAGUCUCAUAUUGGAAGGCAUAGAUAGCUAAACAGAUGGCAAUGGAGCAACUGUAUGGGGAUUACGAUUCGUCGUAUAACAAGCUUCAAGGUUGGAUAGCUGCUAUGCAGGAGUACGUACCGGGGAUUGUGAUUGAGUUGCAGACAAGGCCAUAUUAUGGCCCGAACGACCAGUUACAGCCAGCAAAAAGGAUUUUCCAUUGGAUGUUUUGGACGUUUGAUCCAUGUGUUCGGGCAUUUCCCAAUUGCAAGCUAUUGGUGCAGGUGGAUGGGACCUGGUUAUAUGGAAAAUAUACACAGAUCCUACUUCUUGCGAUUAAUCAAGACGGCAACAGAAACGUGCUCUCGAUAGCAUUUGCGAUCGUAGAUAAAGAGAACAUGGAGUCUUGGGAAUUCUUCCUCACAAACCUGCGGAGGUAUGUUAUUAGCAACGAUAACAUUUGUAUCAUCUCCGACAGAGGGAAAGGUUUAAUUGCAGCAAUUAGGCGUUCUGGUGUGCCAUGAAGAUCCUUUUACUGCAUCCGUCACAUUGCGACUAACUUCCACAAAGAUUAUAAGAAUGCAGAUAUGAAGAGACAAGUCGUGGCAAUGGGUAUAUCGGGCAUAUUGUUCGAUCAUGAAGUAAGAUGUCAUGAAUAUUAGAAUAGCAGCUUACCCCUUCCCGGGCAUACUGUUCGAUCAUGAGGAGGUAUAUCGGGACAAGGUACGACCUCCCGAUACCUGGACGAGCACUCCACCUACAAAAAACAAAUAUAGGGUUUAGGGUUGGUAACAUUAGUCAAUAUAUUAUGACUACAAAUAAUGACAAUUUAUAUUUUAUCACCUGUUCAGCAGUGGAUAGACAUACGGUUGGUGACUAACGGAUGCCAAAAAUGGCAUCCGAUAGAGCGCCCAGGACUGUAGCAGUGGGAGGCAUCCGCCCAUGUCUACAACAUCUGGGUUUGUCACCCGACAAAGCUCCCGGUACAACAUUGCAAGAAUGGCGGAGCCCCAACUAUACGAGCUAACAGUGGACAAAUCAGCUAACAGGGGCAAUUACAUCAAAUGCACCUUGUCGUUGUUUGCAUCAGGCAUGAGUACUCCCCCUACGAUAUGCAUGAUGUUCGCUUGAGCAGCGCACAUCAACUCACCUUCAAUGGCAGUCGUUGAUAAUUGUCCAAAUUUGGCUUUCAGCCAUGUAAAUUGUAAUCCUGUAAAAUUUCUCUCACCGUCCCCUUGCGAGUCCCCCAGUAGCUCAUAACAAAGUGUAGUCGGAUCAGUAAAUGAAGAUACUCCCGUUACGAGACUCCCGUCAAUUGGGAGCCCAAGCUGCAUUGCAACAUCCUCCAAGGUCACUGUGCACUCCCCGCAUGGAAAAUGAAAAGUGUGGGUCUCCGGGCGCCACCGCUCCACUAGUGCAGAUAUUAAAUCAUAGCGCACGUUGGAGGACCGGAUUAGUGCUGCUGACCCAAAUCCGGCUUGCUCCAAGUACGGCAUCAAUCAUGCAUCCGGAGCCGUUUUCCAAACACUAGUACGACCCCUUAAUAAUCGGUACGAGUCUUGAUAAUGUUAAAUUACAGAAAAAUAUUACGAUAACAUGAUUUAUUUGUAUAUACUACGUAUAUCCUUUUUAAAUAAAUAGAACCCGCGAUUAACAAAUAAUAAAUCAUACCGUGUUAUUAGCCGCAUCAGAUAUGUGUCUAUUGGUUCGAAUCAAUGAAGCCAUUGUGAUGCCUGCAAGUUGAAAAAAAAAGUUAGUAAAAAACUCUUACUUCGGCCAUUUGUUCGUAUUUUUUCUCCGCAUUUUAUUACUUUAAAAAAUAUCUUAAUUUCUAAUUUUAUAAGUUUACAUUAUUUCAGUGCAUAAUGUUUGAAAUUUAUUAAUUUAGUGUGUUUUUUAAAUUAAGUUGGUGUAAGAAAAAAACCCUUAUCCCUGCCCUUUGCUCGUAUUAUUUUCCCAAUUUUUAUUACUUUCAAUAAAAAUAUUUUAUUUUCGUAUUUUAUUAUUUUAUAUUAUUCCAGUGCAUUUUGUUUGAAAUAUUUGUAUUAAUUAUUCCUGAAUUUUUAAAAAGUUAGUAAAAAACUCUUACUUCGGCCAUUUGUUUGUAUUUUUUUCUCCGCAUUUUUUUAUUAUAGAAAAUAUUAUAAUUUUUAAUUUUAUAAUUUUACAUUAUUUCAGUGCAUAAUGUUUGAAAUUUAUUAAUUUAGUGUGUUUUUUAAAUUAAUUUGGUGUAAGAAAAAAACCCUUAUCCCUGCCCUUUGCUCGUAUUAUUUUCCCGAUUUUUAUUACUUUCAAUAAAAAUAUUUUAUUUUCGAAUUUUAUUAUUUUAUAUUAUUCCAGUGCAUUUUGUUUGAAAUAUUUGUAUUAAUUAUCUCUGAAUUUUUUAAAAAGUUAGUAAAAAACUCUUAUUUCGACCAUUUGUUCGUAUUUUUUUAUCCGCAUUUUAUUAUUUUAAAAAAUAUCGUAAUUUUUAAUUUUAUCAUUUUACAUUAUUUCAGUGCAUUAUGUUUGAAAUUUAUUAAAUAUACAAUUUUUUUCGCAUUUUAUUACUUUCGGUAAAUGUACAAUUUCCGUUUCUUCUUUUCGUAUUUUAUGCUUUCUUAAAUAUAUUUUUUAUCAUUUUACUUUUAAUGCUAUUUUUCCUAAAAAAACUAAUUUCAAUAUCCUAAGUAAAUUUCAUAAAAAAAGUUCCUAAUCAACAUACAAUAUACAUACCAUGAAUUUUUUCAUGCUAAAUAUAUUUCAUAAAAUAUAUAUGCUAAAUAAAAUAAUAAAACACGUAUAUUAUACAUAACAUAAAUUUUUAACACACAAAUAUUACAAAAAAUUUAAUUUAAUAAUAAAAAUUACCUUUUUUUUCUUUUUUUUCCUUCCUUCCCUCUUCUUCUUUCUUUUUUUUUUCUCUUCUCUUCUCCUUUCUUUUCUUUCCUUCUUUUUCUUUCUUUUUUCUUCUUCUUCUUUCCUUUUCUUUCCUUCUUUUUCUUUCUUUCCUCUCCUGUCCUUUUCUUUCUUUCUUUCUUUCUUUCUUCUUCUUUCCCUCUCCUUCUCCCCCCCGAUGGGCCCUAUUAUAAGGGCAGUGCCGCCAAUCAGUUUGGCACCUUUGGUGCCGCCAAUCAGAACCCCUCCACCAGGGUUCUGUCAAAUCGGCGCAGCUUUUUUUUCUAUUUUUUUGUAUACUUUAGUUAAUAAAAAAAUAUAAUAUUUUGGAAUUUUUUAAUUUUUUUAUAAUAAUUUAAUAAAAAACUCGAUUAUUUUGUUAUAGUAGGUGAAGGAAAUCUUCAACAUGAUUAUUGGAACUGGUGCUUCAUUUGCUCAUUUUAUGAGGGGUAUGAAUUUUAGAGGGCAUGCAAAAAAGAAAAGGAAGAAGAAAGAAAGAAAAUUACAAAAAAAAAGAAGAAAAAGGAAAAAUUAUGACACCAUGCAUUUGGGGCUUUCAAAUCUUUACAAACAUAAGAGUAGUAGUUCUAACUAUCUUUCUUGAGGGUAACUUUUCUACGAAAAUAUCUAGGCAUGAGGUGAUAAAUGACCUUCUUUCACUGUCCCAUCACUUUAAGAAAUUAUCAUUUGUUGUCUUAUUUUGAGCUUCAUCGAAUUUUCUUACGAAUAAACUCAGUCCAUAGUUAGAUCAACUUGUAAAUAGAUCGAACACCAAUUUUAUAGUGAAAAUAUAGGAGAAAUUUCAAUCGAAGUUAAACUCCAGCAGUUGCCACUUAUCUAGUUUCAUAGAACUCGCCACUACGAUAAACAACUUCCAUCACGCAAAAAAGCUAAGGCAUGGUGGCUUCAGUCCAGUUUACAAGGGUAAUAACCAAUGGUGAUUUCCGGAAAAUACAUGAUCGAUGAAAUGACAUUCUCUUUCUACCAAGUCUUAUGAAUCGAAUUUUGUGUGAUGGGAACAUUAGAUGAUGGAAAGGAAAGAGCAUUUAAGAGAUUGUCAAAAGGUUCGGGGCAAGGGUUGGAAGGAUUUAUGAAUGAAGUGGUGGAGAUUUCAAAGCUCCGACAUCCAAAUCUGGUUAGGUUAUUUGGGUGCUGUGUUGACGGUGAAGAGAAGAUGCUGGUCUUUGAGUACAUGCCUAACAAAAGUUUGGACGCGUUUCUUUGAUUAUUAACUUAUUCUAAUUUUUCAGUAUUCAAUAGUUAUAUUGAACCUCAAUUAAAUUUAAAGUUAAAUUAAGUUCAACUUUAAAGGAGGGGCCAAGUUUUUCGAGAACUAUUAGAUUUUAAAUAUAAUUUUAAAAAAUGUUAGGCAAAGAAAAGCACUAACUUAUGACAUAAAGUAUAUUGUAAUUGGUAAGAGACUUUUUUUUUUCCCCUUAACAAGGCUCGAUCAAUGCUGAAAGAAUAAUCCAGAAAAUAAUUUUGAAAAAAAAAAGUAAUGUGCUUCAUUAGUCAAAGUUAUUCAAAUGAAAGAUUCUAAAUUCAUCGGUUUGACAAAAGCUACCUAUAUUAGUCAAAGUUAUUUAAAUGUCGUCUUGGUCUGUAACUUCUGGAAGUUCUAACCUCACAUAAAUUUUAUCAAUAGUUUUUAAUUACUAAAUUAAUUACGAAAAAUUAUCUAGUGAUUCAAUUUGCUCAUUCAAAAUGAAAUUUUUAUAAUUCCGUUAUUCAAUUUUUAGGGUGGUUUAUUUUAGUCACUAAAUUAUUAAAUUUUUAACGGUGGUUAACUGUACAUACUAUAUCAUAUUCACUUUUUUAUUUUGAUCACUUAAAUUCUAAAUCGUUUUCAUUUUGAUCAUUUAAAAAACAUAUUUUCCAAGUAUUGAUCGGCGUAAAAAUUGCUAAGGAGUAAAGUGAAAAAGUAGUAGAAACUAAAAUAAUACUUUAAAAAAUUUAAAUAACUUAUUUAAUUAAUUUUGAUGUUUUGAAAUUUAAAAUUUCAAUAUUAAAAAAAAUACAACUUACGCUAAGAGAUAAGUAAACACAAUUUGAUAAUUUUUAAAGUAUUACUUUUUUCACUUUAAUCUUUAAUUGUUUUUAAAUUGCUGCAAUGAAAAGUAAGAAUAAAAAAUAAAGAGGUGCUUAGCGCUCCAAGAAAUUUCAAAUCUUGAUGUAAUCAUUUGAAGAAAAUUGAGUUGAGUUAAUCUAGUGUAAAUCCUUAAAGAUUCCAAAUAUCAUUCAUAAAUCAUAGCGUCACUUCCAAGUUCUGGGUAGAGAUUAUGGGAAAAACUAUUAGCUGCUCUGUUGUACUAUCUUUAAUACCUUGCUUUUACUUGCUAUUUGCCACUGCUUUAGACACCAUAACACCAUCAAAAUCCAUCAAAGACCCUGAAUUUAUAAUCUCCCAGAAUGGUACUUUCCGAUUGGGAUUCUUCAGCUUGGCUAACUCCAACAAUCGUUAUGUAGGGAUAUUGUACCAUCAAAUCCCCGUACAAACUGUUGUAUGGGUGGCAAAUAGAAACAGGCCUCUCAAAGACUCUUCUGGGAUUCUCAACAUAUCAGAUGAUGGCAACCUUGUUGUUUUGAAUGGCAAAACUGAGAUUCUCUGGUCAUCAAAUGUUACCAAUACAGCUCCUAAUGGAACGACUGCCCACCUUUCAGACUUAGGAAACCUCGUCCUCAGUAAUGGUGACGAUGCAGGAAGCAGCUUAUGGGAGAGUUUUCAACACCCUUCUAAUGCCUUCAUUGAAAGUAUGGAGAUCAGCACUGAUGUUAAAAAGGGUCGAAAAGUGGAGAUCAAAUCAUGGAAUAGCCAUGAUGAUCCAUCUGAUGGUAACUUUUCUUUUGGUAUUGAACCGAUCAAUAUCCCAGAGUUUAUCAUUUGGAACAAUAACCAGCUCUAUUUUCGUAGUGGUCCAUGGAAUGGAAAUAUGUUUAUUGGCUUAAUACUUCCGACCGUCGCUUUCUCUUGGUUUUCUGUUGUUGCAGAUAAUCGACAACAAACGUUUUUUAUAGGUUAUGAAGAUUCUAAUCACUCUAUGUUGACAUACUGUGAAUUAGAUUCUCAAGGAAAAUUCAGUGAACGGAGAUGGGAUGCGGAGAAAGGGAACUGGAUAAAGAGUUACUCUAUUUAUCAUACAGAUUGUGAUGUUUAUGGGAAGUGUGGGGAAUUUGGGAUGUGCAAUUCAAAGAAACGACCCAUUUGCAGUUGCUUAAAGGGGUUUAAGCCUAGGAAUGCAGAGGAAUGGAGUAGAGGUAAUUGGAGUAGUGGGUGUUUUAGGACUACCCCUUUGCAGUGCCAAAGGGAUAACAACAAUGGGAGUGGAGCAGGCCAAGGUGAUGAUGUGUUUUUGGAGAUGAAGAUGAUGAAUGUGCCCGCAUUUCCAGACCGGUCAUCAAUAGUUAACGGCGAAUGCAAAGAUCAAUGCUUGAAGAAUUGUUCGUGCGUGGCUUAUGCGUAUGAUGCUGGCAUUGGUUGCAUGAUUUGGAGUGGAGAUUUGAUUGAUGUCAAGGAAUCCAGUCGCGGAGUCGAUCUUUACAUUCGUCUGCCAGCUUCGGAACUGGGUAAAUUUUCUUAGUGUCGACCAUGUGUUUGAUAAAUUGCGUUAAUAUCUGCUUUUUGAGUGUUGAAGUUAUUAACCAAGUUUUUCUAUUUGCAGAUAAAGGGAAAAGUAGUAAGGUCAUUGUCAUUACAACAGUAAUUGCGGGCAUAGUAGUUAUCACAAUUUCUGCACUCUUCUUACGGUGUAGGAUGCUUAAACAUAAAGGUAAUAUAUGAAAAAUAUUUAAACUUAUAUAUAAUUUAUUAAAAAAAUUAAAAAUUAGAAUAUAAAUUUAUAUGUGAAAAAUAUUUAAAAAUAUAGAUAAAUUUAAAACAUAUAUUAAAAUAUGUUGAUAUUGAUACAUACUGAUAUCUUUAUAUACCAUUGUCAAGACAAAAAUAAUAUGUCCACCAAUACGGUACUAACUACCUUGAUCUUCUCUCAGGAAGAAAUAAAAAGAGAAAACACAUCAAAUUUUGUAGUGAAAAUAUAGGAGAAAAUUCAAUUGGAGUUAAACUCCAGCAGUUGCCACUAUUCAAUUUCGAAGAACUUGCCACCGCGACAAAUAACUUCAAUCACGCAAAAAUGCUAGGGCAGGGUGGUUUCGGUCCAGUUUACAGGGUAAUAUAUAAUGGCGAUUUUCAGCAAAUUCAGUGUCAAUGAAAAGACAUUUUCCUUUUUUCUAUCAAGUCUUGCGAGUUGAAAUUUUUUUUGCAGGGAACAUUAGAUGAUGGAAAAGAAAUAGCAGUGAAGAGAUUGUCGAAAGCUUCGGGGCAAGGAUUGGAAGAAUUUAUGAAUGAAGUGGUGGUGAUCUCUAAGCUUCAAUAUCGAAAUCUGGUAAGACUGCUUGGCUGUUGUGUUGAAGGAGAAGAGAAGAUGCUCGCCUACGAAUAUAUGCCCAACAAAAGUUUGGACGCUCUUCUCUUUGGUUAGUAACUUAUUCCAAUCCUUUUUUACCUUUUUAUUUUUUGUGAUUUUCGCUAUUCAAUAGUUAUGAUGGACCCUAAACAAUGGGCAAAACUUUCCUAGAAUUAUUUUUUUCUUCCACAAGACUUGAACUUGUAUUGUUGCUUAAGGCGAAUUGAGUUCUUUAUCACUCGAUCUAAUAACCAUUAAUAUUGUUUUCGUUCUCAUUACAACUUAAACUUGGCCUUGACUACCCCAUUUACCUAAUCCGAUAAGUCCUACUCAUUUGAUUUGGCAGGUGCAAUCCAUAUAGGUUAGAUCUUGGAUAUAAUUUUCUUGAAAAGUUUUCAAAAAUAAAGAAACAUACUUUCCCAUUGAAAAAGUAAUAUUAUGUAAGGAAAAUAUUAUGUAUUUUUAUCGAAAAAUAAACUUCUAUUUUUUAAUUUUUUAAAGUUUUUUAAUUUUUAAGAAUCAAGACUAAAUUAACAAAAUGUGUAAAGUUAAGGGUUAAAUUGUUCAAUUUUUUUAAAUUUAGGACUAAAUUGAUAGAUUCUAUAAAUAUUGAAGAAUUAAAAUUGUUAUUAUGCCAAAAGAAAAAAAGUCACUAUUAGUGAUUUAACACAAGAGUGACCAAAAUAUUAAAUUUCGAUAACAUUAAAUAGAAACACACUAAUAAUUGAAUGACAAUUUUUAUAGCUUACCUUUAAAAUUCAAUAUUUAAAAAUUAAUUAAAUAUUAAAAUCACACAUAUGUCACACUAGAAGUUAGUAAUUAUAAAAUAUAGAAGUAUGAUUCUAAGUUUUUUUUAAGCAAUAAAAUUGGUCGCCUAGUUGAUUUUGUGCAAAAAGAGGAUAUGAAAAAUAGGUUAUGGCUUGGUCUAUAGACAUGUCUGAUGUAAUUAUAUUCUGAGAUUUGAAAGGCAGCAACGUAAUAUUUUGACUCUCUUCAUUGUUCAACAUUUAUUUCAAUUGAUUGACAUAACAUCAAUUCUGUCUACAAUCACAAUUAAUACAAUAUGGUAGACAAUACAACAAUGAUUGUAGUUUAGAUUCACUAUUAUAGAAAUUAACUAUAAAUCCAGCUAAACAUUAUUGAAGAAUUAAAUGUUUUGGAUUGGAGAAAACGAUUCAACAUUAUUGAAGGGAUUAGUCGAGGAUUGCUUUAUCUACAUAGAGAUUCAAGACUAAAGAUUAUACAUAGAGAUCUAAAAGCAAGUAAUAUUUUAUUCGAUGAAGAAUUAAACCCAAAAAUUUCAGAUUUUGGGAUGGCUAGGAUUUUCGGAGGCAAUGAAAAUCAAGCUAACACUAAAAGGGUUGUUGGAACUUAGUAAGUUGGAACUUUUUCCCUAUCAUUUAAUUUUAUUCUCUUUUUUUUUUGAUAAAAUAUGGUAUAGAUAUAUCUAUUGAUGGAUCAGGUCCGAUGCUUAAAAAGAUUACAUGCGUAGACCUAAACUUAGUUUGGCUUAGUUUGAUCAAUGAACUCAUUUUACCAUUUCUAAAAAUUAAAAUAAUAAAGAAUAUAUUAUUUUAUACUUUUAUUAUUUAAUUUUAAUUUAGACUGACUCAUGAACAAGUUUAGGUCAGGGUUGUAAUUAAUGUUUUUAUUGUUAAAAUACAGUGGUUAUAUGUCUCCUGAGUAUGUAAUGCGAGGGCAAUUUUCAGAGAAAUCAGAUGUAUUCAGUUUUGGAGUUCUAUUGCUAGAGGUUGUUAGCGGAAGAAGAAACACAAGCUUUUGCAACGAUCAGUAUGCACUUAGCCUCUUGGGAUAUGUAAGUUUAUAAGAUAAUUAGACAUGUUGGUAGAUCAAAUUAGGGUGUAAGAUGCCAUUUUUGCAAACUAUUCAGGUUCGAAUCAAGAAAACUUGAAUUCUACUAAGUAACUAUUGAGUUGAGCGAUCAUGAGCUGAACUUGAGAAUCUUAAUGCUUGAAUUGGGUAGCUUGAAAGGUGACAUGGAGAGUCCUAAUACUUGAAUUGAGUAUAAGCUCUCUUUUUUGCUUUAAAUAUAUAUUGAACAUUUUCAAUUGAAAUUCGAGUUUGACUACAAUAUCGAGUUUAAGUUGAGCCUAAGAAUGAAGCUCAAUUUAGACAUAGGUAAACAAGCUUAAGCAAUAAAUUUUGAGCAGUUGGAUCUUUAUUUAUGUUGAAUUGAGCUAAUCAAAAUUUAUUUAGACUUUGUGUUUAUAAUUUUGAGUUGAUUUAGGCUGAAAAGUUUAAGUGUUAAUUUAGACAAAUUUUCUUUUCUAUUCUCAGGCAUGGAAAUUGUGGAGGGAAGGCGAUAUUUGUGGCAUUGUAGAUAAAGUGAUUUUAGAGUCAGAAACAUAUUCAAAGAAUGGAAAUGAAAAAGAAAUAUGGAGAUGCAUACAUGUUGGUUUGCUAUGUGUUCAAGAAUUUGCUAAAGAUAGGCCCACUAUGCCUACAGUUGUUUCAAUGCUUAAUAGUGAAAUUUCAGAUCUUAGCACUCCAAAACAACCUGCUUUCAUUGAAGCACCACUAAUGAGUCAUGAUGUUGAAGAUAGGGUUUCACUUAAUGAUGUAACUCUUACAAACCUAGAUGGCCGAUAGAAAUACAAAUUAUUUAUUUGUAGUGUUUAGAAAUACAAUUUUAAAUUUUGUAUUUCAAGUAUUGAAAUUUAUCUUUUAUAUUCGACCUAUUUUUAUCAUUUUAUUUCUAUGAUAAUUGUAAUUUUAUUUGUACCAUUCUAGUGAAUUUACCAUUAUAUUUGAACAUGGCCAAAACUGAAAAUUCAUUUGAUGAAAUUCAAACUCGGUCCAAUUUAAUUUGAAUAUAAAAAAAAUCAACAAUUUAAACUUGUUAAAUCCAAACUUGAAAAUAAUUUAAAACUAAAAAUAAUUUAAAAUUAAAAUAAUUCAAACCCAAAUUUACCUAACCCAAAAAUCAAUGUGACGUGCUAGUUGAAUACAAUAUUCUAAUACAAAAUAGGUAGUGAUUAGUGCUUGAAGAAAAUUCAAAUCUUGAUGUAACACUACACCAAAACAGGCUUUUAGCGGCGUUUUUAGUGGCGCUUGGACAAAUAAUGGGGUCAAGGGGUCACCACUCGGUGUGGGAUUCUCGCCUUUUUAAUUAUGGAAGCUGGGAAGUAUGUACUUCUACCUAAACAUUUCUUAAUGAAUAGCUUGUUUAAAGAUUUUGGCUUCCUCCCUUCCAGUUGUAAAUAUUAUUUCUUAGUUGUUGCUUUAGGUACUGAGGUAUCUUCUUUCAUAUGCAAGAUGGUGGCUGGAGGAGUAUAAGUUUGAUGGGUACAGAUUUGAUGGUGUGACUUCAAUGAUGUACAAGAUUUCCUUGAUGAAGUAAAUGUAUUAUUUAUUUGAGUAAGAAAAUGCAUUGUAUGUUUUAUUACCUUGCAUAAGUAUUAUUUAUUUUAGUUUUGAUUCUAAAUUUUUAUUUUUACUUAAUAAUUCUAACUUUUGGAUUUUAAUUGUGUUAUUAAUGUAUUAUUUUAAAUUCUAAAUUUAAAUUCAUUAAUUUUUAUAUUUAGUUUUAAAGUUAAAAUUUUUGUAGAAAAUUUAAUUUAAAUAAUAUUUUUUAUUUAUCUUUAAAAUAUAAUUUAUCAUAGAAAUAAAUAUUAUUUAAAAAAUUAUUUUUUUAAAAGAUAUGUUUUUAGCGGCGUUUGUGGGAAAAGCGCCGCUAAAGGUCUUGAUCUAUAGCGGCGUUUGUGGGAAAAGCGCCACUAAAGGUCCUGAUCUAUAGCGGCGUUUGUGCGAAAAGCGCUGCUAAAGGUCCUGGUCUAUAGCGGCGUUUGUUGUAAAAGCGCCGCUAAAGGUCCUGCUCUAUAGCGGCGUUUGUGGAAAAGCGCCGCUAAAGGUCCUGAUCUAUAGCGGCGUUUGGGAAAAAGCGCCGCUAAAGGUCUUGAUCUAUAGCGGCGUUUAUUUCUAUAAACGUCGCGGCGUUGACAACAAUGGCGUUUUUUGCGGCGCUUUCAAAAACGCCGCAAAUACUUUUAGCGGCGUUUUAAAGACCUGUUUUGGUGUAAUGUAAACAUUUGCAGCUUCCUUGAAAUAUCAUUACAUCAUAUCAAAAAUAUAAGUUAAAAUUAUAAAGAUAUAAGUUGUUAAAAUGGUGAAAUUGCAUUUUAUCUGUCACAAAAAUAUAUAACUUAAUUCCAACACUUGGAAAAAUUUUCUGACUUCCCCCUGAUUAAACUUCUUAUCACGCAGUCCAACAUUUGUAACUAAACAAAUAAUAUUCUUAUUUGUAAGGUUCGUAUAACAAAGGGAUACAUAUCAAAAUUACACAUAAAAUUUGAUCUAAUAUGCAAUUUGAUACAUGAAUUUUGAUUUGAUGCAAUUGUACACAUCAAACUUUGAUUAUGAUUCAAAUGUAUACAUAAAACAUUUAAAGAAAUAAAUACAUUACUUUAUUUUUUGUAUUAGAUAAAUUAAAUUAUUUAUGUAUGUAAUAUAAAAUACAAAAUUAUGUUAUAUCGAUAAUUCUAUUAAUAAUUUAUAAAAUUUAAAUAAAAAAGAUUUCAUAUAUAAAAUCAUAAUUUUUUAGAUUUAUCCAUAUAGCAAACAACUCCAAGUUGUGGGACAUAUAAGCCAUGCAUGCGUCAUAUCAAACGUACAAAAAACUUCUAAAGAUAGGGAAAUACUAAGUCAAUGUGUCUUUGUGCUGAAAGAAUGUUGAAUUCAAUUAUAAUUCUACAAAUUAUGCACUUGUAAGUCCAUAAUAUAAAUAAAUGAACAUGAAAUUACUUUAUCAUGUCAUAUUCCAUGAUUUGCUGACAGGAUCUUUAUCUUCCACCUGCUUUUCCUGGCAAAUUAAGAAAGACCAACUUAAGCUCCAAGCAAGUCUAGUGGGUCCUUCUGUAUAGUAUUCUAAUACUUUAAAUUAUACAUUUAAUUGAUUUUAGUAGUUAAAUUUUAUUAUUAGAUUGAUUUUAUGUGUAAGUUGUAACUCUAUUCUUUAGAUUGAUUUUUUUUAAUCCUUAAGAUUUUUGGAUUUUAAAAUUCAAUCCUAACUCAAAAGGAACGACAGUAGUUAAAUUCAUUAAGUAAUAUAAUACCGUUUUUGUGAGUAUUAUUUGUAAAUAAAAAGCUAAUAUAGUAUCACACAUGAUAAUAUAUUUGUUGUAUAAUAUUUUAAAAAUAAUAAAUCUAACUGCUAUUGUACAAGCCCAAUUUUGAACCUGGGCCCAAGAACCCAAAACCAAUUAACGCACCUAGACUAAACCCAAAUCCGAAUGGCCCAAUUACAACACCCAAAACCCAAACAGAACCUGACCCAACUACCCAAUUACACCCACCAACCCAAUAAGCCCAAAAUCUAAAAGCCCAAUGCUCAUUUUCAGAAAAAACAAAUCAGCCUAGGGUUUUAGAAACUGAAACCCUAGCCCCUAACCAAGUGGCGCCGCACCCUACCCCUAGCCUCUGCCACCGCCACCAACGUCAUGCCACCACCGCCACGGUCACGUCACCACCACCACUUGCACCGUCACCUGCAAAGAAGAAACAAAACAAAGAAAAAGAUAGCAAAGAACACAAGCAGUAGAGAAUUGGUUAUAAAAGCCGAAUAUGUAACUCUUUUCUUUUUUCUUUUUAGCUAGCUAUCUAUGUAACACAAAAAAACAGAUAGUAGCAAAAAAAGAAAACGAAAAUAAACAGAUUCAAGGUGAUUUUGGCCAUUCUAUUUUUCUGUUUCUUUUUUUUCCCCUUUUUGCAAGUUUUUUUUUUAUUAUUCAUUUAGAUUUUAUCUCAUUUAAAACAAAAAAAAAGAGUGAGUGUACCUGGUGAAGGCCGCGACCUCGCCGUCGGGAGGGGUUUUCUUCUCCGUUGUCCGAUUUGGGCUUAGGGAGGAUUGAAAAUCCCUUUUCUUCGGUCCGGCGGGUUGAGAGAGCAUCGGCUCUCAAGGAUACCUCACAACGAAGGCUAGAAAGCCUUGUUUCGCAACGCCGGCCUUGGCUCGCGGCGACGGAGCGGUGGUGGACGGAGGGUUGAGAGAAAAAGUCAAGUAUUUGAAGUUUUUUUAAAAGAUGGUGGCUAAAUAAGGGUUAUUAGAAAUUUUUGUUUUAAAUAACCCUAUAAAACGGCGUCGUUUGGGCUUAAUGUUCAGAGACCAAAAACGGCGUCGUUUUGGUCUCUAACCCGCGCGGUGACUCGACCCUGGGGGAGGAUCUGCGUGUUUUCUUCAAAUGGGUUAUUUAUGCGCGUAGUCCCUCCUAUUUUUCAGCGCAUUACAAUUUGGUCCUAUUUCGUUGUUUUCUUUUAUUUUGAUCUAACCCUAAAAUUUUACUUUUGUUUCAUUUUAGUCCACUGAAGUGCUGCGUUUUAGAACUUUGGUUUAUUUACUAUGUUUGUCCCCCCUUUUUGGCGCGCGUCACAAUUUAAUCCUUUUUUUGUUUUUUAUUUCAAUUUCACCCAAUACAUUCGUUUUUAUUUCAAUUUAGUCCAUAUUCUAGUAUUCUUAUUAUUAUUAUUACCUACUUAUUUAUAUUUUUUAUUCAAAUCUCGAUAUAUAUAUACAUGUAUAUAUUUUUAUGAUAUAAAUACAUUAUUUUUUUAUAACUUAUAUAUACUUAUAUAUUUUUACAUAUUUUACAACUUAUAUACAUAUCUAUAUAUCUAUAUUUUUAUUUUCAUAAAUACAUAUACCUACUUAUAUACAAUCUUUAUAAUUUAAAACAUACCUUUUUAUAUACUUUUUUAAAUUCAUACAUACAUACAUAUAUAUAUUAUGUUAUUCACUACUAUUGUUUUAUUUGGUGUUAAUUUAUUUACUUAUUUACAUGCUCAUUAUCAUUAUUAUUUUAUUUAAGUGCUUUAAUUUUUUAUUUGUUUAUUUACUUUUAUUUUUUGAUUUCUUUUCAUUAUAUAUUUGCCAUAUUAUUUAUUUAUCUUUUCUUAUUUUGCUUGUGUUAUUUAUAUUAUCAUUAUCAUCAUUAUUUUACAUUUUACUCGGAUUUAUCAAAAAAAAAAAUUUUUUUCAAAUAAGGCAAUGUUUUUCAGAAAAAUGGGUGCUGGGUGUCGAUUUUUCUCGUUCAACCAAAUGGCUUAAUAUCCUUUUAAAAAUUUUAAACUAAGGCAAUGUUUUGCGUUUGGAAAUUCGAGAAAACAUGCCCUAAGGUGCUGGGUGUCGAUUUUUCUCGUUCAACCAAAUGGCUUAAUAUCCUUUUAAAAAAAUUUCAAAAUAUGACAAUAUUUUGCGUUUGAAAAUUCGAGAAAACAUGCCCUAAGGUGUUGGGUGUUGAUUUUUCUCAUUCAACCAAAUGGCUAAAUAUCCUUUUAAAAAUUUCAAAAUAAGGCAAUGUUUUGCAUUUGGAAAUUCGAGGAACAUGCCCUAAUGUGCUGGGUUUCGAUUUCUCGAUUGACCGAAUAGCCAAAUAUCCUCUUGAAUUUUCAAUCCAUAUCAUCCGAGUUUUUUUAAGGAUCGUAUUUUAAAUUUCUUUAAAGUUUUCAAUUUUUUGACACUAAGACAUUAAGUAAUUAACUAGAUACCAAUUUUGGGCGUAUCGAGGGUGCUAAUCCUUCCUCGUGCGUAACCGACUCCCGAACCCAUUUUUCUGAAUUUCGUGGAACAAACUUGUUAUUUUAAUAAAAUCAAAUCGUUUAUUAAAAACAACCACUUUUCGAGGUGAUCCGAUCACACCUCAUCAAAAAAAGAUUGGUGGCGACUCCCAUUUUCGUUUUCAUUUUCCAAAACCCAAGUUGACCCCGUUUUCAAUAAAAAAAUGGUGCCAAUAGCUAUCAUUUGAGUUACACAUAAUUUAAAGAAUUUAAUUAUUUUAUAAAUCAAAAUAGUAUCGGUGCCCCUAAUCCUAUGAUAAAAAAAAUUUAUAUUAAGGAGAAGUCUUAGGUUGGACAUCCUAUACCCUGAUUGUAUUUGUGUGAACAUGGUGGUACAAGAGUUGAUUUUUUGGUACUCCAAUGGAAGAAAGAGCCAACAAAAAUAUAGAAAAUAUAAUUGACACUUCCAGAAGAUUUUCGUAUGUCAAAAUGAGAUUACGUAUAUACAAAGAAAAUUGAGAUGUAGAUCACUAGAUGUAAACAUUUGAGGCUGCCAUGAAACAUCAUUACACCAUAUCAAAAUCAGACCCUAAGAAAGAGUCGAUUUCUGUAGAAGGUCCCUACCCUAUAUAUAUUGUGAAUUUAGUCCUUUCAUAUAAUUCGGUAUUUUUAAUCUCUCCCUUUUUUGGAAAUUACAAAUUCAAUUCAUAGAGAAGGACACCAAAAUUGGUUAUACAAAUCAAAAAACUUUUUUUUUAUGUCUAUGAGACUUUACCCGAAAUCUAAUUUAUUAUUAAUAUGCAGUGUAAGAUGUGAUUUAAGUUCAACUUUCUCACUAAAUUGUAACAUCUCGCUCCUAUGUAUCAAUAUAAGAUCAUUUUCUCCCACUAAGACUUUCCCUUGAAAUCUUAGCUUCAAACUGAAAAAAUUCAAUAUUCUAAUACAAUAUUUUAAAACAAUAUUCAUAAAUCAGACAUGCUAGAAGUAUUAAUUUCCACGAACAGUGUGACAUACUAGUUGAAUACAAUAUAUCGCUCCUAUGUAUCAAUAUAAGAUCAUUUUCCCUCACUAAAACUUUCCCUUGAAAUCUUAGCUUCAAACUAAAAAAAAUUCAAUAUUCUAAUAUAAUAUUCAUAAAUCAGGCAUGCUAGAAGUAUUAAUUUCCAUGAACAGGGUGACAUGCUAGUUGAAUGCAAUAUUCUAAUACAAAAUAGGUAGUGAUUAGUGCUUGAAGAAAAUUCAAAUCUUGACGUAAACAUUUGCAGCUGCCUUGAAAUAUCAUUACAUCAUAUCAAAAUCAGACUAUUUUUUUAACUGAAAAAAAUUGAGUUAAGUUAAAUAUCACUCAUAAAUCAUAGCGUCUCUUCCAAGUUUUGGGAAGAGAUUAUGGGAAAAACUAUUAGCUGCUCUAUUUUACUAGCUUUAAUAUCUUGCUUUUACUUACUAUUUCCACUGCUUCACACACUAUAACAGCAUCAAAAUCCAUCAAAGACCCUUAUUGGGAAUUAUCCAUAUUUAUGGAACAUCAAAGAUAUGGGUAUCAAAUAAUAGAAAGUCAAAGAUAUGGGUAUCAAAUAUUGGAAAGUCAAAUAUAUGGGUACCGAGAUAUUGGCAUAAUAAAAUCUGAGAUAUUUGCAAUAUAUGGUCCCUAAUUGUAAAGUGACUUUGCAAGUUGAUCCCUGAACCUCAACUAUAAAUAAGCAUGACCAUCUCUCAUUUUGUAUCUCAAACUUGCAAUUCUCUACUUAAGGCAUUGUUUUCUCUCUCUCUCUUUGUAAAUUCUCACUUGUAUUUUGGAGUGAAAUAUAUUUGGUAGUGCCCGAGGACGUAGGCAAAAUUUGCUGAACCUCGUUAAAUUCUUGUGUUCUUUAUUGUAUUAUUCUGCAUGAAUUGUGAGUGUGAUUGUAGUGAUUUAUUGUGCUAUUAAAUUAUGAUUGAAGGAUAUUCUGGAUAGGAAAGACCUGGUACUUAAGCGAUCCUUGUGAUCCACCUCUCUUUCCUGGGAAUUGAACUUAGUGUGAUUUUUUAGUACAAUAAUUUUACUCUUUUACACGCUUCCGCACAACAAUUGGUAUCAGAGCUAGAUUCGUACUUGGGGAAUACGAUCAUUCACGGCACUAUUCACGUACUGUAGUUGGGAUUGAGGAGAAAAAAUGGAAAAGGCAUCGUCAUCAACAAAGACUACUGUGACCAAUGUGAAAUUUGAAGUAGAAAAAUUUGAUGGUACCAAUAAUUUUGGUAUGUGGCAAUGUGAGAUCCUGGAUGUCUUAUGUCAGCAAGAGCUGGAUAUAGCCCUUGAAGAAAAACCUGACAAGAUGGAUGACAAGGAGUGGGCCAAGAUCAAUAGACAGGCAUGUGGAACAAUUCGCCUAUGUUUGGCCAAAGAGCAGAAGUACUCUGUCAUGAGGGAGACAUCAGCGAAGAAGUUGUGGGAUACACUGGAAGAAAAGUUUCUAACAAAAAGUCUUAAAAAUAGACUUUAUAUGAAAAAAAAACUUUAUCGAUUCACGUAUGCACCCGGUAUGUCGAUGAAUGACCAUGUGAACUCAUUCAAUAAAAUUUUAGCAGACUUGCUAAAUUUGGAUGAGAAAUUUGAAGAUGAAGACAAGGCAUUACUGUUGUUGAAUUCUCUUCCUAAUGAAUAUGAUCAUCUUACCACCACAUUGCUUCAUGGGAAGGAUACAAUCAUAUUUGAUGAAGUCUGUAGUGCGUUGUAUAGAUCUGAGACUCGAAAGAAAGAUAAAAACGAUCACAGAAAUACAACUACAGAAGUCUUAAUAGUAAGAGGUUGUUCGCGCAGCAACAAAUCUAGUAGAAGGAGUAAGUCCAAAGGGAGACCUGCCAAAGAUGAAUGUGCUUUUUGUCGUGAGAAAGGGCAUUGGAAAAAGAAUUGUCCUAAGUUACAAAAGGGUAGAGCUAUUUCUGAUGCAUGUAUAGCGGAGCAUGAUGAGGAGUCAGACUUUAGCUUGGUUGGCAUGGCAAUGGCAUGUCAUACAGAUGAGUGGAUUUUGGAUUUGGGAUGUACUUACCAUAUGUGUCCUAAUAAGGAUUGGUUUUCUAGUCUUAAAGAACUAGAAGGUGGAGUUGUUUUUAUGGGUAAUGAUAGCGCUUGUAAGACAAUGGGAGUAGGUACAAUCCAAUUGAAGAAUCAUGAUGGCUCAAUUCAAGUCUUGAUUGAUGUUCGCUACAUACCUAGCUUGAAGAAAAAUCUUAUCUCAUUAGGGGUCCUAGAAUCUAAAGGGCUCACAAUCACUGUGAGAGAUGGAUUACUAAAGGUAGUAGCUACGGUAUUGACGGUGAUGAAAGGCACAAGAAGGAAUAAUCUGUACUAUUUAAAUGGAAGUACAGUUAUUGGAUCAACAUCAACAGCUUCUAUGAAAUAUGCAGAUUCAGAGGCUACCAGGUUAUGGCAUAUGCGAUUGGGACAUGCUGGUGAAAAAGCUUUGCAGAGUUUGGCGAAGCAAGGCUUGUUGAAAUGUGCAAAUUCUUGCAAAUUGGAAUUCUGUGAACAUUGUGUUCUGGGCAAGCAGACGAGGAUAAAAUUUGGUUCAGCAAUUCACAAUACAAAAGGAAUUCUAGACUACGUUCACAGUGAUGUGUGGGGACCUACUAAAGUGGCUUCUUUGGGAGGUAUGCACUAUUUUGUUACUUUUUUUGAUGAUUAUUCAAAAAAAGUAUGAGUGUAUCUAAUGAAAAGGAAAAAUGAAGUUUUGGAUGUAUUUCUGAAAUAGAAGAGUAUGGUGGAGACCCAGAUUGGUCGAAAAGUCAAACGACUUCGAUCAGACAAUGGUACUGAGUACAAGAAUGAUUCAUUUCUACAAGUAUGUCACGAUGAAGGCAUUGUACGACACUUCACUGUUUGAGAUACACCACAACAGAAUGGGGUGGCAGAACAUAUGAAUCAGACUAUACUGGAGAAAGUUCGAUGUAUGUUGUCCAAUGCUGGAUUGGGCAAAUAAUUUUGGGCUGAGGUAGUUACAUAUGCGUGCCAUCUAAUUAACCGAUUACCAUCAGCUGCAAUAAAUGGAAAAACUCCUAUGGAGAGGUGGGCUGGUAAACCUGCUACUGAUUAUGAUUCUUUACAUGUUUUUGGUUCCACUGCAUAUUAUCAUGUAAAAGAAUCUAAGUUAGACCCAAAAGCAAAGAAAGCAUUAUUCAUGGGUAUUACUGGUGGAGUAAAAGGAUACCGUCUCUGGUGUCCUGAUACAAGGAAAAUUAUUUUCAGUAGAGAUGUGGCUUUUGAUGAAUCAACCAUGAUGAAGAACAAUGAUUCACUAAAGGAUAACACAACCAGUGGCACUUUGCAGCAGGUGGAGCUUGAAAAGGUUAAUGAUGAUCUAGCUAAUAUUUAAGGAACAAAUGAUGAUAAAGUUUCGACCCAAGAACUUCUACAGCAACAUGAUUCAAUUGCAUAUAGAAGGCCAAGAAGAGAGAUUCGUAUGCCUGCUCGCUUUGAUGAUAUGGUGGCCUAUGCACUUCCAAUGCAGAUGAUGAUGUUCCUUCUACUUACACAGAAGCAAGAAGUAACCCUGAUGGUGUAAAGUGGAAGCAAGCUAUGAAUGAAGAAAUGCAGUCUCUUCAUAAAAAUAGGACUUGGGAGUUGGUGACACUACCCAAAGGAAAGAAGGCAAUUGGAUGCAAAUGGGUAUAUGCAAAGAAGGAAGGAUUUCCUGAUAAAAAUGAAGUUCGAUACAAGGCUAGAUUGGUAGCAAAGGGUUACGCUCAGAAAGAAAGAAUAGACUACAAUGAAAUAUUUUCUCCAAUUGUAAAGCAUUCGUCUAUUCGGAUUUUGCUAGCCUUGGUUGUGCAAUAUGAUCUUGAACUAGUUCAGCUCGAUGUGAAGACCGCAUUUUUUACACAGUGAUUUGGAAGAGGAAAUCUAUAUGACUCAGCCAGAUGGAUUCAAGGUUGCUGAUAAAGAAAAUUGGGUUUGCAAACUGACAAAGUCGCUUUAUGGAUUGAAACAUUCUCCGAGGCAGUGGUACAAGCGAUUUGAUCAGUUCAUGAAAGGGCAAAGGUAUACAAGAAGUAAAUUUGAUCAUUGCGUGUAUUUUCAAAAGCUAUAAGAAGGAUUUUUCGUAUACUUGCUCUUAUAUGUUGAUGAUAUGUUGAUAGCAUCUAAGGGUAAAGUUGAAAUUGAGAGAUUGAAGACUCAACUCAACCUUGAGUUUGAGAUGAAAUAUCUAGGUGAAGCUAAGAAGAUCCUUGGCAUGGAAAUAUGUAAGGAUAGAGCUCAUGGCAGAGUUAGUUUGUCUCAGAAGCAAUAUUUAAAGAAGAUACUACAGAAGUUUGGCAUGAACGAGCAGACUAAAGCUGUAAGUACCCCGUUGGCUUCUCAUUUCAAGCUUUCUGCACAAUUAUCUCCUUCGACAAAUACGGAACAAGAAUACAUGUUACAAGUUCCGUAUUCUAAUGCAGCAGGUAGCUUGAUGUAUGCAAUGGUGUCUACAAGACCCGACAUUUCACAGGCAGUUAGUAUAGUGAGCAGGUAUAUGCAUAAUCCUGGAAAAGGACAUUGGCAAGCUGUGAAAUGGAUUCUACGGUAUAUUCAUAAGACCAUGGAUAUUGGAUUACUGUUCAAGCAGGAUACUACACUUGGUAAAGGUGUUGUUGGGUACGUUGAUUCUGAUUAUGCCGGUGAUUUGGACAAACGGAGAUCAACCACUGGUUAUGUGUUUACUCUUGUUGGAGGACCAAUAAGUUGGAAGUCUACACUGUAGUCUACAGUUGCGUUGUCAACCACAGAAGCUGAAUACAUGGCUGUAACAGAGGCUGUAAAGGAAGCUAUUUGGUUACAAUGUAUGGUUAAAACCUUGGGAUUGGUUCAGGAGCAUAUUAAUGUGUAUUGUGAUAGUCAAAGUGAUAUUCAUUUAGCAAAGAAUCAAGUCUAUCAUGCACGUACAAAGCAUAUCAACAUACGUUUCCAUUUUGUGCGGGAAAUUAUUGAUGAGGGGAAAAUUCACCUUCUGAAGAUUAAGACUGUAGAUAAUCCCGCAGAUAUGAUGACCAAGGUGGUAACAACAAUCAAGUUCAAACAUUGUUUGAACUUGAUCAAUAUUCUGCAUGUUUAACAGUUGAAGAAGGCACUAUCAAGUGUUGUUGACAAAGGCAGAGAGAAUUGUGUGAAGAUAAGAUUACUCGAAUCAAAUCUUCAAGGUGGAGAUUAUUGGGAAUUAUCCAUAUUUAUGGAAAAUCAAAGAUAUGGGUAUCAAAUAAUAGAAAGUCAAAGAUAUGGGUAUCAAAUAUUAGAAAGUCAAAUAUAUGGGUACCGAGAUAUUGGCAUAAUAAAAUCUGAGAUAUUUGCAAUAUAUGGUCCCUAAUUGUAAAGUGACUUUGCAAGUUGAUCCCUGAACCUCAACUAUAAAUAAGCAUGACCAUCUCUCAUUCUGUAUCUCAAACUUGCAAUUCUCUACUUAAGGCAUUGUUUUCUCUCUCUUUCUUUGUAAAUUCUCACUUGUAUUUUGGAGUGAAAUAUAUUUGGUAGUGCCCGAAGACGUAGGCAAAAUUUGCUGAACCUCGUUAAAUUCUUGUGUUCUUUAUUGUAUUAUUCUGCAUGAAUUGUGAGUGUGAUUGUAGUGAUUUAUUAUGCUAUUAAAUUACGAUUGAGGGAUAUUCUGGCUAGGAAAGACCUGGUACUUAAGCGAUCUUUGUGAUCCAUCUCUCUUUCCUGGGAAUUGAACUUAGUGUGAUUUUUUAGUACAAUAAUUUUACUCUUUUACACGCUUCCGCAUAAUCUCCCAGAAUGGUGUUUUCUGAUUGAGAUUCUUCAGCUUGGCUAACUCCAGCAAUCGUUAUGUAGGGAUAUUGUACCAUCAAAUCCACGUUCAAACUGUUGUUUGGGUGGCAAAUAGAAACAGGCCUCCCAAAGACUUUUCUGGGAUUCUCACCAUAUCAGAUGAUGGCAACCUUGUUGUUUCCAAUGGAAAAGCUUAGAUUAUUUGGUCAAAAAAUGUAACGAAUUUGGUUCCUAAUGCAACAACUGCAUAGCUUUUAGACUCCGGAAACCUUGUCCUCAAUAACGGUGAGAAUGGAGGAAGCAGCAUCUUAUGAGAGAGUUUUCAACACCCUUCUAAUGUAUUCCUUCAAACUAUAAAGAUCAGCACUGAUGUAAAAACGGGUCGUAAGGUGCAGACGAGAUCAUGGAAAAGCCCUGAUGAUCCAUCCGAUGGCAACUUUUUUCAAGGCAUUGAACCUUUCAGCAUCCCAGAGGGUGUCAUUUGGAACAAUAACCAGAUAUAUUUUCGGACCGGCCCAUGGAAUGGUCGUAUCUAUAUUGGUUUAAUAAAUGUUAAUAGAGUUGAUUUUGAUGGUUUUAUGUGGUUGCAGAUGAUGUAGAAUAAACUUAUUACGAAACUUACAAAUAUUCUACUGACUCUAGGUUGAUAUACUAUGAAUUAGAGUCUAACGGAAGAUACGUUGAACGAAUAUGGGAUGCGGGGAAAGGGGACUGGAUAAACGGGUACUCUAGUUAUCUAACAGAUUGUGAUGUUUAUGGGAAGUUUGGGGCAUUUGGAUUCUGUGAUUCAACGAAACGACCCAUUUGCAGUUGUUUGAAAGGAUUUAAGCCUAGGAAUAUAGAGGAAUGGAGUAGUGGGUUUUUUAGGACUACCCCUUUGCACUGCCAAAGAGAUAACAAAAAUGGAAGUGAAGCAGGCCAAGGAGAUGAUGGGUUUUUAAAGCUGAAGAAGAUAAAAGUACCGGCAUUUCCAGACCAGUCACCAAUAACUAACGGCGAAUGCAAAGAUCAAUGCAUGAAGAAUUGUUCGUGCGUCGCUUAUGAGUAUGAUGCUGGCAUUGGUUGCAUGUUAUGGAGUGGAGAUUUGAUUGAUGUCCAGAAAUUCUCUAAUCGGGGAGUCGACCUUUACAUUCGUCUGCCGUCUUCGGAACGUGGUAAACUUGUCUUCCAUAUCGACCAUGUGUGUGACGAAUUGCAUCAAUUAAUCUUCAUUUUUGGUUUAGAUGUUUUAUUAACCAUGUUUCUGGAUUUGCAGAUAAAAGGAAUAGUGAGAUAAUUGUUAUUACAACAGUAAAUUCAGGCAUGGUGGUGAUUAUAAUAAUUUCUGCACUCUUCUUAUUGCGUAGAAUGGGUCAACAAAUAGGUAAAAUGUACACCUUUAUUUAUUUAAUCUUUUUAGUCACUUUUUUUAAGAAAUAUGUAAAUUCUUUAAGAGUUCUCUUCGGGUAAAAUUGAAUUUAAAGGUAUUUUUUACUCGAUUUAAAUUCAAAUUUUAGAUAAAAUAAAAUAAAACUGAAAUAGAAUUGAGUCAAACUCGAAUACGGAGAAAAGCUCUAAACUUGAUUGAGUACUAUUGUAAAAGUUAAAAGACUGAAUUCAAGUGAAAUUAAAUUAUUUCAGUUUUGCUCGAUUAAGUUCGUUUAUAUAAAUUACAUAUUCGUAUUUGAUUUUAUAUAUAUAUUCGUUUAUAUAAAUUAUUUCAGAUAUACUUUUAUAUUUAAAUAAACUGGACCAUGUGUUAGAUAAAUUGGGUGAAUUAAUUUGCAAUUCUUUUGGGUCGAAGUUUCAUAAACCAAUUUUUUGGAUUUGCAGAUAAAGGGAAAAGUAGUAAGGUCGUCUUUGUUAUUACAACAGUAACUGUGGGCAAUUAUGUAGCCUUCAACUCAUUGCUUUUUUGAUUUCUAUCACAGGAAGGAAUAAAAGACGGACACAGAUCGAAGACAAAUUUCAUGGUGAAAAUAUAGGAGAAAGUUCAAUCGGUGUUAAUCUCCAGCAGCUUCCACUAUUCAAUUUCGAAGAACUUGCCACCGCGACCAACAACCAUCCCCAAAAAAAGCUAGGGCAGGGUGAUUUUGGUCCGGUUUACAAGGUAAUAUAUAAUAGCGAUUUUCGGUUGGUAGGAUAAUCAUCACCGGCCCAAAGCCGGAUUAUAAUGAGCUCGUAGGCCAGGCUCGUUAGUCGAGAAAUUUGUAAGAAAGCAAGUUCAACUUGCGAGUUCACUACAAUCUAACCCAAACCCAUUCAAAUUUUGAGCAGAUGAUGAUAAUUAUCCUAAAACCGGUGAAUCCAUGAGUCAAUGAAAUGACAUUUUUUUUUCAAUCUAAUUAUUGUAGUUUGAAUUUUGAGUGCAGGGAACAUUAGAUGAUGGAAAUGAAUCCACCAAAUUCCUUCAGAAAUAUGGCCUUCGGGAGAAUCAUCAGCACCAUGGGAUGUUCAAAGGAAUCCACCAACACCUUAUCAAAACCAGCUGAAGGAAGCCUUAAAUGAAUAUUGGUCCAACAUACCAGAUCCAAAAGAAUGGUCUCAAGAUUAUCCAAUGCAUUGCAGUCAGAUAAUCCAAGAUACACAUGAUGAAGGACCAAGUGUUUCACAAAUGACAAAACCUUCACCAAUUCCCAAAAGUAAUAAUGAUGAUGUGAUUCCACCAAAUGAUCUGGAAAGCAGGAUUGAAAAGCUAGAGCUUAGGUGUUACAGAGCCCGUGAAAAGAAAAGACAGAAAGUGGAAGAACUCAACAUCACCUCUGAUAUUGAUACAAACUAUGACACAGAUACAGAUACAGAUGUAUCAAUAAUAGAUAAGUUAAUGUAAAAGCAGAUUCCUCCUUAUCUGCUUAUGUCCUUUAUGUAUGAGUCAUGUCCUUUAUGUUUGUAAAAGCAGAUUCCUCCUUAUCUGCUUAUGUCCUUUAUGUAUGAGUCAUGUCCUUUAUGUUUGUAAAAGCAAAUUCCUCCUUAUCUGCUUACUUCUACUUUUCCCCUCUAUAUAAGCACGGGGAAGUCUCAGAUGUAAAAUAAGAACUUCCUUUGAAAUAAAACCCAAAAGAGUUUUUAUAAAUCUAUGGCUUUCUAAACCUCUUUCAUCUCUUCUUACUUGAAAAUAGAAUUUCUAUGAAAGAAAAUCUCUCAUUAGUUUAAGAGUAUGCUCUGUGCUUGCCAUACUCAUGGAUCCUGCACAUCAGAAAUUAAAUAUGAUAAAAGAUAUUAUUAAGUUCAGUUGAGUUUGAAGAAGGAAUUCAGUGAUUAAAGAGAUUAACAGCUAAAAGGCAGUGCCUUGUUGAUGGCCAGAAAAGAGAUGAAAGGCCUGUGUUUUGGCAUAGCAUACCUGCUGUUACUCAUCGUUAAUUGCUGAUCUCUAGCUUCUUACUCACCUACCCUCAAUUGGUUGGGACUUGGCAUAUUUACCUAUUUAGUCCUUUUAAAUUUUCUUUAAUCUAUAAUUAAACUUUUACCCUUGUUGCAAUUUAGCCCUUUUUAAUCAAUUAACCAUCGGAACAUUAAAAUUUCUUAACGAAACUUUAAUACUACCCUAAUGACACUCCAAAAAUAUUUAUAAAAAUAUUUACGACUCAAUUUAUAAUAUCGAGGUCUCGAUACCUCGUUUUUGACCCAAUUUUCCUAAUAAUUUCUUUUAAAUCACAAAAUUCGCUAAUUCAAAAAUAUUUCUAAAAUCACGCUGAACUUAUAAUUAUUAAUUAAUAAAUUUUUCUAACGUUUUCAUCAGAUUUAGUGAUCUCAAAUCACUAUUCUGACACUACUGAAAAUUGGGCUGUUACACUUUGACUUCUAAAAAUAUUGAAAUUUUGAUUUAGUCCUUUAAAAUUAUAAAGAUAUAAGUUAGUAAAAUAGUGAAAUUGCAUUUCAUCUCUCACAAAAAUAUAUAACUUAAUUCCAAUCCCUAGAAAAAUUUUCUGACUUCCUCUAAUUAAACUUCUUAUCACUCAAUCCAACAUCUGUAGCGAAGCAAAUAUCCUUAUUUGUAAGAUCCGUAUUUUUAAUCUCUCCGCUUUCUGGAAAUUACAAAUUCAAUUCAUAGAUAUGGAAACUAAAAUUGGUUAUACAAAUCAAAAAACCUUUUUACGUCUACGAGACUUUACCCAAAAUCUAAUUUAUUAUUAAUAUGCAGUGUAAGAUGUGAUUUAAGUUCAACUUUCUCACUAAAUUAUAACAUCGCUCCUAUGUAUUAAUAUAAGAUCAUUUUCCCCCACUAAGACUUUCCCAUGAAAUCUUAGCUUCAAACUGAAAAAAAUUUAAUAUUCUACAAUAUUCUAAUACAAUAUUCAUAAAUCAGACAUGCUAGAAGUAUUAAUUUCCAUGAACAGGGUGACAUGCUAAUUGAAUACAAUAUUCUAAUACAAAAUAGGUAGUGAUUAGUGCUUGAAGAAAAUUCAAAUCUUGAUCUAAACAUUUGCAGCUGCCUUGAAAUAUCAUUACAUCAUAUUAAAAUCAGACUAUUUUUUUAACUGAAAAAAAAUUGAGUUAAGUUAAAUAUCAUUCAUAAAUCAUAGCGUCUCUUCCAAGUUCUGGGAAGAGAUUAUGGGAAAAACUAUUAGCUGCUCUGUUUUACUAGCUUUAAUAUAUUGCUUUUACUUACUAUUUGCCACUGCUUCACACACUAUAACAGCAUCAAAAUCCAUCAAAGACCCUGAUGUUAUAAUCUCCCAGAAUGGUGUUUUCCGAUUGGGAUUCUUUGUUGGAGAAUAAAACGUGAGAGAGCUAAAAUAAUAUAUAGGAAAGUUACUCUCUUAUUAAUGAAUUCUAGAUGAGUAAAAACAAAGAAUAAGUGCCUAUAUUUAUAGGCUUACAUGGAAACUAACUUAACAUAAAAAUAGCUAACAAAUUAUUUGGUCAAGCUAAAAAAUCUGAAACUACCAAGAUUUUCUAAACAUCCCACUAAUAUGUUAUUUUGAAUUAUUCUCAACACUCCCCCUUAAUUCAAAGUUGCAGACACCAAGUAAACUUCUAAAAUAGCAAAACUUCUCUUUUGAUAAUGCUUUUGUUAACAUAUCUGCCAGCUGCUCUUCAGUGUUGCAAUAUUCCAAAGAUAUCUCCCCUUUUGCUACCAAAUCACGAAUGAAAUGAUAACAAAUAUCUAUGUGCUUUGUUCUACUAUGAAAUGUUGGAUUCUUUAUCAUGGAGAUCGUGGAUUUGUUGUCACAAACUAUGGUAGUUGCACAUUUCUGCUCUUAUUGGAGAUCGGUUAACAUUCUCCUUAGCCAAAUGGCUUGACAAGCUGUUGCAGUUGCUGCUACAUAUUCAGCCUCUGAGGUUGGCAAUACUGUUGUAGCUUGCUUCGUAGAACUCCAAGUGAUCACCCCAGAACCUAGAGUAAAAACAAAUAUUGAUACACUUCUUCUGUCAUCUAGAGAACUUGCCCAAUCACUAUCUGUGAACCCACACAAUCUGAAAUCUGAAGUUUUUGAGUACCAAAUGCCAUACUCCAAAGUUCCAGCAAUGUAUCGCAAUACUCGUUUUGCUGCUCCAUAAUGAACCUUUGAAGGUUGCUGCAUAAACCUGGAAAUAACACCAACAGAAAAUGCAAUAUCGGGUCUAGUGUGAGUCAAAUAGAUUAAACCUCCAACCAAGCUUCUAAACCUCCUUGCAUCUGUCAUUUCUUCUCCAUCCUCUUGCUGCAAUUUUUCAUUGAUAUUCAUGGGUGUAGCUGCAGGCUUGCAAUUAAGCAUACUAAAUUUACUGAGAAGAUCCUUGGCAUAUUUCCUUUGUGAGAUAAAAAUUCCAUCGUUAGCUUGAUGAAUUUCAAGACCGAGGAAAUAAUGCAAUAAACCCAUAUCGGAUAUCUCAAAUUCAUUCAUCAUUUGAGACUUAAAUUCAUCAACCAGUAAGUUAGAGAAACUAAUAUAAAUGAUUUCAUCAACCCACAGGUCCUAGGAUCGAAACCUGACUCUGAUACCAAAUUUGUUGGAGAAUAAAAUGUAAGAGAGAUAAAAUAAUAUGUAGAAAAGUUACUCUCUUAUUAAUGAAUUCUAGAUGAGUAAAAACAAAGAAUAAAUGCCUAUAUUUACAGGCUUACAUGGAAACUAACUUAACAUAAAAAUAGCUAACAAAUUAUUUGGUCAAUCUACAAAAUCUGAAACUACCAAGAUACUACCAAGAUUUUCUAAACAUCCCACUAAUAUGUUAUUUUGAAUUAUUCUCAACAUUCUUCAGCUUGGCUAACUCCAGCAAUCGUUAUGUAGGGAUAUUGUACCAUCAAAUCCCCCUACAAACUGUUGUAGGGUGGCAAAUAGAAACAGGCCUCUCAAAGACAUUUCUGGGAUUCUCACCAUAUCAGAUGAUGGCAACCUUGUUGUUUCCAAUGGAAAAGCUGAGAUUCUUUGGUCAACAAAUGUAACGAAUUUGGUUCCUAAUGCAACAACUGCACAGCUUUUAGACUCCGGAAACCUUGUCCUUAAUAACGGUGAGAAUGGAGGAAGCAGCAUCUUAUGGGAGAGUUUUCAACAUCCUUCUAAUGUAUUCCUUCAAACUAUGAAGAUCAGCACUGAUGUAAAAACAGGUCGUAAGGUGCAGACGAGAUCAGGGAAAAGCCCUGAUGACCCAUCUGAUGGCAACUUUGUUCAAGGCAUUGAACCUUUCAGCAUACCGGAGGGUGUCAUUUGGAACAAUAACCAUAUAUAUUUUCGGACCGGCCCAUGGAAUGGGUCGUAUCUAUAUUGGUUUAAUAAAUGUUAAUAGAGUUUAUUUUGAUGGGUUUUAUGUGGUUGCAGAUGAUGUAGAAAAAACUUAUUACGAAACUUACGAAUAUUCUACUGACUCUAGGGUGAUAUACUAUGAAUUAGAGUCUAACGGAAGAUACGUUGAACGAAUAUGGGAUGCGGCGAAAGGGAACUGGAUAAACGGGUACUCUAGUUAUCUAACAGAUUGUGAUGUUUAUGGAAAGUGUGGGGCAUUUGGAAUCUGCGAUUCAACGAAACGACCCAUUUGCAGUUGUUUGAAAGGAUUUAAGCCUAGGAAUAUAGAGGAAUGGAGUAGAGGUAAUUGGAGUAGUGGGUGUUUUAGGACUACCCCUUUGCACUGCCAAAGAGAUAACAACAAUGGAUGUGAAGCAGGCCAAGGAGAUGAUGGAUUUUUAAAGCUGAAGAAGAUGAAAGUGCCAGCAUUUCCAGACCAGUCAUCAAUAACUAACGGCGAAUGCAAAGAUCAAUGCAUGAAGAAUUGUUCGUGUGUGGCUUAUGCGUAUGAUGCUGGCAUUGGUUGCAUGUUAUGGAGUGGAGAUUUGAUUGAUGUCCAGAAAUUCUCUAAUCGGGGAGUCGAUCUUUACAUUCGUCUGACAUCUUCGGAACUUGGUAAACUUGUCUUCCAUAUCGACCAUGUGUGUGACGAAUUGCAUCAAUUAAUCUUCAUUUUUGGUAUAGAUGUUUUAUUAACCAUGUUUCUGGAUUUGCAGAUAAAUGGAAUUGUGAGAUAAUUGUUAUUACAACAGUAAUUUCAGGCAUGGUGGUGAUUAUAAUAAUUUCUGCACUCUUCUUAUUGCGUAGAAUGGGUCAACAAAGAGGUAAAAUGUCCAUCUUUAUUUAUUUAAUCUUUGUAGUCACUUUCUUUUAAGAAAUAUGUAAAUUCUUUAAGAGUUCUCUUCGGGUAAAAUUGAAUUUAAAGGUAUUUUUUACUCGAUUUAAAUUCAAAUUUUAGAUAAAAUAAAAUAAAAUUGAAACAUAAUUGAGUCGCACUCGAAUACGGAGAAAAGCUCUAAACUUGAUUGAGUACUAUUGUAAAAGUUCAAGGUCGAAUGCAAGUGAAAUUAAAUUAUUCAGUUUUGCUCCAUUAAUUUCGUUUCAAUAUGUUACAUAUUCGUAUUUGAUUUUAUAUAUAUAUUCAAGGUUGAAUUCGCACUAAUUUCAGAUAUACUUUUAUAUUUAAAUAAAGUGGACCAUGUGUUAGAUAAAUUGGGUGAAUUAAUUUGCAAUUCUUUUGGGUCGAAGUUUCAUAAACCAAGUUUCUGGAUUUGCUGAUAAAGGGGAAAGUAGUAAGGUCGUCUUUGUUAUUACAACAGUAACUGUGGGCAAUUAUGCAGCCUUCAACUCAUUGCUUCUUUGAUUUCCAUCACAAGAAGGAAUAAAAGACGGACACAUAUCAAAGACAAAUUUCAUAGUGAAAAUAUAGGAGAAAGUUCAAUAGGUGUUAAACUCCAGCAGCUGCCACUAUUCAAUUUCGAAGAAUUUGCCACCGCGACCAACAACUUCCAUCCCGAAAAAAAGCUAGGGCAGGGUGGUUUUGGUCCGGUUUACAAGGUAAUAUACAAUAGCGAUUUCCGGUUGUUAGGAUAAUCAUCACCGGCCCAAAGCCGGAUUAUAAUGAGCUCGUAGGCCAGGCUCGUUAGUUGAGAACUUUGUAGGAAAGCAAGUUCAACUUGCGAGCUCACUACAAUCUGACUCAAAUCCAUUCGAAUUUUAAGCCGAUGAUGAUAAUUAUCCUAAAACCGGUGAAUCCAGAGUCAAUGAAAUGACAUUUUUUUUCAAUCAAGUAUUGUAGUCUGACUUUUGAGUGCAGGGAACAUUAGAUGAUGGAAAGGAAAUAGCAGUGAAGAGAUUGUCGAAAGCUUCAGGGCAAGGUUUGGAAGAAUUUAUGAACGAAGUGGCGGUUAUUUCUAAGCUCCAACAUCGAAAUCUGGUAAAAUUGUUUGGGUGUUGUGUUGAAGCAGAAGAGAAGAUGCUCGUCUACGAGUUUAUGCCCAACAAAAGUUUGGACGCUUUUCUAUUCGGUUAGUAAUUUAUUCAAAUUUUAUAUUAUAUUUUCGGUCUCUAAUCAAAUUCAUAAUUCAGUUGAAUAGGAUCCCUUAAACAAUAAUGUUUUUUUCCAUUCACAAAAUUUAAAUUUAGGUGUAGUGAUAUUUUGAUUCACUUCGCCGUUUAAUAUUUAUUUCAAUUUAUUGACAUAACUUCAAUUAUGUCUACAAUCAUAAUGAAUACAAUAUGGUAGAAAUACUAUGACGGUUGUAGUUUAGAUCCUCAAUUAUAGGAAUUCAUUAUUAAUUUAGUAGGUUUUUAUGUUUAAAUUUUGUUAUAGAUCCCAUUAAACAAAAACUCUUGGAUUGGAGAAACGUUUUAAUAUUAUUGAAGGGAUCAGUCGAGGAUUGCUUUAUCUUUAUAGAGAUUCAAGAUUGAAAAUUAUACACAGAGAUCUAAAAGCAAGUAAUCUUUUACUUGACCAAGAGCUAAACCCAAAGAUUUCAGAUUUUGGGAUAGCCAGGAUCUUUGGAGGUGACGAAAAUCAAGCCAACACUAAAAGGGUUGUCGGAACUUAGUAAGUUGGAACUUCCUUCUUACCAUUUCUUUUUAUGCUCUUUUUAAUAAAAUAUGGUAUAAAUAUGUCUAUGGUCGGAUUUGAUGCUUAAAGAUGAUACAUGUCCAUGCUUGUAUCGAGUUUAAUUUUGUUCAAUUUGUGGACUCAAUUUAUUGUUUUUAAUUUUAUAAAUAAAAUAUUAAAAAUAUAUUUUUAUAUUUUUAUAGUUAACUUUAAAUUAUUUAUUAUUUAUUCUUAAUUCAAGUUGGCUUGUGGACAGGUUUAAAUAAGAGCUGUAAUUGGUGUUGUUUUUUAUGUUAAAAUACAGUGGUUAUAUGUCUCAUGAGUACGCAAUGCAUGGGCGAUUUUUAGAGAAAUCUAACAUGUUCAGUUAUGAAGUUCUACUACUGGAGAUUGUUAGUGGAAGAAGAAACACAAGCUUUUACAACAAGGAUGACCUUAGCCUCUUGGGAUAUGUAAGUUUAUAAGAUAGUUAGAGAUGUUGGUGGAUGGAAUUAGGGUGUAAGAUUUUGUAUUUGCGAGCUAUUCGAGUUCGGUUUGAGAAAACUUGAAUUUGGCUCAGUAAUUAUUGAGUCAAGCAAUCCUGUGAGUUGAAUUUGAGAAUCUUAUUACUUGAAUCGAGUAGCUCACAAGUGAAUUUCAAAAACCCUAAUACUUGAAUUGAGUAGCUUGCAAGGCUUUUCAAUCUUAAUCAAUAUUGAAAAUUUUCAGAUUAAACUCGAGCUUAAUUACAAAUAAUCAAGCUUGAAGUUAUGCAUAGGAGUGAAGCUCAUUGUAGACUUAGGCAAAACAAGCAGAGUUAAAACACUUCAAUUAACUCUAUUAAAGCUUUAAGAUUGAAAAUUUGAGUCAAGUUAAGCCUGGCCUGGCCCGGCCCGAAUAUAAUAAUUUUUUUUUAUUUUCAAAAAUAUUUUUAAAAUACUUUUUUUUAAUUUUUUUUAUUUUUAAAAUACUUUUUUAUUUUUUAAAUUUUCUUUUUGGUGUUUAUUUAAAAAAUGGGUCGGGCCGGGCUCGGGCCUAUGAUUUUUUUCCUUGGGCCGGGCUUGGACAAAAUUUUAGGCCCAUAUUUCGGGCCAAAAUUUUUUCUUGGCCCGGCCCGGCCCAUGAGCAGCUCUAGCCUAUAAGUAUUGAUUUCCAUGAACAAGGUGACAUGCUAGUUGAAUACAAUAUUCUAAUACAAAAUAGGUAGUGAUUAGUACUUGAAGAAAAUUCAAAUCUUGAUGUAAAAAUUUGCAGCUGCCUUGAAAUAUCAUUACAUCAUAUCAAAAUCAGACAGUUUUUUUAACUGAAAAAAAAUUGAGUUGAGUUAAAUAUCAUUCAUAAAUCAUAGCGUCUCUUCCAAGUUAUGGGAAGAGAUUAUGGGAAAAACUAUUAGCUGCUCUGUUUUACUAGCUUUAAUAUCUUGCUUUUACUUACUAUUUGCCACUGCUUUAGACACAACAACACCAUCAAAAUCCAUCAAAGACCCUGAAGUUCUAAUCUCUCAGAAUGGUGUUUUUCGAUUACAAUGGUUAGAUAUCUCCUGAGUAUGCAUUGCAAGGGCAAUUUUUAGAAUAAUCAGAUGCAUUCAGCUUUGGAGUUGUAUUGCUUGAGAUUGUUAGAGGAAGAAAAAGCACAAGCUUAUUGAUCUUAGCCUCUUGGGAUAUGUAAGUUUAUAAGAUAAUUUUUUUAUAUAUUGUAGCGACCUAAAAAAAUUUACGCGGGUGCUAGUCGAGGUGAUUAUUGAAAAUUUGAAAGCAGAGUUUCAAUUUAUUUAAAAAAAGGGAGUCGCCACCGAUCUUUUUUCCUACGUGUGAUCGAACACCUAAUAAAUUCUCUUUUUAGAAGAAAAUUUUAAUUUUUUUAAAGUUUUCUAAAAAAAGAGGUAAUUUUAGGUCUACGUGAAAAUCGAGAGAAAAUUAGAGUUCGGGAGUCAGUUAUGCGCGAGGAAGGUAUUAGCACCCUCGCGACGCCCAAAAUUGGUAUCUCGUUAAACGCGCGUUAUCUUAAUUUUCAAAAUAUAAGUUCAAUUUAAUAAUUAAUUGCGAUCCAAUCAAAAUACGAAAUUUAAAAAAAAACACGAAGAUUUUUGAAACAAUUAUUUUCUUUGAAAAACUUGAAAAAUUUUUAAAACACGAGAACUUUAGAGACACAAAAAUUAUUAAAACACGAAAAUUUUUGAAAACACGACAAUUUUGAAACACGCGAAUUUUUUUUUGAAAACCCGAUUUUUUUUUGAAACGCGAAAAUUUGUGAAACACGAGAUUGUUGAAAACACGCAAAUUUUUGAAAACACGAAAAUUUUUGAAACACGAAAAUUUUUGAAAACACGAGAAUUUUUUGAAAACGUGAAAAUUUUUGAAACACCGAAUUUUUUUUAAACACAAUUUUUUUGAUUUUUUAUUAAGCACGUAUCGUAUUUAACACGGACUGAUGAUAUUCACUCAACAUAGCAAUGAAAUCAACGAAUUAGUGUCAAAUCGAUUCGUUGCCUUAUUAUUAUUUUUUUGAAAACGCGAAUAUUUUUUUAAACACGAGAAUUUUUUUUUUGAAGACACGAAAAUUUCGAAGCACGAGAUUUUUUUUUUAAACAUGAAUUUUUUGAAUAUUUACAAUUUUUAAAAGGGCGUAUCGUAUUUAACAUAAACUGGUGAUAUUCACCCAACAUAGCGAUGAAAUCGACAAUUUAAUGUUAAAUCGAUUCGUUGCCUCAUUUAUUAAAAAUAUUAAAAAUAAAAUCAAAUUGAAUUUAAAUUUAAAUUAAAUUAAAUUGAAUUAAAAUUAAAUUAAAUUAAAUUAAAAAAAUAUAAAUACAAAAAAUAUAAAAAUGCAUAAAUUACUAAUAACAUUAAAAUGAAAUAGCAUAAAAAUACGAACAUUAAAUUAAAAGUGAAAUAAACAAAAUUACCGAAAAGAUCCGAAACACGAGCUUGGUCGAACAGGUUACGCAAAUUGAACCUUUUUUUCUUUUUUCCUCUUUUUCUUUUUCUUUCUUUUUUUUCUUUCAUUCUCUUUCUUUUUUUUGUUGGGCCGGCCUGCUGGGCCUGCACACUUGCUGGCUGCUGUUGGGCUGCCUGCUGGAUUGGGCCUGCUGGAUUGGGUCAAGCCUGUGCUACUAGGCCUUUUUUUCUGCUUUUUUUGUUUUUUUUGGGCUGAUUCUUGGGCUAGGGCCUGCGCUGGAAUGGCCUGCUGCUUGGUGGUGCCGGGUAAGGUCACGGGUCGGGUCAAUUAGACUCGGCUGCUUUAUUAUUAUUUUUUAUUUUUUUCUCUUUUUCUUCUUUCUCUUCUUCUUCCCCUCCCUUCUUCUUCCUUCUUCCUCUUCCGGUUCUCCUAGCCCUCUUCAACGUCGCCGCUGUCCUCUUGGCCGACGGUGACUGUCGGCAUACUUUUCGCUCUCCUCUUCCCCUUUUCUUUUUCCUUCUCUUCUUUUUCUUUUUUUUCGAAAAUUCGAAGACCCAAGGCGUUGCUUUGGUCCUCCACUUGCGCUCCGUCGCUCUCGUCUGCCUCCGGUGGUUGUGAGAAAGAAAUUAAAACUUUUUUUGAAGUUUCUUCACCGUUUUUUUCAUUUUUGCUGCUGAUUUUUUUUCUCUUGUUGUUUUUUUUCUUUCUCUUUUUCUCCUCUUUUUUUCUUUUGGGGGUUUGAAAUCCCCUUUUAAAUUUGAUGUUUUUUCUUCCUUUUUGCAGGUAGCAAGUGGGCUAGGGAGGGCCUAGGUCGGCUGCCGCCUGUUGCAGGCGCAACUUGCGUUGAUGGUUGCCAGAGGGACCAAAAUGUAAUGGCAGCAAAAUUUUUGGUGUCAAAACAUAAUUUUAAGAAAGUUUAAGGGUCAAGAUGUAAUUUCAAAAUCUUUAGGGGUUGAAAUGUAAUUUUGAAAAAAUUUAGGGGUUAAAAUAUAAUUUUAUAAAAGUUUAGGGGUCAAAAUGUAAUUUUUUUAAACACAAAAUUAUUCCAGGACAAAAUUCAGUGAUUACAGCUGCUCCUCUUUGCUCAUCGCUGUGAAACAGGGAUAGAGCAAAGACUUAAAAGCACUGAAUUUUGUUCGACCAUCCAAAAUUUUUCUUUUUAUUUGAAAAGCAGAAAUCGAGAAUAGCUUGGCGUGCGAGUCAAAGCUCAACUCACCUCGAAUUAUGAGUUGAUUUUUUGAAAAACAGAAAUUGAAAAGAAUACCUCGGCAUGCGACUCGAGGCUCAACUCACCUCUCGCAAUAUGAGUUGAUUUUGAUUUUUGAAAAAUAGAAAUUUAAAAGAAAUAUCUCGGCGUGUGCCCGAGGCUCAACUCACCUCUCGCAAUAUGAGUUGAUUUUUGAAAAAUAGAAAUUGAAAAAUACCUCAGCGUGACCCGAGGCUCAACUCACCUCUCGCAAUAUGAGUUGAUUUUUUAAAAACAGAAAUUGAAAAAUACCUAGACGUGUGCCCGAGGCUCAACUCACCUCUCGCAAUAUGAGUUGAUUUUGAUUUUUGUUUUUUGAAAAACAGAAUUUUAAAAGAAAUACCUCGGUGUGUGCCCGAGGCUCAACUCACUUCUCGCAAUAUGAGUUAAUUUUUGAAAAGCAAAAAUUGAAAAAUACCUCAGCGUGACCCGAGGCUCAACUCACCUCUCGCAAUAUGAGUUGAUUUUUUAAAAACAAAAAUUGAAAAAUACCUCGGCGUGUGCCCGAGGCUCAACUCACCUCUCGCAAUAUGAGUUGAUUUUGAUUUUUGUUUUUUGAAAAGCAUAAAUUUAAAAGAAAUACCUCGGCAUGUGCCCGAGGCUCAACUCACCUCUCGCAAUAUGAGUUGAUUUUUGAAAAACAGAAAUUGAAAAAUACCUCAGCGUGACCCGAGGCUCAACUCACCUCUCACAAUAUGAGUUGAUUCUUUUUAAAAUAGAAAUUAAAAAAUACAUCGGCGUGUGCUCGAGGCUCAACUCACCUCUCGCAAUAUGAGUUGAUUUUUGAAAAACAUAAAUGUACAAGAAAUACCUCGGCAUGUGACCUGAGGCUCAACUCACCUCUCACAAUAUGAGUUGAUUUUUUUUUUUGAAAAAACAGAAAUUGAAAAAAUAAUUUUUGAAAGAAACAGGGUUUCAAAAAACAUCGAGUAAAACUAAAAGCCUCCUUUUCAUUGAUUCAGUGCAGACUUCUCCCAAAAUUCCCUGCUCUGUUGGGAUGCAUGUAUAUGUCAUGUAUGAUGUUAUCAUGAUAUGCACGUGUUUGUCCUAAAUGCUUUUAUGCCUACAUGAUCAUGCCAUGCACUUUGAACUAUUUGUCACAUGCCCCUUCUUCGUAAGGGACUGCAUUCAUCGCCUCAAUCAUCAAUUUUUCUCUCCGAUUUUGUACUCAUCUUUGAAUUUUUCGGGUGACCCACAUUUUCAUAUUUCCCCUUCUUGCCUCAUUGUUGAACUUGGUUCUUGUUUUGGGGCCCUUGUACAUGUCAAAUUCUCAUCUAGGUAAUGCCCAACAUUCCUUUCGUUUAGAGUAUGUCAUCUUACCAUUUAUCAGUUAAAUGAAUCAAACACGAGAUGCAUGAAAAAUGGCAAAGUAGGCAUGAAAGAAAUACCUCAUAUUCAAAUUAUUUCAAAACCAACAAAGAAAAUUGACAAGGAAAAGCUCAAUAAAGAAAGCAUCACAAAGAAAGGAAACUGAAUCUAAUAGCUACAAAAUGCUUUAGAUAUCCAACGCAUGAACUUCUCCACGUUUCUUCGUCCUGGAUCUUUUUCGAGCACAGCUUCUCGUGUAAAAGAUUUCAAGCUUCUGAGAAUAAUUCAAAUAUUACAACCUUUCCAGUUGACUCCCUGUUUAAGUCGUCUUGCUCCUUAAGUCUGAAUCUGCUCCAUUAGGACGCCCUUUCGGGUUUUCAUCCUAAUCAUUUGUUUAUCAAGACGCUCUUUUCAGGUUUUCAUCUUUAUUUUUCUUUUUCUUUUCUUUUUUUUCUUUUUUUUUGUUUUUUUUGUUUUUUUGUUUUUUUAGGCAUAAUAUUUCUUCACAGCAUCUAAGUUCACUGGAUUAGGUAAUUCUUUCCCAUCCAUCUCAGUGAGAAUCAGAGCCCCUCCAGAGAAUGCCUUUUUUACAACGUAUGGCCCCUCCCAAUUUGGCGACCAUUUUCCUUGAAAGUCUCUUUGUAUCGGGAGGAUUUUUUUAGUACCAGUUCCCUUUCGCGGAAUUCUCUUGGCCGCACCUUUUUAUCAUGGGCCGUGAUCAUUCUUUUCUAAUAUAUCUGUCCAUGACAAAUUGCCUUCAAGUGUUUCCCUUCAAUAAGGUUUAGUUGAUCAUAUCAAGCUCAAACCCACUCUGAUUCUUCUAACUUUGUCUCAAUCAAGACGCGCAGGGAUGGGAUCUCUAUUUCGAUAGGCAGAACGCCUCCAUCCUGUAGACCAGAGAAAAAGGAGUUGCCCCCGUAGACGUCCGUACAGAGGUGCGAUAUGGGUACAAAGCAAACGGUAGCUUCUCGUACCAAUCUUUAUAUGUCUCAAUCAUCUUCCCGAUAAUCCUCUUAAUGUUUUUGUUGGCCGCUUCGACAGCUCCGUUCAUUUUUGGGUGAUAGGGUGAGGAAUUAUGAUGCUUUAUCUGGAAUUGCUCACACACUUCUUUCAUUAUCUUGUUGUUUAAAUUCAAAGCAUUAUCUGAAAUGAUUCUCUAUGGCAAACCAUAUCGACAUAUGAUCUCCUUUUUUAGGAACCUGCAGACUGCGAUCUUCAUCACAUUAGCAAACGAACUGACUUCUACCCAUUUUGUAAAGUAAUCUAUAACCACAAAGAUGAACCGGUGUCCAUUAGAAGCCUUCGGGGAAAUUAGCUCUAUGACAUCCAUGCCCCACAUAGAAAAAGGCCACUGAAAAGUCAUGACAUGAAGGGGCGAGGGAGCUGCAUGAAUUUUAUCACCGUAAAUUUGACACUUAUGACACUUUUGUGCGUAUCCAAUGCAAUCCCUUUCCAUUGUCAGCCAAAAAUAACCAAGUCUCAUAAUCUGCCUAGCCGUAGUAGACCCAUUGGCAUGCGUUUCACAAAUUCCUUCGUGGACAUCUUUAAGUAUUCUUCUGGCUUCAACAUUGUCCACGCAUCUCAGGAGCAUUUAAUCCUUUCCUCUUUUGUAUAGGAUAUCCCCAUCAAGAACAAAAUCAGCCGCCAUUCUUCUGAUUGUUCUUUUGCCAUUCUCGUUUGCUUGCUCGAGAUACCUUUGAUUCUUAACGUACUCUAAGAUGUCAUGAAACCACGAUCGUCCAUCUGACUCAUUCUCAAUGCUAAAAUAGUGUGCGGGGACAUCAUAUAUGCUCAUUUGGAAAGGCAUUAUUUCAGUUUCUCUAUUUGCUUUGAACAUUGAAGCCAAUGUGGCCAAGGCGUCAGCCAAUUGGUUUUCCUCUCGUGGGAAGUAUUGAAAAGUCACUUCUUUGAAUUCUUUGACCAAUUCCUCCACGAAAUCGCGAUACUUGACUAAUUUUGAAUCUCUCACUUCCCAAUCUCCGUGAAUUUGAUAAAUCACUAACGUUGAGUCUCCAUACACCUCUAAGAUUUCUAUUUUCCGUUCAAUAGCUGCAUGAAGUCCCAUGAUGCAAGCUUCAUAUUCUGUUAUGUUAUUAGUACAGAAGAAAUUCAAUCUGGCAGUGAGCAGGUAAUGGUUUCCUUCCGGUGACACUAAGACUGCUCCUAUCCCGUGCCCCAACGCGUUCGAUGCACCAUCAAAACUCAUCUUCCAUGAUUGAUCUUUUAAUGAGUCACCUUCGAAAAUACACAUCAAGUCUUCAUCCAGGAAGUCAAAUCUCAACGGCUCAUAUUCCUCCAUUGCUCGACUUACCAAGAAGUCAGCUAUUGCGCUUCCCUUUUUCAACUUUUGGCUCACAUACACAAUGUCAUUCUCCCUGAGAGUGCGGGUGAUUCCAUCAAAUACUUUAAUAGAUCUAGCUUUGAAAUUAACCACGUUGUAUGAUACAACAUGUAUUGUCUGAGCUUUCAAACUACCCAGACCAAUGUACAGUAGAAUUUUUCAAUUGACGGGUACUUUGCCUCAUAUUCUGUGAACUUUUUGCUGAGGUAGUAAAUCACUUUUUCUUUUUUCCCUGACUCAUCACACUGCGCCAGUACGCAACCCAUUGAGUUUUCAAACAUGGUUAGGUACAAUAUUAAGGGUUUUCCAGGGGUCGGCGGCACUAGCACCGGAGGAUUAGACAGAUAUUGUUUUAUCUUGUCGAAGGCUACUUGGCACUCCUCAUUCCACUCUCCGGAAUUAUGUUUUCGAAGGAGUUAAAAAAUUGGAUCACAUUGGUUGGUAAGUUGAGAAAUGAAUCUAGCAAUGUAAUUCAACCUUCUUAAAAAUCCUCUGACUUCUUUUUGUGUACGCGGAGGUGGCAGUUCUUGUUUGGCCUUUAUAUUGUCUAGAUCAACCUCAAUACCUCUCUCGCUGAUAAUGAAACCUAGAAAUUUUCCCGAGGUUGCCCCGAAUGUACACUUUUCUGGGUUAAGCUUCAACUGAAACUUUUUUAAUCUUUCGAACAGCUUCCUGAGGUUCCCGACAUGCUCCUCUUCUCUUCAGGACUUGGGAAUCAUAUCAUCGACAUAAACUUCUAUUUCUUUGUGCAUCAUGUCAUGGAACAACAUCACCAUGGCUCUCUGAUAUGUUUCCCCAGCAUUCUUCAAUCCAAAUGGCAUCACUUUGUAGCAGAACGUUCCUCACAUUGUCUCGAAUGUGGUUUUUUCCAUGUCUUCGAGAGCCAUCUUUAUCUGAUUAUAACCUGAGAAACCAUCCAUGAACAAAAAUAAAGAAUGUUUUACCGUGUUAUCCACUAACGUAUCGAUGUGUGGCAAAGGAAAAUUAUCUUUAGGGCUUGCUCAGUUCAAAUCACGAUAAUCUACGCACAUUAAUACCUUGCCAUCUUUCUUCGGUAUCGGGACUAUGUUAGCUACCCAUUCUGGAUACUUGGAGACUUGUAGGAAGCCAGCAUCAAAUUGUUUAUUGACUUCUUCUUUUAUCUUCAACAACAUUUCGGGUCUCAUCCUUCUUAGCUUCUGUUGAACAGGUUUGCAUUCUGGUUUCAGUGGGAGCUUAUGGACCACAAUAUCUGUGCUCAACUCUGGCAUAUCCUGAUAAGACCAGGCAAACACAUCCUUGUACUCAUAGAGCAAGGCAAUUAAAUCUCGCCUGGUGUUUUCUGAAAUGGAAGUCCCAUCUUCACUUCUUGUUUCUUUUCUUCAUUCCCCAAGUUCACUACCUCAACAGAUUCUUGAUGGGGUAGAAUCUGUUUCUCUUCUUGUUCAACCAUUCUCAAUAAGUCAGGAGGCGGGACACAAUUUUUAGCAUCUUUCUCAGCUUCAAAUUCUCCUAAACAAAUAGCCUUCUCGAAAUUGAUUUUAGGACUUGUAACGGGAUUGUUCAUACCAUAGAUAUCUGAGCACCGAAAGGUGAAUGGGAAAGAAAACUAUAGAGGAGCAUCAAAGUAUUGGAAUCAACACACACAAUGUUAUGGAAUGAUAUAAUAUAUGUGUAGGAAAAAGCUAUGAGAAGCGAGAAUAAUUAUGACACUAAUAGAAACAAAAAGACCAUGACAAAAUGCAUCUUCAUUAAUGUUUAUUGAAAUGAUAAAGAGCAAACAUAAACUCUUACAAAAGGAAUCCCAUCACUUAGGAACACACAAAAUAAUGGAGAAGUAACAUUGGGUAUUACCCGGGAGAGAACUUAGAAACUACAAGAAGGUCCACAACAGUCCAAUUGUUCAAAAUAUAUUCAGGAGGACAGGGGUGUAUCAUUGAAACAUCAUUAAUUGUACCACUCUCGUUGAGCUCAACAUCCAUAGCUCUAGCUCUUAGAUGUGUUCUAUAAGAAUGACGUGAUUCCAGAAUUGUAGUGUCACAACUUGGAUUUUGCGGUUCUAGCCUUAAUGAAUGUUUAGGGUGAUAUGUAUAUGCAAUGCAUGAAUGAAUGAAUGAAUGAAUGAAUGGAUGAAUGACAAGUGAAUGUUAGUCAUGAAUAAAUAUACAAGAAUUUGGUGUUGAUUUCAAGAUAGCCCCAUAUUUUGGCGUUUCAUUUAUCAAAAGAGUCCAUUACAAAAUAUUUUGCCAAUGAAGAUGCCCCUAGUGCCUGAGUCUCAUUGUUUCCAGAUCCUAGUCAAAUCUUCGGGGUUAUUCUGACGAGCAUUCAAAGUCGCCUUCCCGAAAAGAUCAAAGAUAUAUCUUUCCUUUAAACUAUCCAUUUUUCUUUCUGGGUCCUCGAAGACCAAUCUUGGACUAUGUCAUUUUUCACGGUUACUUGUGUAAUUAACUCUUCCAUCAAAAACCCGUUUUUGGCAACCAAUCUUUAACCAACACCUUCCCAAUAAAAUGCCUAUGAUGCAUGAUGAGAAAUAAAAUGAAGACAAAUAAACUUAGUUAGUAAUCACGACAAAGAAAAACAAAGAAAAACUAUGGAAAAUCUAACAAACUGGCCUACUUUUUUUAUUUUUUGUUUUUACCCCAUCAUGCUUUACAAAAUAAACUUACCCCACAUACUCAUCAAUCUACCCGAUCCAAUUUAUUAAAUAGACCCGAUUCUUUUGCAAAUAACUAUAAAUGUAAAAGAAAUACAAGGUAAGAAACGUUUCUCCCAUGUACUUAUUCGGUAGCUAUCCAACGGACAGAGGUUCGACAUAGCUCUAAUUGGGUGGCUCGUACAGUUCACUAUAUGUGGUUUCAGUUCUAAAAAGGUACUCGAAUUGUCCAUACUGUUACCUACUAAGGUUAGUAUGGAGCCUCGGUUAUCACCCGUUAUGGGCUUGCGAGCUCAAUUCAAGGGACUACAUUUACUUAUGCCUAUGCGGAGGGACAAGUUAACUCACGAAAGCAUAAGUCAUAUGUAACCCGGAAGUAAUUUUUUAGCCUGUGCGGAGGGAUGAGUUAACUCACGAAGGCAUAGUGUUUACUUCCACUUAAACGGACGGAGCCCGGGUAGAGAGCUCAUGUUAUGCAAGAAUGCAAGUGCACAGUGUGUGGGGAGAAACUCACAAACCUUUUUUAUUUUUUAAUUUUACUAAAAAAAACUAAAAAAAUAUUUACGGGCAUCGGAAAAGUAUAAUAUCGGGCCUUCGUCUUAGUAAAUUGAGUUUGAAAAUAAUUAUUAGAAAUAUUUACGAGGCUAGUUGUGUGUUUAAUUAGAUUUUUAUUUAGUGAAUUUAGCUUAAUUAGGAGUAAUUAGCAAAAAGGAUUAAAUUCCAAUAGAAGUGAAAGUUUAGUUAUAGAUUAAAAGAAAGUAAAAAGGGGUAAAAUGGCAAUUAAGCCAUUUAUAUGAAAUGAGGUGGCAUACAAGCAUUAAAAUCUAAGAUUUUAUUUGAGUUAUACAUAAAUAUUAUAUAUAUUAUAAUUAUAAUUAUUAACCAUUGUUAAGUUUUUAUAUUAUUAUUAUUAAAUAAAGUAAAUAGUAGACAAAUGGAUGGUGAUAAAAUAAUACAUGUGAAAUUAAAAUAUGUAUAUUGUUGACACCAUUUUUUUUGUGAAAACGGGGUCGACUUGGAUUUUGAAAAUAAAACGAAAAUGGGAGUCGCCACCAAUUCUUUUUUUUAUGAGGUGUGAUCGGGUCACCUCGAAAAGUGGUUGUUUUUAAUAAACAAUUUAAUUUUUAUUAAAACAACGAUUUUGGCCUACGAAAUUCAGAAAACGGGUUCGGGAGUCGACUACGCACGAGGAAGGAUUAGCACCCUCGAUGCGCCCAAAAUUGGUACCUUGUUGAUUAAUUAAUGUCUUAGUGUUGAAAAUUGAAAACUUUGAAGAGUUUUAAAAAUACGAUCCUUAAAAGAAACUCUGAUAACGUGAAUUGAAAUAUAAGAUUCUCUUGUUCCGAAGGGAUAUCACAUCCAGCACGUUAGGACACGACACUUUAAACUGUCGAAACCAAGGUCACCUUAUAGUUUAAGGAAACCAUACUUUGAAGUUUGAAGAGGGUAUUUAGCUAUUUAGUCGAACGAGAAAUCAAAACCCAGCACGUUAGGGCAUGUUUUCUCGAAUUUCCAAACGCAAAAUAUUGCCUCACUUUGAAAUUUUAAAAGGAUAUUUGGCUAUUUGGUCAAACAAGGAGUCGAAACCCAACACGUUAGGGCACGUUUCCUCGAUUUUCCAAAUGCAAAAUAUUGCCUUAUUUUAAAAGUUUAAAAAGGAUAUUUGGCUAUUUGGUCGAACGAGAAAUCGAAACCCAGCACGUUAGGGCACGUUUCCUCGAUUUUCCAAACGCGAAAUAUUGCCUUAUUUAAAAAAAACCUUCCUUUCGAUGUUUGGUGUUAACGCAUGACAAAACAAUAACGAAUACGACAAGGUAAGCAUAGUAAUGUGAGUAACAACAAUACAAUAGGCAAAAUAAAAUGACGAGGCGAUUACAUAAACAAAGCAAACGAAUAAACAAAUAGAACUGACAUUUUAGAAAAGUAAAAGUGUACAUGAAUAAAUAAAUAAACACCAAAAUAACAAUGAUGACAAUAAAUACAAUUAUGUAAAAUGUGUAUGCAUGUAUAAUUUUAAGUUAUGAAAAUAAGAAAUGAUUUAUAUAUAAAUCGUAAAGUAUAAAAAUGUAUAUAAAUAUAAAUAUAUAUAUUAAAUAAAAAUAUGUAAGUAUUAUAAAAUAAAAAUGUAAGUAUGUUCAUAUGUACAUUAUAAAAUAUAUAUAGGUAUACUUAUUUUUUAGAUUAUAAAGUAUACACAAAAAAGGAAUAUAUGUAUAUACAUAUGUAGGAGUUACAAAAUAUAAAACACAUGUGUACAUAUAAAAUAUAUAACAUAAAAUAUGUGCGUAUGUAUAUUAUAAAAAUGUGCAUAUAUAUGUAUAUAUGAAAAUAAAAGUAAGCAUAUAGAUUAUAGCAUAUAUAAAAAUCUAAGUAUGUAUAUAUAUAUUGAUUGUAAAAGUGUACGUAUUAAGAAUGCAUGCAUGUACAUGUAUAUGAAAAAAUUCUAAAAUUUAAAAAAAAUAUAUACAUAUAAACAAGUAAAUAUCAUUAAAUAAAAUAUUAAAUAAAACUGGCUUUUACAUAGGUAUAUUUAUAUAUAAAAAUAAAUAAAUAAAAUUAAAAAAACUUGAAGUUUAAAAGGUCGAGGAUCGAAUUGGAAUCAGGCUGAUAAUUUGGGGCCAAAUUCGCAAAUAAAAGGUUCAGGGGCUGAAACGAAGCACGCGCGGAGUGCAAAGGACUGAUCGGGAAAUAUGCCCAAGUCCUGAAGCACAGCAUUUAUGCGCGGACUAAAUUGGAACAUGCAACAAAAUUGCAGGGCCAAAUUGAAAACAAUAAAGAAACCAGUAGAACGAUUAAAUUAAAACAAAAAAACGUGGAGGGAUCAAGAGCGCAAAUUUCCCAGUCAACAGAAAUGCGCGGAUCCCUUGGAACGGGUCGGGUCAAACACGCGGGCAAGGGGGCCAAACGGCACCGUUUUAUAUCUGCUAUAAAUAGCAAAAAAAGAAAAAAAGAAAAAAAAAAACAUUUCCAGCUUUAUUUUUUAGAAAAACAGAGAGCAGUUUGGUUCUCUCUUAGCCUUCAACUCCGGUCAACAGGGCCACCGCCUGCGCCGCCGUGACUCUGCCGUAGGCGAUGGUCGGAGCGACGCAAAGAUCGGGUCCUUCACCGAUUUAAAGGCCAUUUGAAGGCCGAAGCUUCAGGGCUCGAAAGCCGAAAGAAGAGAAACCCCAUGGCCUCCCUUCGGUCCCGAUUUCACCGACCAAGACGGUUUCGGCGACGGACCUUGCGUGCAGCCCUAGGUAAGUUUCUUCCCUUCCCUUUUUUUGAUUGAUUUUUUAUUAUAGUUAUUUAAAACAAAUUUGAAAAAAAAGAGAAAAAAAAACGAAAACAAAACAAGAUAAAACAGAUGAAUAAGAGAAAACGAAGAAGAAAUAGCAAGGAUUCAACCUUUUAAAAUUUCUAUUCAGCUUUUUGAUUUCUGAUAUGGGUGAAAAAAAAUACAAGGAUUCGAUCAAGGCUUUUAUAGCCGAUUUCCCUAACUCAUUUUUCCCUAUUUUUGUUUCCAUUAGCUAUAUUGCCUGCAUGCUUCUGUGGUUGCAUUCAAUUUUCUCUGCAGGUGUCAGACGAGGCCAACGGCGGAGGCAGAGGCAUGUGCGAGAAGAUGAAGCGGCACGCGUGGGCAGAGGCGGCCAACGGCGCCCUAGGGUUUCUCUUCUUCUGUUGAAAACAUUUGUUUGUGGGCUAGGGCUGUAUUGGGCUGGCAUCAUUGGGCUUUGGGUUUAUUUUUUGUAAAAUGGACUGUGACUGUUUUAUUAAUUUGGUUUGUUUUGGGUUCCAUUGGGCCCCGGGUAAAAUUUGGGCUCUACAUAUAUAUUUGUAGUUUGUAAAAUUAAUUUGCUUAUUAAUUAGUAUAAGAUAUUUAUUAUUUAUUAUUAGUUAUUAGUUAUUAUUAAAUUAAAAGAUAUUUAAUAAUUAAAUAAUUAGUAUAAGAUUUUUGGGUAAUAAUAAAUUAUGAUUUUGUCAAGUGUGUGGUAAAAAUAAAAUGCAAGUGUAUUACAUUUAUUUAUUUACUUAAAAUUUAAGUAAAAGAUAUUUAUUAAUUAAAUUAUUAUAUUAAAAUAUUUUUUUGAUGAAGUAGUUAGAUUAAGACAAAUGUAAGGUUAUGAUAUGGUACAAAUAUAUUAAUUAUAUUUGUUAUUAAAAUAGAUAUUUUAUAAAUAAUAAUUAAUUAAACAUAAAAGAAAUAAAAUAAAGGAAAUAAAGUAAAGUAAGUUAAAAUAAAAAGGAAAAGAACAAAAGAAUAACAUAGUAGAAACAGAGACCAUUCGAAACAGGGGAGAAAGAAAAGGGAAAGAAAAAUAAAAGGGAAAACUAGGGAUUUGAAGCUUGAAGUUUAAUUGGUAAGUUAAAUCAAGUCCUUUUCUCAUAAAUUUGAUGUUUUUGGAAUCCUAGAGUGAAAUACUCUUGGAUUUAAGUUGAAAAUUUGAAAGUUAAUAGAUUUUUUAGUAGGGUUUAUGUUGAAUAAAUUGUUGAAUUAGGGAUUUAAUUGAAUGAAUUUUAAGUUAGAAUUGAUAAAGGGAUUAAAUUGUAAAAGAAACUAUAAAUUUUAUGUUUUAGGGACUAAAUUGAGGGAAAUUCGAAAUUAGAAAAAUAUGCUGAAAUUUUGAUAGUUAAAUUUGAGUUUGGAUGAAAUAUGAAUAGAAAUAGAGUGUGAAUUGAAUUAGGAAAGUAAGUGAAUUUAGUUAGGAUUAAAUUGAGAAUAAGGAAGAAAUUGAAUAGAAAUUCAAUUAUUUAUUAUGAUUAGUGCUGUAAUUAAUAGCAUAAAUUAUUAUUAUUUUCGUAGCUAACAAAGAACCAGAAGCAUCGGCACGGAAGGGAAAAGAGAAGAUUAUCGAGGAGUAAACUCGAGAAAAUCACGGUUUGUAUUACUAUAAUUCAAGUUAUUUAUUAUUAAAUGUUAAAUUUUAAUUUAUGUGUUUAGUAAAUGAAAUGUGAGGUAAGUAUUAUUAUUAUUAUUAUUAUUAUUAUGAGUGUGAAUUAAAUUGAAUAGUUGAUAUGAAUUAAUAAUUGAAUUGUUUGUUCAUUGAAAUUGGGAAAUGAAUUUGAAUCGAAUUGUGAAUGAUAUUAAAUUGUAUGGAAAUGUAUUGAGUUGUGAAAAUGUGUGAAUUUGUGGAUUAAUUAUUGAUUGAAAGAUGGAGAAAUGAUUGAAUUGAAAAUGUGAGAAAUUGUGAUUGAAUAGAGGUUAUUUGUGAUUUAAAUACCCUAUUAACUAGUCGGGCUGAGUCGGAUAUAGUUGGCAUGCCAUAGGAAUAGAAGAGUUCAGGGAUACUUCGACCUCGAGUCGAUGAGACACUGGGUGUCACUAUAUUUCUUCGGAUAGAUUCGAUGAGGUACUGGUAUAUUUCUUCGGAUAGAUUCGAUGAGGUACUGGGUACCAACUUACUUCGGCUUGGCCGAUGAGACACUGGGUGUCAACUAUUGCUUCGAACUAUCCGAUGAGGCACUAGGUGCCAUUCUGGUGUGUUUGGUUGGAUCCGUGUAUCCGCCAAAGUCUGAGUUUUGUUAAUAGGGUAAAUUAUGAAAUGAUAAACCGAACGAGUUAAUCAAAUGAGCUAUUGAAAUGAAAUGAAAAAGUUGAAUUGUGAAUUGAAAUGUGAGAUUGAGAAAUAAACCAAAGUUCAUGAUGUGCCCAAAAUCAAAUUGUGGAUAUUUGAUAUCAAUUGAUGAAUUGCUAUUGUUGAAAUAUGGAAUUUAAAUCUAAAUUUGUAUAUACGAUUUAUGAAUUAUAUGUUUAUUAUUGUUAUAAUUUGAAUUAUGGUAAUACCACUGAGUAUAAAUUACUCAGCGUACGGUUGUUUCCGUGCGCAGGUCAAUAGAAGUCAAAGGUCCCGGUUCAGCAUCCAGAUUAAUCCCGGCUUCAGCAAAACUUGGUGAUGUAUUUUUCAUUUGGUAAAGGUGGCAUGUACAUAGGUUGUGUAUAAAGGUUAUUAUGUUUUAAUAUAAAUGGUUAAAAAAUGUUAGUAUUAAAGUUUAUGAAUUUUAAUGAAAGAAGUAUAUCUAUUUUUAUCUAAUUAGUACAUUGUUAAAUUUUAAAUUGAUAUUAUAUAGAUUGAGUUUGAUUAGAAGUAUUUAGAAUAGAAAAUGAGAAUGUGACAUGAAUUGGUUGAUUUGAUUUUAUUUGAAAAUGAAAUGGUUUUAAAUUGCAGGGGGUUUUAGGUAAAAAUAAGCAGAAAUGCUGUCGAAAUUUUUUGUAAAAAAAAUUUAUAAAAAAAAAGUCAAUUGGUAAACAAACAUAAGAAUUUAUGAUUUAUUUUAAUAUGUUGGUCAUUUAUGAUUUGUUUAUCUGUAAAUUGUUUAAUAUGUUCGGUAAUACCCCGUAACCCUGUUUCAGUGACAGUUUGAGGUUAGGGGGUGUUACACAUUAGACUCGACUCUAAAAAAAAGUCCCCAGCGGAGUCGCCAGCUGUAGCGACCUAAAAAAAAUUACGCGGGUGCUAGUCGAGGUGAUUAUUGAAAAUUUGAAAGCAGAAUUUUAAUUUAUUUAAAAAAAGGGAGUCACCACCGAUCUUUUUUCCUAGGUGUGAUCGGACACAUAAUAAAUUCUCAUUUUAGAAGAAAAAAUUAUUUUUUAAAAUUUUUUCUAAAAAAGAGGUAAUUUUAGGUCUACGUGAAAAUCUAGAGAAAAUUAGAGUUCGGGAGUAGGUUACGCGCGAGGAAGGUAUUUGCACCCUCGCGACGCCCAAAAUUGAUAUCUUGUUAAACGCGCGUUGUCUUAAUUUUCAAAAUAUAAGUUCAAUUUAAUAGUUAAUUGUGAUCCAAUCAAAAUACGAAUUUUUUAAAAAAACACGAAGAUUUUUGAAACAAUUAUUUUCUUUGAAAAACACGAAAAUUUUUGAAAACACGACAAUUUUGAAACACGCAAAAUUUUUUUGAAAACCCGAUUUUUUUUUGAAACGCGAAAAUUUGUGAAACACGAGAAUUGUUGAAAACACACAAAUUUUUGAAAACACGAAAAUUUUUGAAACACGAAAGUUUUUAGGAAACAUGAAAAAAAAAAUUUGAUCAUCGAAAUUUUUUAAAACACGAAAAUUUUUGAAACACGGAAAUUUUUGAAAACACGGAAAUUUUUUGAAAACGUGAAAAUUUUUGAAACACCAAAUUUUUUUUAAACACAAAUUUUUCGAUUUUUUAUUAAGCACGUAUCGUAUUUAACACGGACCGAUAAUAUUCACUCAACAUACCAAUGAAAUCAACGAAUUAGUGUCAAAUCGAUUUGUUGCCUUAUUAUUAUUUUUUUGAAAACGCGAAUAUUUUUUGAAACACGAGAAUUUUUUUUUGAAGACACGAAAAUUUUGAAGCACGAGAUUUUUUUUUUGAAAACAUGAAUUUUUUGAAUAUUUACAAUUUUUAAAAGGGGGUAUCGUAUUUAAUAUAAAUCAGUGAUAUUCACCCAACAUAGCGAUGAAAUCGACGAUUUAAUGUUAAAUCGAUUUGUUGCCUCAUUUAUUAAAAAUAUUAAAAAUAAAAUUAAUUUGAAUUAAAAUUAAAUUAAAUUAAAUUAAAAAUAUAAAUGCAUAAAUUACUAAUAACAUUAAAAUGAAAUAGCAUAAAAAUACGAACAUUAAAUUAAAAGUGAAAUAAACAAAAUUACCGAAAAGAUCCGAAACACGAGCUUGGUCGAACGGGUUACGCAAAUUGAACAUUUUUUUCUUUUUUCCUUUUUUUCCUUUUCUUUCUUUUUUUUUUCUUUCUCUCUCUUUCUUUUUUUUUGUUCGGUCGGCCUGCUGGGCCUACACACCUACUGGCUGCUGUUGGGCUGCCUGCUGGAUUGGGCCUGUUGUUGGGCCUGUUGGAUUGGGUCAUGCCUGUGCUACUAGGUCUUUUUUUUCUACUUUUUUUGUUUUUUUUGGGCUGCUUCCUAGGCCUGGGCCUGCGCUUGAAUGGCCUGCUGCUUGGUAGUGCCAGGUUGGGUCACGGGUCGGACGAGUCGGAUCAAUUAGACCCGGCUGCUUUAUUAUUUUUUUGAUUUUUUUUCUCUUUUUCUCUUUUCUCUUUUUCUUCUUUCUCUUCUUCUUCCCCUCCCUUCUUCUUCCUUCUUCCUUCUUCUUCUUCCAGUUCUCCUAGCCCUCUUCAACUCCGCCGCUGUCCUCUUGGCCGACGGUGACUGCCGGCAUACUUCUCGCUCUCCUCUUCCCCUUUUCUUUUUCCUUCUCUUAUUUUUCUUUUUUUUUCGAAAAUCCGAAGACCCAAGGCGUUGCUCCGGUCCUCCACUCGCGCUCCGUCGCUCUCGUCCGCCUCCGGUGGUUGUGAGAAAGAAAUGAAAACUUUUUUUGAAGUUUCUUCACCGUUUUUUCUUCAUUUUUGCUGCUGAUUUUUUUUGUCUUGUUGUUUUUUUUUCUUUCUCUUUUUCUCUCUUUCUUUCUUUUGAGGGUUUGAAAUCCCCUUUUAAAUUUGAUGUUUUUUCUUCCUUUUUGCAGGUAGCAAGUGGGCUAGGGAGGGCCUAGGUCGGCCGUAGCCUGUUGCAGGCGCAACUUGCGUUGAUGGCUGUCAGAGGGACCAAAAUGUAAUGGCAGCAAAACUUUUGGGGUUGAAACGUAAUUUUGAGAAAGUUUAGGGGUUAAAAUGUAAUUUCAAAAUGUUUAGGGGUUGAAAUGUAAUUUUGAAAAAAAUUAGGGAUCAAAAUGUAAUUUUAAAAAAUUUAGGGGUCAAAAUAUAAUUUUUUUAAACACAAAAUUAUUCCAGGACAAAAUUCAGUGAUUACAUAUAUAAUUUCUACUACUAUUCGUAAUUCCUCUGAACUUUUAAUUUAGAGAAUAAUGUACAUUUAAGUGCACUCAAACCCACGUUUUUGUGUAAGUUGUAACAACAAUUAUGCCAAUUGAGAGAACAAAAACCCAGGGUGUAAGAAGCUAUAUUUGCAAGAUGGGUUUGGUUCAAGAAAACUUGAUUUCAGCUCAGUAAUAGUAGAGUCCAACAAUCAUGUGAGCUAAAUUUAAGAAUAUUAAUACUUGAAUUAUUUUUCUUGCAAGCUGAAUUUGAGAAAAUUAAUACUUGAAUUGAGUAGCUUGCAGUUUAACUCGAGCUUGAAUACAAAUAAUUAAGCUUGAAGUUGAGCCUAAUCAAGAGAAUUUCUGUAGCUUGUUAUUUAUAUCGAAUUGAGCCAAUUGAACUUUUUAGAAGCUUUAAGUUCAAAAUUUUGGGUCAAGUUAGGUUGGAUAAUUUAAGCAAAGUUGUUUUUUGUUUACAAGCGGGGAGACAAUGGAACGAAGGCAACAUUUGGAUCUUAGUAGACAAGAUUAUUUCAAAGUCAAAAUUAAAUUAAAGAAUGAGAAAGAAAUAUGGAAAUGCAUACAUGUUGGAUUGCUAUGUGUCCAGGAAUAUGCUAAAGAUAAGCCACUAUGUCUACGAUUGUUUCAAUGCUUAAUAAUGAGAUUUCAAAUCUUCACCCUUCAAAACAACCUGCUUUUACUCAAGCACCACUAAUUAGCCAUGUUGUUGAGAAUAAGGUUUCAGUUAAUGAUGUAGCUCUUACAGACUUUGAUUUGAUGGUAGAUAAAGAUGCAAAUUAUUUAUUUUUAUUAGUUUUUAGAAAUAAAUUUUAAGUAUUGAAAUUUAUCUAUCUAUUAUUUUUUCGUGCGAUGCACAAGUUAAUCUUUUGUAUUUAUUAAUAUAUAUAUAUUUAAAUUAUUGUAUAAAAUUUUAAACACUUGAUAAGAGCGAAAAAUGUAUUAUUAAAAAGGAGAAAAAUAAUUGUCAAUGUAAACCAAAAGUCCUCAAAAUAAACGGUUCAAAAAACACAAAACAAACCCUCCCCAUGGGAGAAACUUUGACCGACGGUUGCUCACAUCUCACAAGCUAGAUACUUCGAUAAUCAAGCCAGCGAUCAACAGAACCAAACAGUGGGGAACAGAUUAUAAAAAACCCCACAAAAGCCAUAUAUUCGAGCAGGACUUAUGGCGGAUCCAGUAGUCGAUGAUUCUCUGCAGCCGUAGCAGCAACAACAGCCUGGGAUUCCUCAACCCAAAAUCGAUCUUUAUCGCGCGACAACCCAUCUCUAGCCAUUGCAUGCGCUGUUCUAUUCUCUGAUCAUUCGAUAAAUUGGAAACAACGAAACCCUAAUAAUUUGAGGAGCACCCUCGAUAAUCCUCGAUAAAUUGUAUCCAUGAUAAAACCCUAAACCCUAAACCCUAAACCAAAUAAUCCGAAGAGAUCCCUUGAUAAAUUGCAUGCGCUAUGGAUAGUAAAGAUAUUGAAACGUUCCCCACCCAAACCAAAUAAUCCGAGGAGCACCCUCGGUAAUCCUCGCACUGACCACCUUCUCGUUAAGAUCCGCCAGACAUAAUAAUGCUGAGAGACCUGAUAAGCCAUAAAAGUAACAUAUUUUUAAUCCUACUCUUGAUGCGUUUUUGGAUGAUUUAUUAUGUAAAUUAGUGAAUUUGAUACUCCUAAUCCUUUAAAUUCAUGUUUCUAUACUUAGGUGAGCAUAGGGGAGUGAAAGGAGCAAAAAAAGCCAAAAUCAGAUAAAAAGAGCUGUUUUCAAGAUCCACACGGCCUGGACAUUUUCACACGGGUUAGGCAUAUGCUCGUGUGAGACACACGGGUUGGCCACACGCCUAUGUGCCAGCCUGUGUUGAUUUCACACCCUGCUUCUCUUUUACGCGAAAAAGCUUAAUUUUUAGACUUUUUAAGCAUUUUAAAGUCUGUAAGUACCAAUUAGAAGAAGAUAUAAUGGGGCAAUCAGAGAAGAUCGAAGAAAACACUCGAAAAAUGCCAUUGGAAUCAACUCGAAAGCGGAUCUCCUUCAAGAUCAAAGAACUCCAUUUAAUUUCUUUUGAAGUUUUAUUGAGUUUCUUUUUGUCUUGUGGAUAUCCUAACUUCGAGAUGUUCCUAUUUAGGAUUAUGAACUAAAUUCCCUAAAUACCAAGGGAGGAUGAAACCUAUGAUAAAUCUUAUUAUUUAAUUUAUGUUUUUACGUGAUAAAUAACUGAUUCCUGUUCUCAAUUAUUUAUAUUUAUUUUGUGUUUUAAUAUUUUGGGGGUAUUAAUUCAUGUUUAAUGUGCUUAUUUCAGUGGAGCAAAAGUCCCUGUUUAAGAGUAGAUCUAGCAUAAUUGAGUGGAGUUUCAUGCAAUCCUAGAAAUAGGACGACAUAAAUCUACUGGAUUAGAGUCAAAUCUAAUAGGGGAAUACAUAGAUCGAGUUAAUGGGACGAUAGGGGUUUUAAUUAGAAAGAUAUUUCAAUUAAUAAACUUAGAGUCAGUUGUUCUUACUCUCAUAAGAGAUAUUAACAUAAUUUAAGGAUUUAUACGGAUCAAGACAUGAGUGAAUAAAUCAUUUAAUUCAGAUUCAGAAUAAUAGGUGAAGUCUAGGUGGAUUCUUUCUUGGGAAUUGUCUUUCUCAUUGGUUAUUUUUGGUUAUUUUCCUAUUUCAUUCUUUGUUGCAUUUUUAGUUAAAUUAGAUUAGUAAAUUUAGAUUUAAAACAAUCACUCUACUUUCUCCGCUAAAUAAUAGAAAAACGGUAAUUACUAGUACUUUUAGUCCUCGUGGAUAUGAUCUUCCCUACUCACCAUAGCUAUACUAUUGUUCGAUAGGUGCGCUUGUCUUUGUCGUAAUUAUAUAGUUAGUUUAGUAACCGUCAAGACCUUCCCCUUGCUUGAUCCCUCGAGUUAGAAAAAGUUGUUCACCCACCACACCAUUCGUCACCAUAGAAUAAUUGAACGAGGUAACAAAUCGCAUUAUUCGAUCAACCCAAACAUUUGAAAAACUCAUUUUGAGGAGCAUUACCUUAAUAAACCACCAUUCUACACGAUCGUAAGCUUUGCUCAUGUCAAGCUUAAGCGCAAACGUCCCAUGCCUACCAAAACGACUAUUUUUCAGUGUAUGCAGAAUUUCAUAAGCAACCACAAUAUUGUCAAAAUAAGAUGCCCCGGUACAAUGGAACUCUGAGCUUCAUCUAUACAGAAAUGGAGCACUUCUUGAAACCUAUUAACCAAAGCUUUCGAGGCAAUUUUGUAUAUAACGUUACAAAGACUGAUGGGUGGAAAAUUCAUCAUAUUGCAUGGUUCUUUACUUUAGGUAUCAAUGUUUCAAAUCAUAAAUAAAUUGUUUUAUUAAUAAUUUAUCAAAAAUUAAUCAAUUUAAAUAAUUUCAAUAUGAUGUAUUGUUUAUAGCAUAUAUAGGAAGUAACAUGAAAGAAAUAUUUAGUAUUACUUUGUAAGUAAAUAAUUAAAAUACACUAAUAAUAAAAAAUUAAAAUCAAAGGAACUAAUAUAAUAAUGUAUAAGGAAAAAUCCUUAAAUUUAAUGAAUGUACAAAUAAAAUAUAGAGGACUAAUUAUGUAAUAUCAAAAAGUGAAAUACCUUAAAAAAAUAUAAAUGUGAAGGGAUUUAUGUUGCAUAUAUAUCCUUUUCUAUUUCCUUUAAAUACAAAAAUUUAAAAAUACAUCGACUAUAAUGUAGAUAAAAAUUAAGGUUACAAAAUACCUUAAAUAUAACUUGGCUUCUUCUUCUUCUUGGAUAUAAAUACUGUAAAAAAAAUGUUAGAAAAUUAUAAAUUGGUAACUCCUAUAAAUUUUGAAUACAAAGUUCUGUAAAAGAAUAAAUUAAAAUUUCUCAGAUAGUAAAAUUGGACCUCAAUUAAAUUUAGAGUUAGAGAGGCAAAGUUCUUUGACAACUAUUAGAUCUUGAAUAUAAAUUUUAAAAAAUGUUAGGCAAACAAAAAGCACUCACUUAAAAUUGAGGUAUGUCACAUUAUAAAAGUUACAAAUGAUUAAAUUCAUAAACAAAUUUAAAAUUUAUUAUUACCAAAAUUUACAACUUAAACAUGACAAGUUUUAUUAGCACAAAUUCAGACAAUAUUCAAAAACUACUUCACACAAUCCUUAAAAUCUCAAAUAUCAUUCAUAAAUCAUAGCGUCACUUCCAGUUCUGCUCUUAAAAGAAAUUCAGAAAACAAAGUCAUGGGAAAAACUAUUAGCUGCUCUGUUUUACUAGCUUUAAUUUCUUGCUUUUACUUACCAUUUGCCACUGCUUUAGACACCAUAACACCAUCAAAAUCCAUCAAAGACCCUGAAUUUAUAAUCUCCCAGAAUUGUGUUUUCCAAUUGGGAUUCUUCAGCUUGGCUAACUCCAGCAAUCGUUAUGUAGGGAUACUCCACAAUCAAAUCCCCGUACAAACUGUUGUAUGGGUAGCAAAUAGAAACAGUCGUCUCAAAGACUCUUCUGGGAUUCUCAACAUAUCAGAUGAUGGCAACCUUGUUGUUUCCAAUGGAAAAGCUGAGGUUCUAUGGUCAUCACAUGUUACCAAUACAGCUCCUAAUGCAACAACUGCCCAGAUUUUAGACUCUGGAAACCUUGUCCUUAGUAAUGGUGAGGAUGGAGCAAGCAGCUUAUGGGAGAAUUUUGAAGAUCCUUCUAAUGCCUUCAAACUAUGAAGAUCAGCACUAAUGUUGAAAAGGGUCGAAAAGUGGAGAUCAAAUCAUGGAAAAGCCCUGAUGAUCCAUCUGAUGGUAACUUUUCUCUUGGUAUUGAACCUUUCAAUAUCCUAGAGGUCGUCAUUUGGAACAAUAACGAGCUCUAUUUUCGGAGUGAACCAUGGAAUGGGAAUAUGUUUCUUGGCUUAAUGCUUCCGACCACCGUUGAUAUUGAUGGGUUUUCUGUUGUUGCAGAUAAUCAACAACAAACGUUUUACAUGGCUUAUGAAUUUUCUAGUGACUCUAUGUUGAUAUACUUUAAAUUAGAUUCUCAAGGAAAAUUCAUUGAAUGGAGAUGGGAUGCGGGGAAAGGGAACUGGACAAACAAGUACUCUAUUUAUCUUACAGAUUGUGAUGUUUAUGGGAAGUGUGGGGCAUUUGGGAUAUUCGAUUCAACGAAACGACCCAUUUGCAGUUGCUUAGAAGGGUUUAAGGCUAGGAAUAUAGAGGAAUGGAGUAGAGGUAAUUGGAGUGGUGGGUGUUUUAGGACUACCCCUUUGCAGUGCCAAAGGGAUAACAACAAUGGGAGUGGAGCAGGCCAAGAUGAUGAUGGGUUUUUGGAGAUGAAGAUGAUGAAAGUACCAGCAUUUCCGGACCGGUCAUCAAUAAUUAACAGGGACUGCAAAGAUCAAUGCAUGGAUUUCGUGGGCUAGAUUAAGUUUUUGCUAAUUCAAUAGAGCUUUUUGGGCCUUUGACGAGAGUUAGAGAUGACGGACCUAAAGGGACCCUUCGUGGGCAGAUCCAAGAAAUAAGAGCCGAACGUGUGAAGCCCAAGUUGAAAAUGAAAUACCACAUUCAAGCUUCAUUUUUUUACUAAAUGCGCUCAUUAAUGUUUUCUAUGUCGUAAAUUAAAAAAAAAAUAAACUACUUAGUUGAUGAUUCAACUUUUAAGGGUACUUUCAAUGAAAUCUUUAUAAUUUAUUUAUUCAAUUUUUAGGACGCUUUCAUUUUAGUCAUCCAAUCGUUAAAUCUUUAACGGCUGUUAAUUAUACACGUCAUAUCAUGUUCGCACUUUUAUUUUGGUCAUCUAACUUCUAGGUCGUUUUCAUUUGGAUUAACUCAAAAAAUACUUUUUUAAAGUAUUGAUUGUAGUAAAAAAAAUUAAGAAUUAAAGUGAAAAAGUAGUAUAAACUAAAAUAAUGCAUUAAAAAGUGUCAAAUUGUACUUGUUUAUCACAUUGCCAAAAUUUCUAAAAGAAAUUCAAUAUUAAAAUUUUAAAUUUCAAAACAUAAAAAUUAGUUAAAUAACUUAUUGAAAUUAGUUGUAAGGUUUUAGCUUAUUAUGAAAGACUCAGUAUCAUAUAAUUAAAAGAAAUUUGAAUUUCAUGUAUAAUUAUUAAAUAUGAUUUAUUUGAGUUGAUUUUAAUUUGGAAAUAUAAAAUAAAAUAUUAAAAUUUAAAAGGAGAUUAAAUUAAUUAAAUUAAUUAAUUUCAAUAUUAUAAUAAUAAAUGAGUUUUUAUUAGUAAUUUUUCAGUACUGGAUAAUUAUAUUGAACCUCAAUUAAGUUUAGGGCAAAAUUAAGUUGAACUCUAAAAGAGAGGCAAAGUUCUUUAAGAACUAGUAGAUCUUGAAUAUAAUUUUUAAAAAAGGUUAGGCAAAGAAAAGCACUAACUUAUGCCAUAUAGUAUACUGUAAUUGGUAAGAGACCUUUUUUUUCCUUAACAAGACUCGGUCAUUGCUAAAAUAAUUUUGAAAAAAAGGAAUGUGCUUCAUUAGUCAAAGUUAUUCAAUGGAAGAGUCUAAAUUCAUCGGUUUGACAAAAGCUACCUAUAUUAGUCAAAGUUAUUUAAAUGUCGUCUUGGUCUGUAACUUCUGGAAGUUCUAACCUCAAUAAAUUUUAUCAAUAGUUUUUAAUUACUAAAUUAAUUACGAAAGAUUAUCUAGUCAUUUUUAUUUUGCUCGAAAUUUUUAUAAUUUCAUUAUUUAAUUUUUAGGAUGAUUUAUCUUAGUUACUAAAUCAUUAAAUUUUUAAUGGUGGUUAGCUGUACAUACCACAUCAUGUUCACAUUUCAUUUUGGUCCCUUAAAUUCUAAAUCGCUUUCAAUUUAAUCAUUCAAAAAACAUAUUUUCCAAGUAUUAAUCGAGGUAAAAAUUGCUAAAGAGUAAAGUGAAAAAGUAGUAGAAAUUAAAAUAAUGCUUUAAAAAAUUUAAAUAACUUAUUUAAUUAAUUUUGAUGUUUUGAAAUACAACUUACACUAACAGAUAAAUAAAUACAAUUUGAUAAUUUUUAAAGUAUUACUUUCCACUUUAAUCUUUAAUUGUUUUUAAAAUUGCUGCAAUGAAAAGUAAGAAGAAAACAUAAAGAGGUGCUUAGUGCUCCAAGAAAUUUCAAACCUUGAUGUAAUCAUUUGAAGAAAAUUGAGUUGAGUUCAUCUAGUGUAAAUCCUUCAAGAUUCCAAAUAUCAUUCAUAAAUCAUAGCGUCACUUCCAAGUUCUGGGUAGAGAUUAUGGGAAAAACUAUUAGCUGCUCUGUUUUACUAUCUUUAACACCUUGCUUUUACUUGCUAUUUGCCACUGCUUUAGACACCAUAACACCAUCAAAAUCCAUCAAAGACCCUGAAUUUAUAAUCUCCCAGAAUGGUAUUUUCCGAUUGGGAUUCUUCAGCUUGGCUAACUCCAGCAAUCGUUAUGUAGGGAUAUUGUACCAUCAAAUCCCCGUACAAACUGUUGUAUGGGUGGCAAAUAGAAACAGGCCUCUCAAAGACUCUUCUGGGAUUCUCAACAUAUCAGAUGAUGGCAACCUUAUUGUUUUGAAUGGCAAAACUGAGAUUCUCUGGUCAUCAAAUGUCACCAAUACAGCUCCUAAUGCAACAACUGCCCAGCUUUCAAACUUAGGAAACCUCGUUCUCAGUAAUGGUGACGAUGCAGGAAGCAGCUUAUGGGAGAGUUUUCAACACCCUUGUAAUGUCUUCCUUCAAACUAUGAAGAUCGGCGUUGAUAUAAAAACGGGUCGUAAAGUGGAGCUGAAAUCAUGGAAAAGCAUGGAUGAUCCAUCUGAUGGUAACUUUUCUCUUGGUUUUGAGCCUUUCAACAUCCCAGAGCUUGUCAUUCGGAAGUAUAACCAGCUCUAUUUUCGGACCGGUCCGUGGAAUGGGAAUAUCUUUAUUGGCAUAAUAUAUAUGUACACCGUCAAUUUUGAUGGGUUUGAUGUUGUUGCAGAUAAUCCACAACAACCGUACUAUAUCACUUAUGAAUAUUCUAAUGACUUUAGGUUGCUAUACUAUGAAUUAGAUACUCAGGGAAAAUUCAUUGAACGGAGAUGGGAUGCGGAGAAAGGGAACUGGAUAAACAGGUACCCUAGUCAUGAAACAGAUUGUGAUGUUUACGGAAUCUGUGGGGCAUUUGGAAUAUGUGAUUCAUCGAAACGACCCAUUUGCAGUUGCUUAAAGGGGUUUAAGCCUAGGAAUGCAGAGGAAUGGAGUAGAGGUAAUUGGAGUAAUGGGUGUUUUAGGAAUACCCCUUUGCAGUGCCAAAGAGAUAUCAACAAUGGCAGUGGAGCAGGCCAAGGUGACGAUGAGUUUUUGGAGAUGCAGAUGAUGAAAGUGCCGACAUUUCCGUACCGGUCAUCAAUAGUUAACGGUGACUGCAAAAAUGAAUGCAUGAAGAAUUGUUCGUGCGUGGCUUAUGCGUAUGAUGAUGGCAUUGGUUGCAUGUUGUGGAGUGGAGAUUUGAUUGAUGUCAAGAAACUCUCCAGUCUCGGAGUCGAUCUUUACAUUCGUCUGUCUUCUUCGGAACUGGGUAAAAUUUCUGAGUGUCGACAAUGUGUUUGAUAAAUUGCGUCAAUAUCUGCCUUUUUGGUGUUGAAGUUAUUAACCAAGUUUCUCUAUUUGCAGAUAAAGGGAAAAGUAGAAAGGUCAUUGUUAUUACAACAGUAAUUGCGGGCAUAAUAGUUAUUACAAUUUCUGCAGUACUCUUCUUAUGGUGUAGGAUGGCUAAACAUAAAGGUAAUAUAUAUGAAAAAUAUUUAAAUGUAUUUAUAAUUUAUUAAGAAAUUAAAAUUUAGGCUAUGAAUAUAUACACGGAUAUUAAGAUAAAAGGGCCGGGUACAUUCACCAAUAUGGUACUAACUACAUUGAUCUUAUCUCAGGCAGGAAUAAAAAACAAAAACAGGUCAAACACCAAAUUUGUAGGGAAAAUAUAGGAGAAAAUUCAAUUGGAGUUAAACUCCAGCAGCUGCCCAUAUUCAAUUUUGAAGAACUUGCCACCGCGACAAACAACUUCAAUCACGCAGAAAAGCUAGGGCAGGGUGGUUUCGGUCAAGUUUAUAGGGUAAUAAAUAAUGGCGAUUUGCAAAUCCAGUGUCAAUGAAAUGACAUUUUCUUUUUUUCUAUCAAGUCUUCUGAGUUGAACUUUGUGUGCAGGGAAUAUUAGAUGGUGGGAAGGAAAUAGCAGUAAAAAGAUUGUCGAAAUCUUCGGUGCAAGGAUUGGAAGAAUUUAUGAAUGAAAUGGUGGUGAUCUCUAAGCUUCAACAUCGAAAUCUGGUAAGAUUGCUUGGCUGUUGUGUUGAAGGAGAAGAGAAGAUGAUCGCCUACGAAUAUAUGCCCAACAAAAGUUUGGACGCUUUUCUCUUUGGUUAGUAACUUAUUCCAAUCCUUUUUUACCUUUUUUUUUGUGAUUUUUCGCUAUUUUGGACCCUAAACAAGGGACAAAGCUUUCCUAGAAUUAUUUUCUUCAUCCAUAAGACUUGAUCUUAUAUUGUUGCUUAAGGGGAAUUGAAUUCCUUAUCACUCGAUCUAAUAAGCAUUAAUAUUGUUUUCCUUCUCAUUACAACUUAAACUUGGCCUUGACUACCACAUUUACCUAAUCCGAUGAAUCCUACUCAUUUGAUUUGGUAGGUACAAUCCAUAUAGGUUAGAUCUUGGAUAUAAUUUUCUUGAAAAGUUUCAAAAAAUGAAGAAACAUAAUUUCCCAUUGAAAAACCAUUAUGUAAGGAAAAUCUUAUGUAUUUUUAUCGAAAAAUAAACUUCUAAUUUUUUUAAUUUUUUAAAGUUUUUUAACUUUUAAGAAUUAAGACUAAAUUAACAAAAUGUGUAAAGUUAAGGGUUAAAUGUGUUCAAUUUUUUAAAUUUAGGACUAAAUUGAUAGAUUCUAUAAAUAUUGAAGGAUUAAAAUUGUUAUUAUGCCAAAAGGAAAAAGUCACUAUUAGUGAUUUAACACAAGAGUGACCAAAAUAUUAAAUUUCGAUAACAUUAAACAGAAACACACUAAUAGUUGAAUGACUGUCUUUAUAGCUUACCUUUAAAAUUUUAAUAUUUAAAAAUUAAUUAAAUAUUAAAAUCACACAUAUGUCACACUAGAAGUUAGUAAUUAUAAAAUAUAGAAGUAUGAUUCUAAGUUUUUUUUUAAGCAAUAAAAUUGGUCGGCUAGUUGAUUUUGUGCAAACUUGUGUAAGAGGAUAUGAAAAAUAGUUAUGGCUUGGUCCAUGGACAUGUCUGAUGUAAUUAUAUUCUGAGAUUUGAAUGGCAGCAACGUAAUAUUUUGACUCUCUCCAUUGUUCAAUAUUUAUUUCAAUUGAUUGGCAUAACAUCAAUUCUGUCUACAAUCACAAUUAAUACGAUAUGGUAGACAAUACAACAAUGAUUGUAGUUUAGAUCCACUAUUAUAGAAAUUAACUAUAAAUCUUGAGGUCUUAUUGUUUAAGUUUUGUCAUAGAUCCAGCUAAACAAGAUGUUUUGGAUUGGAGAAAACGAUUCAACAUCAUUGAAGGGAUUAGUCGAGGAUUGCUUUAUCUACAUAGAGAUUCAAGACUAAAGAUUAUACAUAGAGAUCUGAAAGCAAGUAAUAUUUUACUCGAUGAAGAAUUAAACCCAAAAAUUUCAGAUUUUGGGAUGGCUAGGAUUUUCGGAGGCAAUCAAAAUCAAGCUAAAACUAAAAGGGUUGUUGGAACUUAGUAAGUUGGAACUUUCUCCUUAUCAUUUAAGUUUAUUCUCUCUCUCUCUCUCUCUCUUUUUUUUUUGGAUAAAAUAUGGUAUAGAUAUAUCUAUUGAUGGAUCAGGUCCGAUGCUUAAAAAGAUUACAUGCCUAGACCUAAACUUAGUUUGGCUUAGUUUGAUCUAUAGACUCAUUUUACCAUUUUUAAAAAUUAAAAUAAUAAAGAAUAUAUUAUUUUAUACUUUUAUUAUUUAAUUUUAAUUUAGACCGACUUAUGAAUAAGUUUAGGCCAGGGUUGUAAUUAAUGUUUUUUAAUGUUAAAAUACAGUGGUUAUAUGUCUCCUGAGUAUGUAAUGCGAGGGCAAUUUUCAGAGAAAUCAGAUGUAUUCAGUUUUGGAGUUCUAUUGCUAGAGAUUGUUAGCGGAAGAAGAAACACAAGCUUUUGCAACGAUCAGUAUGCACUUAGCCUCUUGGGAUAUGUAAGUUUAUAAGAUAAUUAGACAUGUUGGUGGGUUGAAUUAGGGUGUAAAAUACCGUUUUUGCAAGCUAUUCAGGUUCAAAUCAAGAAAACUUGAAUUCUACUAAGUAACUAUUGAGUUGAGCGAUCAUGAGCUGAACUUGAGAAUCUUAAUGCUUGAAUUGGGUAGCUUGCAAGGUGACAUGGAAAGUCCUAAUACUUGAAUUGACUAUAAGCUCUCUUUUUUGCUUUAAAUAUAUAUUCAACAUUUUCAAUUGAAAUUCGAGUUUGACUACAAUAUCGAGUUUAAGUUGAACCUAAGAAUGAAGCUCAAUUUAGACAUAGGUGAACAAGCUUAAGCAAGAAAUUUUGAGCAGUUGGAUCUUUUCAUAUGUUGAAUUGAGCUAAUCAAAAUCUAUUUAGACUUUGUGUUUAUAAUUUUGAGUUGAUUUAGGCUGAAAAGUUUAGGUAUUAAUUUAGACGAAUUUUCUUUUCUAUUCUCAGGCAUGGAAAUUGUGGAGGGAAGGCGAUAUUCGUGGCAUAGUAGACAAAGUGAUUUUAGAGUCAGAAACAUAUUCAAAGAAUGAAAAUGAAAAAGAAAUAUGGAGAUGCAUACAUGUUGGUUUGCUAUGUGUUCAAGAAUUUGCUAAAGAUAGGCCCACUAUGCCUACAGUUGUUUCAAUGCUUAAUAGUGAGAUUUCAGUUCUUAACACUCCAAAACAACCCGCUUUCACUGAAGCACCACUAAUGAGUCAUGAUGUUGAAGAUAGGGUUUCACUUAAUGAUGUAACUCUUACAAACCUUGAUGGCCGAUAAAGAUACAGUUUUAAGUAUUGGAAUUUAUCUUUUAUAUUCAACCUAUUUUUAUCAUUUUAUUUCUAUGAUAAUUGUAAUUUUAUUUGUUCCAUUCUAGUGAAUUUACCAUUAUAUUUGAACAUAGCAGUUUAAUGCCAAAACCGAAAAUUUUUGAUGAAAUUCAAAUUCAAAUUCAAACUCAAUCCAAUUUAAUUUGAACAUAAAAAAAAUUAACAAUUUAAACUUGUUAAAUCCAAACUUAAAAAUAAUUUAAAACUCAAAAUAAUUUAAAAUUAAAAUGAUUCAAACCCAAAUUUGCCUAACCCAAAAAUCUUCCAUUUUUUUUGGUGGAUUCGUUGUUUUGGGUCAAAGCAUCGUUCCAAUAUUGCGGCCAUAAUCUUCCAUGAUAUAGUUAGUGUUAUAAGUCUUCCACUAACUAGUACAGUUCCUCUUAAGUUGGGGAUGAUCUUUCACAGAUCUUUCCCGGCAACUCCCCCGUAUGUCCUCGCGUUUCCGUAAAGAGAUUUUUUUUGAUGUCUUAAAUCAACAAUGUAAUUUUUAAGAAGAAAACAGUGGAAAGCAAAUUAAACUUGCAUUUUGGGUGGAAGAUAAAUGAGUCUUCAAGUCAACCAAAUUAAACGUGCAUGACAAGCUAGAAGUAUUGAUUUCCAUGAUCAAGGUGACAUGCUAGUUGAAUACAAUAUAGGUAGUGAUUAGUGCUUGAAGAAAAUUCAAAUCUUGAUGUAAACAUUUGCAGCUGCCUUGAAAUAUCAUUACAUCAUAUAAAAAAUAUAAGUUAAAAUUAUAAAGAUAUAAAUUAUUAAAAUGGUGAAAUUGCAUUUUAUCUCUCACAAAAAUAUAUAACUUAAUUCUAACGCCUAGAAAAAUUUUCUGAUUUCCCCCAUGAUUAAACUUCUUAUCACUCAGUCCAGCAUGUGUAGCUAAACAAAUAUUCUUAUUUGUAAGAUUCGUAUAAGGAAUAAAUAUCAAAAUUAUGCAUAAAAUUUGAUCUAAUAUGUAAUUUAAUACAUGAACUUUGAUUUGAUGCAAUUAAACACAUCAAAAUUUAGAUAAAUUAAGUUAUUUAUGUAUGUAAUAUAAAAUAAAAAAUUGUGUUAUAUCGAUAAUUAUAUUAAUAACUUAUAAAAUUUAAAUAAAAAAAGUUUUCAUAUAUGAAAUCAUAAAUUUUUAGAUUUAUCCCUAUAGCAAACAACUCCAAGGUGUGGGACAUAUAAGCCAUGCAUGCGUCAUAUCAAACGUACAAAAAAACUUCUACUAAAGAUUGGCAAAUACUAAGGGUGAGUUUAGAUGGGCGGUGCGUUUACCUGCGGCUAGUGUAAAAACAGCGGUGGCGGUGAGAUUAGACACUAUAGCGAUACUGUAGCGUGAGAUAAAAAGUAAACUAAACGCACCGCACCGCACCUAAUUGCCCAUCCAAACCCACCCUAAGUCAAUGUGUCCGUGUGCUGAAAGAAUGUUGAAUUCAAUUAUAAUUCUACAAAUAAUGUACUUGUACGUCCAUAAUAUAAAUAAAUGAACAUGAAAUUACUUUAUCAUGUCAUAUUCCAUGAUUUGCUGACAGGAUCUGUAUCUUCCACCUUCUUUGCUUGGCAAAUUAAGAAAGACCAACUUAAGCUCCAAGCAAGUCUAGUGGGUUCUGUAUAGUAUUCUAAUACUUUAAAUUAUACAUUUAAUUGAUUUUAGUAGUUAAAUUUUAUUAUUAGACUGAUUUUAUGUGUAAGUUGUAACUCUAUUCUUUAGGUUAAUUUCUUUUUAAUCUUUAAAAUUUUUGAAUUUUAAAAUUCAAUCCUAACUCAAACGAUAAUAAUUAAAUUCAUUAAGUAAUAUAAUAUCGUUUUUAUGAGUAUUAUUUGUAAAUAAAAAGUUAAUAUAAUAUCACACAUGAUAAUAUAUUUGUUAUAUAAUAUUUUAAAAAUAAUUAAUCUAACUGCUAUUGUUUGAGUUAUACAUAUAUAAUUUAAAGAAUUUAAUUAUUUUAUAAAUCAAAAUAUAGUCUUAGGUCCAGAAUUCGAGUUUUUGGAUAUCCUAUACCCUGAUUGUAUUUGUGUGAACAUGGUGGCACAUGAGUUGAUUUUUUGGUACUCCAAUGGAAGAAAAAGCCAACAAAAAUAUAGAAAAUUACGAGUAAUUGACACUUCCAGAAAAUUUCCGUAAGUCAAAAUGAGAUUACCUAUAUACGAAGAAAAUUGAGAUGUAGAUCACUAGAUGUAAACAUUUGAGGCUGCCAUGAAACAUCAUUCCACCAUAUCAAAAUCAGACCCUAAAAAAGAGUCAAUUUCUGUAGAAGGUCCCUACCCAAUUUAUAUUUUUUGAAUUUAGUCCUUUCAUAUAAUUAGGUAUUUUUAAUCUCUCGCUUUUUAGAAAUUACAAAUUCAAUUGAAAGAGAUGGACACAAAAAUUGGUUAUACAAAUUAAAAAACUUUUUUACGUCUAUGAGACUUUAUCCAAAAUUUAAUUUAUUAUCAAUAUGCAGUGUAAGAUGUGAUUUAAGUUCAACUUUCUCACCAAAUUGUAACAUCGCUCCUAUAUAUCAAUAUAAGAUCAUUUUCUCCCACUAAGACUUUCCCUUGAAAUCUUAGCAACAAAUGGUUUACAAUAAAUUUACAUUAAGAAUUUCCUAACAAUCAAUAGACAAGUGCUCUCUCAUAAUCUUCUAUAAUGAGACAAACAAGUCUUCUUUAGAUAAGCAUUAAUGCCUAGUAAUUCUUCAAUUGGUGUGAACAUAUAUAUUCCCUUGAAUUGUUCUCGAAUAAAUUUUCAAUAAGGAAUCAAAAUAUGUAAAGAUUUUCGAGGAAUAAACUUCUGUUUCUAUAAAAACUCUCUCUAGCACAAAUAACAUAAAGUCUUUAAAUAGAGCAAUUGCUUGACUGAAUUUCGUCAUGAUCCAUUCCAUUAAAUUGUCGCUUAAAGUCUUCAAUAUGAUGUAAGAAUUAAAUAAAGAUUUUUCAAUAAAAAAUAUGCCAACAUAUUUAUGGUAGGUUGUACAACUUUCCAAUUGCACCUUAUUUUCAAUAUUGACAAUCAACUUUUUUCAUUAAUUCUGUCAAAAUAAUUUAGUAUGAUUAAAUACAUAUUUUGAAAACCAAAGAAAUUGAAAAAAAAAUUGUUGUAGGGACUAAAUCUUCCAAAAAUGUAAAAAUACAGGGACCUUAUAUACUAUUUGACCUUUAUUAAUAUCAUUCAUAAAUCAUAGAAUCACUUCCAAGUCCUGCACAAGUUACACGGUCAUGGGGAAAACUAUUAGCUGCUCUGUUUUAGUAGCUUUAAUAUCUUGAUUUUACUUACAGCUGCAGUUUGGCACUGCUUCACACACUAUAACAGCAUCAAAAUCCAUCAAAGACCCUGAUGUUAUAAUCUCCCAGAAUGGUGUUUUCCGAUUGGGAUUCUUCAGCUUGGCUAACUCCAGCAAUCGUUAUGUAGGGAUAUUGUACCAUCAAAUCCCCCUACAAACUGUUGUAUGGGUGGCAAAUAGAAACAGGCCUCUCAAAGACUUUUCUGGGAUUCUCACCAUAUCAGGUGAUGGCAACCUUGUUGUUUCCAAUGGAAAAGCUGAGAUUCUUUGGUCAACAAAUGUUACGAAUUUGGUUCCUAAUGCAACAACUGCACAGCUUGUAGACUCUGGAAACCUUGUCCUCAAUAACGGUGAGAAUGGAGGAAGCAGCAUCUUAUGGGAGAGUUUUCAACACCCUUCUAAUGUAUUCCUUCAAACUAUGAAGAUCAGCACUGAUGUAAAAACGGGUCGUAAGGUGCAGACGAGAUCAUGGAAAAGCCCUGAUGAUCCAUCUGACGGCAACUUUUUUCAAGGCAUUGAACCUUUCAGCAUCCCGGAGGGUGUCAUUUGGAACAAUAACCAGAUAUAUUUUCGGACCGGCCCAUGGAAUGGUCGUAUCUAUAUUGGUUUAAUAAAUGUUAAUAGAGUUUAUUUUGAUGGGUUUUAUGUGGUUGCAGAUGAUGUAGAAAAAACUUAUUACGAAACUUACGAAUAUUCUACUGACUCUAGGUUGAUAUACUUUGAAUUAGAGUCUGACGGAAGAUACGUUGAACGAAUAUGGGAUGCGGGGAAAGGGGACUGGAUAAACGGGUACUCUAGUUAUCUAACAGAUUGUGAUGUUUAUGGAAAGUGUGGGGCAUUUGGAAUCUGCGAUUCAACGAAACGACCCAUUUGCAGUUGUUUGAAAGGAUUUAAGCCUAGGAAUAUAGAGGAAUGGAGUAGAGGUAAUUGGAGUAGUGGGUGUUUUAGGACUACCCCUUUGCACUGCCAAAGAGAUAACAACAAUGGAAGUGAAGCAGGCCAAGGAGAUGAUGGGUUUUUAAAGCUGAAGAAGAUGAAAGUACCGGUAUUUCCAGACCAGUCAUCAAUAACUAACGGCGAAUGCAAAGAUCAAUGCAUGAAGAAUUGUUCGUGCGUGGCUUAUGCGUAUGAUGCUGGCAUUGGUUGCAUGUUAUGGAGUGGAGAUUUGAUUGAUGUCCAGAAAUUCUCUAAUCGGGGAGUCGAUCUUUACAUUCGUCUGCCGUCUUCGGAACUUGGUAAACUUGUCUUCGAUAUCGACCAUGUGUGUGACGAAUCGCAUCAAUUAAUCUUCACUUUUGGUUUAGAUGUUUUAUUAACCAUGUUUCUGGAUUUGCAGAUAAAAGGAAUAGUGAGAUAAUUGUUAUUACAACAGUAAUUUCAGGCAUGGUCGUGAUUAUAAUAAUUUCUGCACUCUUCUUAUUGCGUAGAAUGGGUCAACAAAGAGGUAAAAUGUCCACCUUUAUUUAUUUAAUCUUUGUAGUCACUUUUUUUAAGAAAUAUGUAAAUUCUUUAACAGUUCUGGAUUUAAAGGUAUUUUUCACUCUAUUUAAAUUCAAGUUUUAGAUAAAAUAAAAUAAAAUUGGAAUAGAAUUGAGUCUAACUCGAAUACGGAGAAAUGCUCUAAACUUGAUUGAGUACUAUUAUAAAAGUUAAAGACCGAAUUCAAGUGAAAUUAAAUUAUUUCAAUUUUGCUCAAUUAAGUUCGUUUAUAUAAGUUACAUAUUCGUAUUUGAUUUUUAUAUAUAUAUUCAAAGUUAAAUUCGCACUCAUUUCAGAUAUAUAUUUAUAUUUAAAUAACGUGGACCAUGUGUUAGAUAAAUUGGGUGAAUUAAUUUGCAAUUCUUUUGGGUCGAAGUUAAUUUCAUAAACCAAGUUUCUGGAUUUGCAGAUAAAGGGAAAAGUAGUAAGGUCGUCUUUGUUAUUACAACAGUAACUGUGGGCAAUUAUGUAGCCUUCAACUCAUUGCUUCUUUGAUUUCCGUCACAGGAAGGAAUAAAAGAUGGACACAUAUCAAAGACAAAUUUCAUGGUGAAAAUAAAGGAGAAAGUUCAAUCGGUGUUAAACUCCAGCAGCUUCCACUAUUCAAUUUCGAAGAACUUGCCACCGCGACCAACAACUUCCAUCCCCUAAAAAGCUAGGGCAGGGUGGUUUUGGUCCGGUUUACAAGGUAAUAUAUAAUAGCAAUUUCCGGUUGUUAGAAUUCAUCAUCACUGGCCCAAAGCCGGAUCGUAAUGAGCUCGUAGGCCAGGCUCGUUAGUCGAGAACUUUGCAAGAAAGCAAGGCAACUUGCGAGGUCACUACAAUCUGACCUAAACCCAUUCGGAUUUUGAGCUGAUGAUGAUAAUUAUCCUAAAACUGGUGAAUCUAGAGUCAAUGAAAUGACAAUUUUUUUUUAAUCAAGUAUUGUAGUCUGAAUUUUGAGUGCAGGGAACAUUAGAUGAUGGAAAGGAAAUAGCAGUGAAGAGAUUGUCGAAAGCGUCGGGGCAAGGUUUGGAAGAAUUUAUGAACGAAGUGGUGGUUAUUUCUAAACUCCAACAUCGAAAUCUGGUUAAAUUGUUUGGGUGUUGUGUUGAAGCAGAAGAGAAGAUGCUCGUCUACGAGUUUAUGCCCAACAAAAGUUUGGAUUCUUUUCUAUUCGGUUAGUAAUUUAUUCAAAUUUUAUAUGAUAUUUUGGGUCUCUAAUCAAAUUCAUAAUUCAGUUCACAAAAAUAAUGUUCUCCCAUAAAUGUUUUUUCCGUUCACAAAAUUUAAAUUUAGGUGUAGUGAUAUUUUGAUUCUCUUCACCGUUUAAUAUUUAUUUCAAUUUAUUGACAUAACUUCAAUUAUGUCUACAAUCAUAAUGAAUACAAUUUGGUAGAAAUACUAUGAUGGUUGUAGUUUAGAUCCUCAAUUAUAGGAAUUCAUUAUUAAUUUAGUAGGUUUUUAUGUUUAAAUUUUGUUAUAGAUCCCGUUAAAAAAAAACUUUUGGAUUGGAGAAAACGCUUUAAUAUUAUUGAAGGGAUCAGUCGAGGAUUGCUUUAUCUUCAUAGAGAUUCAAGAUUGAAAAUUAUACACAGAGACCUAAAAGCAAGUAAUGUUUUACUUGACCAAGAGCUAAACCCAAAAAUUUCAGAUUUUGGGAUAGCCAAGAUCUUCGGAGGUGACGAAAAUCAAGCCAACACUAUAAGGGUUGUUGGAACUUAGUAAGUUGGAACUUCCUUCCUACCAUUUCUUUUUAUGCUCUUUUUAAUAAAAUAUGGUAUAAAUAUAUCUAUGGUCGGAUUUGGUGCUUAAAGAUGAUACAUGUACAUACUUGUAUCGAGUUUAAUUUUGUUCAAUUUGUGGACUCAAUUUAUUGUUUUUAAUUUUACAAAUAAAAUAUUAAAAAUAUAUUUUUAUAGUUAACUUUAAAUUAUUUAUUAUUUAUUCUUAAUUCAGGUUGGCUCGUGGACAAGUUUAAAUAAGAGCUGUAAUUGGUGUUGUUUUUUAUGUUAAAAUACAGUGGUUAUAUGUCUCCUGAGUAUGUAAUGCAUGGGCGAUUUUCAGAGAAAUCUGAUGUGUUCAGCUACGGAGUUCUACUACUGAGAUUGUUAGUGGAAGAAGAAACAAAAGCUUUUACAACUAGGAUGACCUUAGCCUCUUGGGAUAUGUAAGUUUAUAAGAUAGUUAGAGAUGUUGGUGGAUGGAAUUAGGGUGUAAGAUUUUGUAUUUGUGAGCUAUUCGGGUUUGGUUUGAGAAAACUUGAAUUUGGCUUAGUAAUUAUUGAGUCAAGCAAUCAUGCGAAUUGAAUUUGAGAAUCUUAAUACUUGAAUUGAGUAGCUCACAAGUGAAUUUCAAGAACCCUAAUACUUGAAUUGCGUAGCUUGCAAUGCUUUUCAAUCUUAAUCAAUAUUGAAAAUUUUCAGUUCAAACUUGAGCUUAAUUUCAAAUAAUCAAGUUUGAAGUUAUGCAUAGGAGUGAAGCUCGUUGUAGACUUUGGUAAAACAAGCAGAGUUAAAACACUUCAAUUAACUCUAUUAAAGCUUUAAGGGUAAAAAUUUGAGUCAAGUUAAGCCAAAUGAUUUAGGCAUUAAUUUAGAUAAAAUUGUUUACUGUUUCAGGUCUGGAAAUUAUGGAACGAAGGCAACAUUUGGGACUUAGUAGACAAGGUGAUUUCAAAGUCGGAAUCAGAUUUAAAGUAUAAGAAAGAAAUAUGGAGAUGCAUGCAUGUUGGAUUGCUAUGUGUUCAAGAAUAUGCUAAAGAUAGGCCCACUAUGUCUACUAUUGCUUCAAUGCUUAACAGUGAGAUUUCAGAUCUUAACAUUCCAAAACAACUUGCUUUCACUCAAACACUAUUAAUUUGCAAUGAUUUUGAAGAUUGUGUUUCAUUUAAUGAUGUAACUCUGACGGGCUUUGAUGAUCGAUAAAGAUACAAAUUAAUUAUUUGUAGUGUUUACAAUUAAAGGUCAAGUAGUAAAAUGUAUUUUUAUAUUAUGUUUUGAUAUGUUUUUAUCAUUUUAUUUUGAUCAUAAUUUGUCAUUUUAUUUGUUCCAUUCUAUAGUGAAUUUACCUUUAUAUUUAAACACGGUAGCUUUGUCUAGAGGUGAUCAUGGGCAAGGUUGGGUUGGGUUCGGGUCGGGCCUAGAAAAGUUUUUGGCCCGCGUCCUAGGCCCGUGCCCAGUCCGGCUCGAAAUAUGGCCUAAAAUUUUGUCUAGACCUGGCCCGACAAAAAUUCCUAAGCUUGAGCUCGGCCCGGCCCGACCCUUUUUUUUUAGUAAACACCAAAACCGUAUAAAAACCCUACUAAAUAUAAUCAACCAUCCAGAAUAUCCAUACAUUAACCAAUCAACAUAUUUAAUUUUAUAACAAAAUAUAAAUUGUAAGCUAAAUUAAAUUUUCAACAAUUAGAAAUGAAGUAUCCUAAAAAGCAACCGAAGAAACAUCAUCCUCAUCAUCCUCAUCGUCCUUUUUGCAACCAAUUUAUUAUAUUCAGAAAUGUAUUUUAAAAAUAAAAAAUAAAAAAGUAUUUUAAAAAUACUUUAAAAUAAAAAUAUAUAUUAUAUAAAUACUAAAUGUCUAAAUGUCUAAUGGGAAAUGGGAAAAUGAGAAAUGUAUUUUAAAAAUAAAAAUAUAUAUUUAUUAUAUAUUUGGGCCGGGCCGGGCUGGACGUGGGCCAAAAAAGUUUUGCCUGAGGCUCAGCCCGUUUUCUAAACGGGUCUUAUUUUUUGCCCAAACCUAUAUUUCGAGCUUAUAUUUUUGCCCGAACCCUCCCAUAUUUCAGACGGGCCAUCGGGCCGGGCUGGGCCGCUCAACCCAUGAUCACCUCUAGCUUGUCCCAAACUUUAAAACUUGAUUUUAUCAAAUCCAAACUUAAACUUGACCUAACUUGAGUUGAAUAUAAAAGAUCAACAAUUUAAACCCGUGUACCUUAAACUCAAAAAUGAUCUAAAACCUAAAACCUAAAAUGAUUGAAUUUAAAGUGACCAAAUUCAAAAUUUCUUAAAUACAUAACUCGAAAUGUUAUGAACCUAAUAUGACCCAACUUACAAAUCCACUUGAACCCAAAAUAGCUUCAACCUUAAACUAAUUCAAAUUCAAAAUUAUUCAAAAAAAUUUAAAAUUCGAAUUUAGUUCAUUCAAAACCAGUCCAAAAUAGAUUCUGUUAUACUUUAUGUCACAAUUUGUGGUGAUUAUCACUUUUGUUUAUUGAAUUUUGCGGGGUAAAAAAGCUCAUGAAGUUUUUAAAAAAAAUAUUAAGUCAUUUGACAAAAAAUGCAUUCAAUUAUACUUUUAAAUUUGAAAAUUGUAUCAAUUAAGCUCUUUAAUCAAUGAAAUCCAUCCUUGAUCGUUAAUUUUGUUAAAAGUUGCUGAUAUGGUAGUUAAUAAUUGUUAAAUCAUUCAUUUUCUUUCAAGUCAGUCCAAAGUAGUAGAUAAUGUGUCAACGUAAUGACAUGGGAAUUGGAGAAUAAAUUUAAAGAUAUUAUUAAUUAAACUUAAUGAUAGUUGUCAAAGCAUUUGUUUUCUUCCAAGUCGCAAGCACGAGCGAUCGGUACAUCCAAACCUAACCAUAAAGAAAACACCAAAUUUUGAUGGGUAUCAUCCACCAAAAAUAAAAUAUUUACGCUUAAAAUUUAAAUCAAAUUUAAAUAUAGGAAGUAAGGUAAAUCCCAUAGAGAUUGAUCUAAUUGAAUCCGGAUUUUAUUAUAACUAGAAUGUGUCGUAGGCAGUUUUCAUUUCCACAACUCAUGCCAAUAUGUAUGAAACAAAAAGGGGGUUAAAUUGAAAUAUAAAAUAAAUAAUAAGAAAAUAAAUAUAGUACAAAGAUUAAACAUUUCUGUCUUUCAACAUUAGAAAGUUUUCUUAUCUUUUACAAUUAGAUCCCUAACAACUAGAUCUGUUCAUGGGUCGAGCCACCCAGCCUAGCCCGAAAAGUGGGAGGGUUUGGGCAAAAUAUAGGCCCAAAAAAUGGGUUUGGGAAAAAAUAUAAAGCCCAUUUAAAAAAUCGGGUUGGGCUUUGAGUAAAGCAUUUUUUGGCCAUGUCUGGCCCAGCCCGAAUUCACAAAAGGACAAAAAAAUCUACUAAUUUUUGUUGUUUUAAUGUUAUUUUCUUGUUAUUUUCUCCCUAUUUUGCUACCAUUUCACUAUUAUGUUACUACUAUUUUGUUGUUAUUAUUUGGAUAUUGUAUAACACUUGUUUUAUUAUUACUUUUGUUAUUAUUUUAGAGGCAUUUGCUUGUUAAGUUGCAUUUAUCUUAGUAUUAUUUAAGUAUAUAUACAUAUUUUUUUAAGUUUUAGUAUUUUGAUAUAUUAUAUAUUUAAAAAUUAUAUACAAAUAAUAUAAAAAAUUAGUACAGGUGGGUUAGACUCAAGUUUUAGUAAUUUUAUCCGAAUCAGGUCUAGAUAAAAUUUUAGACCCAUUUUUUAGGCCGAGUCCAGGCCUAGCAAACGGGCCUAUUUUUUUUGACUUGACCCAGACUCCUUCCGGCCUAGCCCAUGAGCACCUCUACUACCAACAUAUAUUUACUCAAACUUAUCCAAGCUUGAAUUAAUAUCUCUUAACACAUUUUCUCCAUUUUCACAUUAUAGAUUUAACUAACAUUAAAACAUCCUAACUCAAUUUUGAUAUAGUGGUGAGCAUUUGAUUGAAUCAAGUGAAAAAAAAUUGAGUUUAUGAGUCCUAUUUUAUCAUCCUAACUAAAUUUGAAUUUUUUUUUUUGAAUUGAGUCGAGUGAAAUGAAAUUCGAGUCAAGUCAAAUCGAAUCGAGUGAAAUUGUUCAAGUUAAAUUUUUUAAAAAAUUAAACAUUUCAAAUUAAAAUAUUAUUACAGUAUAACUAAUUCCAUAUUAGGGCACAUACAUUUGAAUUUUUUUCGAAGCAAAAAAAAAGAACUUGAGUAUGAUAAAUUUGAAUCAUUACUUAAGUCUCCAAGAUUAUUGUUUUAGAAAAUUUUUAAAAUAUUAACUCUUUUUAUAUAUUUUUUAGAAUUUUUAUAAUUUUUUAAAAAAUAUAUAAUUUUUGAAAUUUUUAUAAAUAUUUUGAAUUUUAAAAAUUAUUUUGAAUUCUAUUUAUAAUUUUUGUUGAGGGAGAGAGACUAAUUUGCUUAUUUUCAAAGUUGGCAGGAACCAAAAUGAUGUUUAUACCAAUUUGUUAUUUGAAUUAUUCGAGUUAUACGAAUUGUGAAAUUCAACUCGACUUGAACUCGAAAUCCAAAUUGAGUUAUUCGAGUUGACUCGAAUAAUUCAAAUAACUCGAAAUUAAAAAAAUUCGAUGUUUUCCAAUCGAAUCGAAUUUUGGUCACCCUUAAGAGGAUACAAAAAAUAAGUCAUAACUUGAUCCACGAAGAUGUCUAAUGUAACUAUAUUCCAAGAUUUAAAUAGUAGCAGCAAUGUACUAUUUUGGCUCUUUUCAUUGUUGAAUAUUUAUUUCAAUUAAUCGACAUAACAUCAGUUACAUCUACAAUGACUAUGGUAAGGUAGAAAACACAACAAUAAUUGUAGUUUAGAUCCACUAUUAUAGGAAUUACUGUUAAUCUUGGAGGUCUCCAUGUUUAAUGUUUAUAUAAUAUAUCCCGUUGGACCCAGCCAAGCACCCAAAAAGGAAGCAUUCCUCCCCUCGUUUGGGUUUUCUAAUACAUGUUUAAUCACAUUUAAUAGAUAUAAAUUUAAAUAGCGAUAAUCAUUAUAUUAGAUAUUAAUAAAUGAAAAAAAAGGAACAGAUAUUAACCCAUAUACACAUCGAAAACGCUCUUCCAUCAAUGCAUUGAAUUAUAUCGGUCAGUAAAAACAAAAUAAAACUAAUUUACAUGACUACUUAAAUUUUGAUUUGAAGUUAAAUUUGUAAUAUUUCAAAUAAUAGGUUUAAUACAUUAUAAUGUUGUAUUAAUUUUAUAUAUUUAUACAAAUUUAUUUAACAAAUUGAAUUUUAAUUUAAUGGUUGAUUUUGAAGUAAUUUACAUAUAACAUGAUAUUAAACAAAUACAGAUCUUAUAAAAAGAAAAACUAGGGAACUAUUUAAACUUAGAUUGAUUGUGUACUUUAGCCAGGUCUAACUGGACAGGUCUACUUGUAAGAUUGGAAUAGCCAAUGGUUGAUAAACAUUGGGAAAGACAAAAAAGUCUUUGCUCAAUAAUUAUAAUUUUACAAAUAUACAUGCGAGUUGACUCACAGAUCAUUCAUGAAUUUGAUUCCUCAAAAAUCAUUUAUAAAUCAUAGCCUCACCUCCGGGGUCUGCACUUCAAGAACUUCAUGGGUAAAACUAUUAGUAGCUGCCUUUUACCAGCUUUAAUAUCUUGUUUUUACUUGCAGCUGCAGUUUGCCACUGCUUUAGACACAAUAACACCAUCAAAAUCCAUCAAAGACCCUGAUGUUAUAAUCUCCCAGAAUGGUGUUUUCCGAUUGGGAUUCUUCAGCUUGGCUAAUUCCAGCAAUCGUUAUGUAGGGAUUCUCUACAAUCAAAUCCCCGUACAAACUGUUGUGUGGGUGGCAAAUAGAAACAGGCCUCUCGAAGACUCUUCUGGGAUUCUCACCAUAUCAGAUGAUGGCAACCUUGUUGUUUCCAAUGGAAAAGCUGAGAUUCUUUGGUCAACAAAUAUUACGAAUCCGGUUCCUAAUGCAACAAAUGCACAGCUUUUAGACUCUGGAAAUCUUGUCCUCAAUAACGGCGACAAUGGAGGAAGCAGCAGCUUAUGGGAGAGUUUUCAACACCCUUCUAAUGUAUUCCUUCAAACUAUGAAGAUGGGCGUUGAUGGAAAAACGGGUCGUAAGGUGCAUACGAGAUCAUGGAAAGGCCCUGAUGAUCCAUCUGAUGGUAACUUUUCUCAAGGCCUUGAACCUUUCAACAUCCCAGAGGGUGUCAUUUGGAACAAUAACCAGAUAUAUUUUCGGACUGGCCCGUGGAAUGGCCAUACCUAUAUUGGUUUAGUAGAUAUGAAUACCGUUUAUCUUGAUGGGUUUUAUGUGGUUGCAGAUGAUGAAGGAAAAAGUUAUGAAACUUACGAAUAUUCUAAUAAGUCUAUGUUGAUAUACUAUGAAUUAGAUUAUAAAGGAAGAUUCGUUGGACGAAACUGGGAUGCGGGGAAAGGGGACUGGAUAAGCAGUUACCAAAUUCUUCAAAAUGAUUGUGAUUUUUAUGGGAUGUGUGGGGCAUUCGGAAUCUGCUAUCCAAAGAAACAACCCAUUUGCAGUUGCUCAAAGGGAUUUAAGCCUAGGAAUGCAGAGGAAUGGAGUAAAGGUAAUUGGAGUAGUGGGUGUUUUAGGACUACCCCUUUGCAGUGCCAAAGAGAUAACAACAAUGGCAGUGGAGGAGCAGGCCAAAGUGAUGAUUGGUUUUGGAAGCUGAAGACGGUGAAAGCACCGGCUUUUCCGGACCGGUCAUCAAUAAUUAACGGCGAAUGCAAAGAUCAAUGCAUGAAGAAUUGUUCGUGUGUGGCUUAUGCGUAUGAUGCUGGCAUUGGUUGCAUGUUUUGGAGUGGAGAUUUGAUUGAUGUCCAGAAAUUCCCCACUCGCGGAGUCGAUCUUUACAUUCGUCUGUCAUCUUCGGAACUUGGUAACCUUGUCUUCAUGUUGACCAUGUUUGACAAAUUGCGUCAAUUACCCAAGUAUUAUUAACCAAGUGUCUGAAAUUGCAGAUAAAGGCAAAAGUACUAAGGUCAUUGCGAUUACAACAGUAAUUGCGGGCAUAGUCGUUAUUACAAUUUCUGCACUCUUCCUAUGGUGUGGGAUGGCUAAACAAAGAGGUAAAUUGUCGUCUCUAUUUAUUUAAUUUAUGUAGUCACUUUUUCUUUUUAUAAGAAAUAUGUAAUCACUUUAAGAGAACUCUUCGGGUACAUCUGAUAAAUUUGGAACAAUACCUAAAAUCAAUAAAUAAAAAAAUAAUGUAUUUCUACGAAUUCAUGUCUUCUUACUUGACAACAAUAUUGCCAUUGUUAUUACAACAGUAAUUGUUGGCAUAGCAGUAAUUACAAUUAUGUAGCCCUCAACCGAUUGCUUCUUUGAUUUCUAUCUCAGGAACGAAUAAAAGACACAAACAGAUCAAACACAAAUCUUAUAGUGAAAAUGUAGGAGAAAGUUCAAUCGGUGUUAAACUCCAGCAGCUUCCACUAUUCAAUUUCGAAGAACUUGCCACCGCGACCAACAACUUCCAUCCCGAAAAAAGGCUAGGGCAGGGUGGUUUUGGUCCGGUUUACAAGGUAAUAAAUAAUAGCGAUUUCCGGCGAAUUCAGAGUCAAUGCGAAAUGACUUCUUUUUUUUCAAUCAAGUAUUGUGAUCAGAAUUCUGAGUGCAGGGAACAUUAGAUGAUGGAAAAGAAAUAGCAGUGAAGAGAUUGUCAAAAGCUUCGGGGCAAGGAUUGGAAGAAUUUAUGAACGAAGUGGUGGUUAUUUCAAAGCUCCAACAUCGAAAUCUGGUUAGAUUAUUUGGGUGUUGUGUUGAAGCAGAAGAGAAGAUACUCGUCUAUGAGUUCAUGCCCAAUAAAAGUUUGGAUGCUUUUCUAUUUGGUUAGUAACUUAUUAAUUUUUUUAAUGUUUAAUAAUCAUAUUGGACUCCGAUUAAAUUUAAAAUCAAAUCAAGUCGAAUUCCUAAAAAGAUUAAACAAAAUUUAAAAUUAAAACUUUGGUUUAGAGGCAUUUCAAUUCUUACCAUUCAAUUCAUUAGUCAUGGGUAUAUUACCCUGAUUGCCUUAUCUGCCUAAUUUGAUAAGUUUGACUAGAUGUAUUCAAUCCAUGUAAGUUAAAUUUGGGAUAUAAUUUUGACUUUUAAGUGGCCCAAUCCAACUUAAAUCUAAUUAUAUAUUAUAUUUAUUGUUAAAAAUGAAGUGUCUUACAAUAUAUGAAUUGUAUAACCUAGCUAAGCUAGGUACAAUAUAUAAUAUAUAAUAUGUUAUAUAUAUAAGUAAAAGAAAAUGUUUGCAUCACCAUAAACUAUUUUUCUAACUUAUUUUGCUUUUUUGUAUUAUAAAUUUUCUAAUUUUUUAUAUUUAUUCAAAAAAGGAAAUUUCAAAAAGAAAAUAGAAUAACAUUCAAGGUUAUUAACUAAAAUUACUAUAUAUACUCAAUUUUGUGUUGUCUACAUUUUUUUUUCGGAAUUUUCACUUUUUCCUUUGAAUUCUCUUUUUUUUUGUUUUUUAUCUAUUUUAUAAGGAAGAUUAUAUAUUUUUUAAUAGGAGUGGGUCUAUACUCUAGGAUUUUAAAAGUAGUGGCAACAGUAAGUUUUGACUCUCUCUCAUUUUAAUAUUUAUUUCAAUUGAUUCACAUAACUUCAAUUAUGCUACAAUCAUAAUGAAUAUAAUAUGAUAGAAAUAAGAACGUUGGUUUUAGUUUAGAUCCUCAAUUAUAGGAAUUAAUUAUUAAUCUUGGUGGUAAAUUUUGUUAUAGAUCCUGUUAAACAAAGACUCUUGGAUUGGAGAAAACGCUUCAACAUUAUUGAAGGGAUCAGUCGAGGAUUGCUUUAUCUUCAUAGAGAUUCAAGAUUAAGGAUUAUACAUAGAGAUCUAAAAGCAAGUAAUGUUUUACUUGACCAAGAUUUAAAUCCAAAAAUUUCAGAUUUUGGGAUGGCCAGGAUCUUCGGAGGUGAUGAAAAUCAAGCCAAUACUAAAAGGGUUGUUGGAACUUAGUAAGUUGGAACUUUCUCCCUACAAUUUAUUUUUAUUCAUUUUUUGAUAAAAUAUGAUAUAAAUAUGUCUAUGGUCGGAUUCGGUGCUUAAAGAAAAUACAUGUCCAUACCCGUAUCAAGUUUAAUUUUGUUCAAUUUGUGGACUCAAGUUAUUGUUUUUAAUUUUAAAUAAUUUAUUAUUUAUUCUUAAUUCGAGUUGACUCGUGGACAAGUUUAAAUUAGAGUUGUAAUUGGUGUUAUUUUUUUAUGUUAAAAUACAGUGGUUAUAUGUCUCCUGAGUAUGCAAUGCAAGGGCAAUUUUCAGAGAAAUCAGAUGUGUUCAGCUAUGGAGUUCUACUACUAGAGAUUGUUAGUGGAAGAAGAAACACAAGCUUUUACAACAAUAAGGAUGACCUCAGCCUCUUGGGAUAUGUAAGUUCAUAAGGUAGUUAGAGAUAUUGGUGGAUGGAAUUAGGGUGUAAGAUGUUGUAUUUGCGAGUUAUUCGGGUUCGAUUUGAGAAAACUUAAAUUUGGCUCAGCAAUUAUUGAGUCGAGCAAUCAUUUGAGUUGAAUUUGAGAAUCUUAAUGCUUGAAUCGAGUAGCUCGCAAGCUAACUUCAAGAACUCUAAUACUUGAAACGAGUAGCUUGCAAGGCUUUUCAAUCUUAAUCAAUAUUGAAAAUUUUUAGUUCAAACUCGAACUUGAUUACAAAUAAUCAAGUUUAAAGUUAAGCAAAAGAGUGAAGCUCAUUGUAAACUUAGGUAAAACAAGCCUAAGAGAGUUAGAACAUUUCAAUCUUUAUCUUGAAUAGAGCUGAUCAAACUCUAUUUAAACUUAUUAAAAUUUUGAGUCAAGCUAAGCUGAAUAAUUUUGGCAUUAAUUAAGUCAAAAGUUGUUUUUUGUUUUCAGGCAUGGAAAUUAUGGAGGGAAGGCAAUAUUUGGGGCUUAGUAGACAAGGUGAUUUUAGAGUCGAAAUCAUAUUCAAAUGAUGAAAAAGAAAUAUGGAGAUGCAUACAUGUUGGAUUGCUAUGCGUUCAAGAAUAUACUAAAGAUAGGCCCACUAUAUCUACUGUUAUUUCAAUGCUUAAUAGUGAGAUUUCAGAUCUUAACACUCCAAAGCAACCUGCUUUCACUCAAGCACCACUAAUGAGCCACGAUGUUGAAGAUAGAGGUUCACUUAAUGAUGUAACUCUUACAAACCUUGAUGGUCGAUAAAAAUGUAAAUUAAUUAUUUGUAUUGUUUACAAUUAAAGUUCGAGCAUUGAAGUUUAUUAUUAUAUUUUGUUUUGAUGUGUUUUGUCAUUUUAUUUGUUCCAUUCUAAAGGAUCAUUUUACCAAUAAAGGCCCAUUUUCAACUUUAUUUUCGAAAAUGGGCUAAUUUUUUCAUUAUUUACCGGAAAGGGUCAAAAAAUGCAAAAAGCGUCCACGUAGGAGUGUUUUUGGGUGAAAUUUUCGUAAAUCACGUCCCUAGGGGAACGAUUCUGCCAUGUCAGCACAAAACGUGCUAACGUUUACACACUUUGCUAACGUGGCAAAAUUGUUCCCUAGGGACACGUUUUAGCCUAUGUUUUUCUAGGGUUAGGACAUUUUGCAUGUUUAGUCAUUAGGGUUUUUUUGGUUUAGGGAUUUUAGGGUUUAAGGUAGGUUUAGGGAAUAAAUCAAGGUUUAGUGUUUUUUUAAAAAAUUUAAUUAAAUUAGGUUUUAGGUCUCAACACUAUAUUCUAUAUCCACAAAACUAAACUCGAAUUCUUAGUUAAGGAACAUUGAACUCAGGGUGUUGCAAGGAUGCUAACAAAGGUUUCGUUCGCUUGCAGUUCCAACCUGAUUUCUCAUUGAAUAGAACAUCCCUAGUCAUAAAGACUUAAUUGGAUGAAGGAUCCAAGACCCUAUAGUCUUUCUUGAUACUGCUAUAGCCGACUGGAAUGCCAGGUUGAGCCUUCUUGGCCAACUUGUCUCUUUUUACUACUGGAACAUGUGCAUAACAUAUGCAGCCAAGGACCCUCAGGUCAUCCAGUGAUGGUUUGAACCCAAACCAGGCCUCAAAUGGAGUUUUUUGAAUCAAUGUCUUGGUUGGUAGCCUAUUUUGAAGGUAGACAUCAGUGUUAACUACCUCAGCCCAAAGUGUCUUGGGAAAAUUCCUUUCAAACAUUAGACACACCUGGCCAUAUCCAUUAGAGUUUGAUUCUUCCUCUCACUAACACCAUUUUGCAGAGGUGUGUAAGUGUUUGUGAAUUGGUGCUUGAUGCCAGCUUCAUUACAAAAGCCUUAAAACAUUGUUGAAGUGUACUUUGUGCCAUUAUCUGACCUUAAUGUCUUCAGCUUGCACCUUGAUUCUGUUUCUGUUGCAACCUUGAAUUUCCAAAACACUGAGGCUACUCCUGACUUGUGCUUUAAGAAGUAAACCAAGCAAAACCUUGAGUAAUCAUCAAUGAAAAUGAUGAAAUGCUUGCUACCAUUCAAAGACUGUGUCUUCAUAGGGCCACACACAUCUGUGUGGACUAGCUGCAGCUUUUCUAAGGCUCUCCAUGCCUUGUUCAAAUGGAAUGGCUGUCUAGUUUGUUUUCAUAGCUGACACACUCCACAAACAUCCUCAUUUUCAACUAAUUUUGUGAAGUUUUCAAUCGAGUUUCUUUUGGUCAGCUGAACCAUUGACUUGUAGUUGACAUGGCCUAGCCUCUUGUGCCACAGCUUGGAUUCAUCCAAAAUAGCUGUAUAGGCACUAUCUGAACCCUUGUUUCAGUCCACAAUAAAACUUCUGUCAGCCAUGGUCACUAACAUGAGUUUCGAUCCACAUGGAUCACUGAUCAGGCAUUCUUUGCCUUUGAACACUACUAAAUAGCCUUUUUCUAGCAACUGAGCUAUACUGAGCAAAUUUCUGUCAAUUUCAGGCAAAAAAAGACAUUUGAAAUAAGUUUGAUACCUGUGGGGGUGUCAAUCAACACAUCUUAUUUGCCUUCUAAUUUGAUGAAGUGCCUAUUGCCAACUUUCACCCUUGUUUUGAAGCUUCUAUCAAUGUUCUUAAAAAUAGGAGCAUUAGGAGUCAUGUGGUUUGUGCAACCACUAUCUAUCAGCCAUCCUUUUGUGGCUUUUCCUUUGGCAUCUGAGCAAGAGACUAUAAAGACUUGCUCUCCUGGUCACUACCUUCUUCUGCCACUUGAGCUUCAGCUCUUGGCUAUUGAGGUUGGUUUUGUCUCAACUUGCCUUUGUUUUUGCAAACUUUCUCUGCAUGGCACAUCUUUUUGCAGACUUUACACUGUACAUCAGGCUUAAACCAACAAUUUUCUCCUGGAUGACUGAGCCUUUUGCAAUGUGGGCAAGGUGGAUAUCUCCUUCUUGCUCCAUCUUUUCUUGGCUUGUCAGACUAGACCUUUCUCUCGUUGUAGCUAGAGGAGCUCAAGGCAGGUCUGCUCUUGGCUUGAAAGGUAUCUUCUUGAUGCUCCUCUUGUCUGCUAGCUCUUCUUUGCUCCCGAGCAUAAAGAACAAUGAUUAGCUCAGUCAAAGAGAUGCUUGUAAGAUCUUUUGAAGUUUCAAGGGAUGAGAUCUUGGCUUCAUAUCUCUCAGGUAAGGUUGCAAUGACAUUUUCCACUAUUAUUGCUUCACUAAACUAGUCCUCAAGCAAUGUAAUACUGUUUAUAAUAGACAUAAUUUUGUCUGAGUAUUGUUUCACUGUUUCUUCUUCAUUCAUCUUUAAAUUUUCAAAGUCCCUUAUCAAAUUCAAGAGUUGUUGCUGUCUUAUUCUUUCAGCCCCUUGAAACUCUUCUUUCAGCCUAUCCCAGGCCUGCUUUGGUGACUCACAAGCCAUGAUCCUUGUGAAAAUCACAUCAGACACACUAUUUUGGAUGCAAGACAUGGCCUUGUGUCUCUUAGUUCUUUCAUCUAUGUGUUACCUGAUCUGAGCCACUGUGGGAUUGACUCUUAGAGGUGCUGGUUCAACAUUAGAGUUAACAACCUCCCACAAGUUGAAUGCCUGCAUGUAUAUCUUCAAUUUCACUACCCAAAUGUGGCAGUCUUCACCAUUGAACACUGGUGGUGGAGCUGGAGAGAAUCCGGAUGAAGACAUGAUUUUUAGACUUGAAGAAUGACAAGUCCACUAAGAAAUAGGCUCUUGAUACCAAUUGUUGGAAAUAAGAAAACAGAAUGAAAGAUGUCACAUAAGCUUAAGCAUGAAGCAUUGAUGCCUUGCUGAACAAACAAGAAAAUUUAGCUUAAGAACUUGAGUAAAAACUAGAAAUUGAAGAAGAAUUUUUGAAAAAUUUUAUUACGUUGAAUUAAGGCAUAAUGCCAUUACAUAUACCAAGCAUUUUAGCUGGUCAAAAUAAUACAAAGUUACCUAAACAUCUACCUAACUCCACUGAGUAGCAUUGUAACUUGUUAAACAAAACUUGUACACUUGGUAAAACUGAUUUAUCAGCUCAAACAUUACCUAAUUAAAUCAAGUACAAUGACAACUUAGUUCAAAUCAAACUAAGUAAUAAAACGAAUACUUGAAGUAAGCAAAAUGAAUCAGCAGCAUGAGCUUCAACUGUAACUACUUGGCUCGGGCAGCUUCUGUUGCAUCUUGUCUGCAUGCAGGCCAGCUUCAACAGUUUUCAACACCCUUCUAAUGCCUUCAUUAAAAAUGUGGAGAUCAGUACUGAUGUUAAAAAGGGUCGAAAAGUAACCGAGUACUCCAUGAAGAAAUCCUACUUCUAAUCUUAUCGCGAAGGCUAGGAAAAGCUCGCUUUUUGUUUCUGCCUACAAUGCAAGGACGUCCCAAGUACCUUUCUAAAUUAUUUGCAUAAGGGACUCCAAGGAUAUGACCUACAUCCGAUCGAUUACUCUCAUCAACGUUCGCAUUAAAAAAUACAUUGGACUUUGUGAAAUUUACAAGUUGCCCUGAAUAAUUAGCAUAAAACUGUAAAACCUUCAUUAGAUUCGAAGCUCCUAUAGUCUUGGCCUCUCCAAAAAUGAGGCUAUCAUCUGUAAACGAAAGAUGUGUAAUCCAAGGAGCACCCUCGGUAAUCCUCGCACUGACCACCUUCAUGUUAAGAUCCGCCAUACAUAAUAAUACCGAGAGACCUGAUAAGCCAUAAAAGUAACAUAUUUUUAAUCUUACUCUUGAUGCAUUUUUGGAUGAUUUAUUAUGUAAAGUAGUGAAUUUGAUGCUCCUAAUCCUUUAAAUUCAUGUUCAUAUACUUAGGUGAGCAUAGGGGAGUGAAAGGAGUGAAAAAUAAGCUAAAAUCAGAAAAAAAGAGCUGUUUUCAGGAUCCACAUGGCUUGGGCAUUUCCAGAUGAGCUGGGCACACGCUCGUGUGAGACACAUGGGUUGGCCACACGCCUAUGUGCCUGCCCGUGUCAAUUUCGCACCCUGCUUCUCUUUUACAUGGAAAAAUCUAAUUUUUAGGCUUUCUGAACAUUAUAAAGUCUAUAAAUACCAAUUACAAGAAGACAUAAUGGGGCAAUCAGGGAAGAUCGGAGAAAACACUCGAAGAAAGCCAUUGGAAUCAACUCGGAAGCGGAUCUCCCUCAAGAUCGAAGAUCUGCAUUUAAUUUCUUUCGAAGUUUUAUUGAGUUUCUUUAUGUCUUGUGGAUAUCCUAACUUUGAGAUGUUCCUAUUUAGGAUUAUGAACUAAAUUCCCUAGAUACCUAGGGAGGAUGAAACCUAUGAUAAAUCUUAUUAUUUAAUUUUUGUUUUUACGCGAUAAAUAAUUGAUUCUUGUUCUAAAUUAUGUAUGCUUAUUUUGUGUUUUAAUAUUUUUGGGAUAUUAAUUCAUGUUUAAUGUGCUUAUUUCAGUGGAGCAAAAGCCUCUGUUUAAGAGUAGAUCUAGCAUAAUUGAGUGGAGUUGCAUGCAAUCUUAGAAAUAGGAUGACAUAAAUUUAUUGGAUUAGAGUCAAAUCUAAUAGGGGAAUCCAUAGAUCGAGUUAAUGCGACGAUAGGGGUUUUAAUUAGAAAGAUAUUUCAAUUAAUAAACUUAGAGUCAGUUGUUCUUACUCUUGAAAGAGAUAUUAACAUAAUUUAGGGAUUUAUAUGGAUCAAGACACAAGUGAAUAACUUGUUUAAUUCAGAUUCAGAAUAAUAGGUGAAGUCUAGGUGGAUUCUUUCUUGGGUAUUGUCUUUCUCAUUGGUUAUCUUCGAUUAUUUUCCUAUUUCAUUCUCUGUUGCGUUCUUCGUUAAAUUAGAUUAGUAAAUUUAGAUUAAAAACAAUCACUCCAAUUUAUCGGCUAAAUAAUAGAAAAACGAUAAUUACUAGUACUUUUAAUCCUCGUGGAUAUGAUAUUCCCUACUCACCAUAGCUAUACUAUUGUUCGAUAGGUGCGCUUGCCUUUGUCGUAAUUAUAGUUAGUUUAGUGACCAUCAAGACCUUCCCCUUGCCUGAUCCCUCGAGUUAGAAAAAGUUGUUCAUCCACCCCACCAUUCGUCACCACAGAAUAACUGAACAAGGUAACAAAUCGCAUUAUUCGAUCAACCCAAACAUUUGAAAAACUCAUUUUGAGGAGCAUUACCUUAAUAAAUCACCAUUCUACAUGAUCGUAAGCUUUGCUCAUGUCAAGCUUAAGCGCAAACGUCCCAUGCCUACCAAAACGCCUAUUUUUCAGAGUAUGCAGAAUUUCAUAAGCAACCACAAUAUUGUCAGAAAUAAAAUGCCCUGGUACAAUGGCACUCUGAGCUUCAUCUAUACAGAAAUGGAGCACUUCUUGAAACCUAUUAACCAAAGCUUUCGAGGCAAUUUUGUAUAUAACGUUACAAAGACUGAUGGGUGGAAAAUUCAUCAUAUUGCAUGGUUCUUUACUUUAGGUAUCAAUGUUUCAAAUCAUAAAAAAAUAUUUUAUUAAUAAUUUAUCAAAAAUUAAUCAAUUUAAAUAAUUUCAAUAUGAUGUAUUUUUUAUAGCAUAUAUAGGAAGUAACAUGAAAGAAAUAUUUAAUGUCUUAAAAAAAGAAAUAUUUAGUAUUACUUUGUAAGUAAAUAAUUAAAACACACUAAUAAUAAAAAAUAAAAAUCAAAGGAACUAAUAUAAUAAUGUAUAAGGAAAAAUUCUUAAUUUUAAUGAAUGUACAAAUAAAAUAUAGAGGACUAAUUAUGUAAUAUCAAAAAGUGAAAUACCUUAAAAAAUAUAAAUGUGAAGGGAUUUAUGUUGCAUAUAUAUCCUUUUCUAUUUCUUUUAAAUACAAAAAUUUAAAAGUUAGAAUUACAAAAAUACAUCGACUAUAAUGAAGAUAGAAAUUAAGGUUACAAAAUACCUUAAAUAUAACUUGGCUUCUUCUUCUUCUUGGAUUUAAAUAAUGUAAAAAAAAUGUUAGAAAAUUAUAAAUUGGUAACUCCUAUAAAUUUUAAAUAUAAAGUUUUGUAAAAUAUAAAUUAAAAUUUGGGGUUAAAAUUUUUUUUGCUUCACCACUAUUGAGUAUGAUUUAAAUUUUUCCAUUCAUAUUUCUAAAUAUACAUUUACUUCCAUCAACAUUUUUCUUUUUGGCGAGUAAUAAUAUGAGAUAACUAUAUUAAAUUGAAAUGAACAAAAGCAAAGAAGUCUUGUCUAGCGCAAGAAUGUCAAUUAACUCUCUAGGCACAUCUUCAACCACUUGCAUGCUCUCCUUCUCAUCGGAAGACAUUUUGGCUAUAAGAUAAGUGACUUGAUUGCUCUCCUUAGGCACAUGCCUUAUCGCCCAAUGAUCUCUACUCUGUAACACUUGUUGAAUUCGUUAAAGCAAAGUCGAAUUUGAAGACAUAAAGUAACUUUCUUAAAUAGCUUUAACUACCUCCAAACAACCUAUUCGAACCAAAACCUUAUCAUGCUUUUUAACAAGCUAUCUUAUUUUAAUGUUUCAAAAUGUUACAAAUACUUAGAUUAUGUAUUGGAAUAAUAAUAUGUUAAACAGAAUUAGUAUUAUUUUGGAAAGUAAUUUUCUAAUAGUUGUAUGCAGUCAAUAUUAACGAUGUUUCUAAGCUUAAUUUAAACUUAAAAUUUGGAGUAAAAGUGAAAUUUAUAACCUUUUCUCUAAUCUAAUUUAUUUUAGUUAGUAAUUUAUUUAAAUAUGAUUCAAAAUUUACAGAUGCAAUAAUUAUUGUAUGGUUUAAAUGGUGUACCAAUCAGAAGAUUAAAACGCUAUAUGAAUUUACAUAGUUAUUUAAAUAAAUACCACAUGUUUCAUUUGUUCAAGGAAAAUUUUCAAUUUUAAAAAAGAUUAAAUAAAAAAAAUCAUUUUAAGAGGAUUGGAGCUCCAGUCAAUUCUCUCGGCUCCGCCCCUAUGUCUCAAGCUCUAACAAAAUUUGGUACCAUAUAUCCUAGUGCCAAUCACUUGGCCUUAGAAAAUCAUUUGUAAGGCAACAUAUUGAAUCAAAAUAAUUAAAAGUUGGUAUAUUUUCCUACAAAUGAUCAAUAUGCAUGGUGUUACUUUCCUUUUUAGUUUGAGAUCCUUUGGUGUUUAGUUUCAAUUAAAUUUAGAAUUCUUUAUCGGGUUUCAAUUAAAUUUAGGUCUCAACACUAUAUUCUAUAUCCACAAAACUAAACUCGAAAUCUUAGUUAAGGAACAUUGAACUCAGGGUGGUGCCAGGGAUGCUAACAAAGGGUUCGUUCGCCUACUUUUCCCUCCCAAAAAUAUAUAGUGACUUCUAAAAAUAUUGAAAUUUUGAUUUAAUCCUUUAAAAUUAUAAAGAUAUAAGUUAUUAAAAUGGUGAAAUUACAUUUCACCUCUCACAAAAAUAUAUAACUUAAUUCCAAUCCCUAGAAAAAUUUUCUGACUUCCCCUGAUUAAACUUCUUAUCACUCAGUCCAACAUCUGUAGCUAAGCAAAUAUUCUUAUUUGUAAGAUCCGUAUAACAAAGGGAUAAAUAUUAAAACUACACAUAAAAUUUGAUCAAAUGUGCAAUUUGAUACAUGAACUUUGAUUUGAUGCAAUUAUACACAUCAAACUUUGAUUAUGAUUCAAAUGUGUACAUCAAACAUUUAAAGAAAUAAAUACAUUACUUUAUUUUUUGUAUUAGAUAAAUUAAAUUAUUUAUGUGUAUAAUAUAAAAUACAAAAUUAUAUUAUAUCGAUAAUUGCAUUAAUAAUUUAUAAAAUUUAAAUAAAAAAGUUUUCAUAUAUGAAAUCAUAAUUUUUAGAUUUAUCCCUAUAGCAAACAACUCCCAAGUUGUGGGACAUAUAAGCCAUGCAUGCGUCAUAUCAAACGUACAAAAAACUUCUAAAGAUUGGGAAAUACUAAGUCAAUGUGUCUGUGUGCUGAAAGAAUGUUGAAUUCAACUAUAAUUCUACAAAUAAUGCACUUGUAAGUCAAUAAUAUAAAUAAAUGAACAUGAAAUUACUUUAUCAUGUCAUACUCUAUGAUUUUCUGACAGGAACUUUAUCUUCCACCUUCUGUGCUUGGCAAAUUAAGAAAGACCAACUUAAGCUCCAAGCAAGUCUAGUGGGUCCUGAUCUGUAUAGUAUUCUAAUACUUUAAAUUAUACAUUUAAUUGAUUUUAGUAGUUAAAUUUUAUUAUUAGAUUGAUUUUAUGUGUAAGUUGCAACUCUAUUUUUUAGAUUGAUUUUUUUUUAAUCUUGAAAAUUUUUAGAUUUUAAAAUUCAAUCCUAACUCAAACGAAAGUAGUUAAAUUCAUUAAGUAAUAUAAUACCACUUUUGUGAGUAUUAUUUGUAAUUAAAAAGUUAAUAUAAUAAUAUAUUUAUUGUACAAUAUCUUAAAAAUAAUGAAUCUAACUGCUACCAUUUGAGUUACAUAUAAUUUAAAGAAUUUAAUUAUUUUAUAAAUCAAAAUAUAGUAUCGGUGCCCCUAAUCCUAUGAUAAAAAAAUUAUAUUAAAAUGAAGUCUUAGGUCCAGAAUUCAAUGUUUGGGACAUCCUAUACCCUGAUUGUAUUUGUGUGAACAUGGUGGCACAUGAGUUGAUUUUUUGGUACUCCAAUGGAAGAAAGAGCCAACAAAAAUAUAGAAAAUUAAGAGUAAUUGACGCUUCCAGAAGAUUUCCGUAAGUCAAAAUGAGAUUACCUAUGUACAAAGAAAAUUGAGAUGUAGAUCACUGGAUGUAAAUAUUUGAGGCUGUCAUGAAACAUCAUUACACCAUAUCAAAAUCAGACCCUAAGAAAGAGUCAAUUUCUGUAGAAGGUCCCUACCCUAUAUAUAUUUUGUGAAUUUAGUCCUUUCAUAUAAUUCGGUAUUUUUAAUCUCUCCUCUUUCUGGAAAUUACAAAUUCAAUUCAUAGAGAUGGAAACUAAAAUUGGUUAUACAAAUCAAAAAAUCUUUUUACGUCUAUGAGACUUUACCCAAAAUCUAAUUUAUUAUUAAUAUGCAGUGUAAGAUGUGAUUUAAGUUCAACUUUCUCACUAAAUUAUAACGUCGCUCCUAUGUGUUAAUAUAAGAUCAUUUUCCCCACUAAGACUUUCCCAUGAAAUCUUAGCUUCAAACUGAAAAAAAUUCAAUAUUCUACAAUAUUCAUAAAUCAGACAUGCUAGAAGUAUUAAUUUCCAUGAACAGGGUGACAUGCUAGUUGAAUACAAUAUUCUAAUACAAAAUAGGUAGUGAUUAGUGCUUGAAGAAAAUUCAAAUCUUGAUGUAAACAUUUGCAGCUGCCUUGAAAUAUCAUUACAUCAUAUCAAAAUCAGACUGUUUCUUUAACAGAAAAAAAAAUUGAGUUGAGUUAAAUAUCAUUCAUAAAUCAUAGCGUCUCUUCCAAGUUCUGGGAAGAGAUUAUGGGAAAAACUAUUAGCUGCUCUGUUUUACUAGCUUUAAUAUCUUGCUUUUACUUACUAUUUGCCACUGCUUCACACACUAUAACAGCAUCAAAAUCCAUCAAAGACCCUGAUGUUAUAAUCUCCCAGAAUGGUGUUUUCCGAUUGGGAUUCUUUGUUGGAGAAUAAAACGUGAGAGAGAUAAAAUAAUAUGUAAGAAAGUUACUCUCUUAUUAAUGAAUUCUGGAUGAGUAAAAACAAAGAAUAAAUGCCUAUAUUUAUAGGCUUACAUGGAAACUAACUUAACAUAAAAAUAGCUAACAAAUUAUUUGGUCAAGCUAAAAAAUCUGAAACUACCAAGAUAUUACCAAGAUUUUCUAAACAUCCCACUAAUAUGUUAUUUUGAAUUAUUCUCAACACUCCCCCUUAAUUCAAAGUUGCAGACACCAAGUAAACUUCUAAAAUAGCAAAACUUCUCUUUUGAUAAUGCUUUUGUUAACAUAUCUGCCAGCUGCUCUUCAGUGUUGCAAUAUUCCAAAGAUAUCUCAUCUUUUGCUACCAAAUCACGAAUAAAAUGAUAACGAAUAUCUAUGUGCUUUGUUCUACUAUGAAAUGUUGGAUUCUUUGUCAUGGAGAUAGUGGAUUUGUUGUCACAAACUAUGGUAUUUGCACAUUUCUGCUCUUGUUGGAGAUCGGUUAACAUUCUCCUUAGCCAAAUGGCUUGACAAGCUGUUGCAGUUGCUGCUACAUAUUCAGCCUCUGAGGUUGGCAAUGCUGUUGUAGCUUGCUUCUUAGAACUCCAAGUGAUCACCCCAGAACCUAGAGUAAAAACAAAUGCUGAUACACUUCUUCUGUCAUCUAGAGAACUUGCUCAAUCACUAUCUGUGAACCCACAUGAUCUGAAAUAUGAAGUUUUUGAGUACCAAAUGCCAUACUCCAAAGUUCCAGCAAUGUAUCGCAAGACUCGUUUUGCUGCUCCAUAAUGAACCUUUGAAGGUUGCUGCAUAAACCUGGAACAGAAAAUGCAAUAUCGGGUCUAGUGUGAGUCAAAUAGAUUAAACCUCCAACCAUGCUUCUAAACCUCCUUGCAUCUAUCAUUUCUUCUCCAUCCUCUUGCUGCAAUUUUUCAUUGAUAUUCAUGGGUGUAGCUGCAGGCUUGCAAUUAAGCCUACUAAAUUUACUGAGAAGAUCCUUGGCUUAUUUCCUUUGUGAGAUAAAAAUUCCAUCGUUAGCUUGAUGAAUUUCAAGACCGAGGAAAUAAUGCAAUAAACCCAUAUCGGACAUCUCAAAUUCAUUCAUCAUUUGAGACUUAAAUUCAUCAACAAGUAAGUUAGAGAAACUAAUAUAAAUGAUUUCAGCAACCCACAGGUCCCAGGAUCGAAACCUGGUUCUGAUACCAAAUUUGUUAGAGAAUAAAACGUGAGAGAGAUAAAAUAAUAUGUAGAAAAGUUACUCUCUUAUUAAUGAAUUCUAGAUGAGUAAAAACAAAUAAUAAAUGCCUAUAUUUACAGGCUUACAUGGAAAAUAACUUAACAUAAAAAUAGCUAACAAAUUAUUUGGUCAACCUAAAAAAUCUGAAACUACCAAGAUACUACCAAGAUUUUCUAAACAUCCCACUAAUAUGUUAUUUUGAAUUAUUCUCAACAUUCUUCAGCUUGGCUAACUCCAGCAAUCGUUAUGUAGGGAUAUUGUACCAUCAAAUCCCCCUACAAACUGUUGUAGGGUGGCAAAUAGAAACAGGCCUCUCAAAGACUUUUCUGGGAUUCUCACCAUAUCAGAUGAUGGCAACCUUGUUGUUUCCAAUGGAAAAGCUGAGAUUCUUUGGUCAACAAAUGUAACGAAUUUGGUUCCUAAUGCAACAACUGCACAGCUUUUAGACUCCGGAAACCUUGUCCUUAAUAACGGUGAGAAUGGAGGAAGCAGCAUCUUAUGGGAGAGUUUUCAACAUCCUUCUAAUGUAUUCCUUCAAACUAUGAAGAUCAGCACUGAUGUAAAAACGGGUCGUAAGGUGCAGACGAGAUCAGGGAAAAGCCCUGAUGACCCAUCUGAUGGCAACUUUGUUCAAGGCAUUGAACCUUUCAGCAUCCCGGAGGGUGUCAUUUGGAACAAUAACCAGAUAUAUUUUCGGACCGGCCCAUGGAAUGGGUCGUAUCUAUAUUGGUUUAAUAAAUGUUAAUAGAGUUUAUUUUGAUGGGUUUUAUGUGGUUGCAGAUGAUGUAGAAAAAACUUAUUACGAAACUUACGAAUAUUCUACUGACUCUAGGGUGAUAUACUAUGAAUUAGAGUCUAACGGAAGAUACGUUGAACGAAUAUGGGAUGCGGGGAAAGGGGACUGGAUAAACGGGUACUCUAGUUAUCUAACAGAUUGUGAUGUUUAUGGAAAGUGUGGGGCAUUUGGAAUCUGCGAUUCAACGAAACGACCCAUUUGCAGUUGUUUGAAAGGAUUUAAGCCUAGGAAUAUAGAGGAAUGGAGUAGAGAUAAUUGGAGUAGUGGGUGUUUUAGGACUAGCCCUUUGCACUGCCAAAGAGAUAACAACAAUGGAAGUGAAGCAGGCCAAGGAGAUGAUGGAUUUUUAAAGCUGAAGAAGAUGAAAGUGCCAGCAUUUCCAGACCAGUCAUCAAUAACUAACGGCGAAUGCAAAGAUCAAUGCAUGAAGAAUUGCUCGUGUGUGGCUUGUGCGUAUGAUGCUGGCAUUGGUUGCAUGUUACGGAGUGGAGAUUUGAUUGAUGUCCAGAAAUUCUCUAAUCGGGGAGUCGAUCUUUACAUUCGUCUGCCAUCUUCGGAACUUGGUAAACUUGUCUUCCAUAUCGACCAUGUGUGUGACGAAUUGCAUCAAUUAAUCUUCAUUUUUGGUAUAGAUGUUUUAUUAACCAUGUUUCUGGAUUUGCAGAUAAAUGGAAUUGUGAGAUAAUUGUUAUUACAACAGUAAUUUCAGGCAUGGUGGUGAUUAUAAUAAUUUCUGCACUCUUCUUAUUGCGUAGAAUGGGUCAACAAAGAGGUAAAAUGUCCAUCUUUAUUUAUUUAAUUUUUGUAGUCACUUUCUUUUAAGAAAUAUGUAAAUUCUUUAAGAGUUCUCUUCGGGUAAAAUUGGAUUUAAAGGUAUUUUUUACUCGAUUUAAAUUUAAAUUUUAGAUAAAAUAAAAUAGAAUUGAAAUAGAAUUGAGUCGAACUCGAAUACGGAGAAAAACUCUAAACUUGAUUGAGUACUAUUGUAAAAGUUCAAGGUCGAAUGCAAGUGAAAUUAAAUUAUUCAGUUUUGCUCCAUUAAUUACGUUUAUAUAAGUUAUAUAUUCGUAUUUGAUUAUAUAUAUAUAUAUAUAUAUUCAAGGUUGAAUUGCACUCAUUUCAGAUAUACUUUUAUAUUUAAAUAACGUGGACCAUGUGUUAGAUAAAUUGGGUGAAUUAAUUUGCAAUUCUUUUGGGUCGAAGUUUCAUAAACCAAGUUUCUGGAUUUGCAGAUAAAGGGAAAAGUAGUAAGGUCGUCUUUGUUAUUACAACAGUAACUGUGGGCAAUUAUGUAGCCUUCAACUCAUUGCUUCUUUGAUUUCCAUCACAGGAAGGAAUAAAAGACGGACACAUAUCAAAGACAAAUUUCAUAGUGAAAAUAUAGGAGAAAGUUCAAUCGGUGUUAAACUCCAGCAGCUUCCACUAUUCAAUUUCGAAGAACUUGCCACCGCGACCAACAACUUCCAUCCCCAAAAAAAGCUAGGGCAGGGUGGUUUUGGUCCGGUUUACAGGGUAAUAUAUAAUUGCGAUUUCCGGUUGUUAGGAUAAUCAUCACCGGCCCAAAGCCGGAUUAUAAUGAGCUCGUAGGCCAGGCUCGUUAGUCGAGAACUUUGUAGGAAAGCAAGUUCAACUUGCGAGCUCACUACAAUCUGACCUAAACUCAUUCGAAUUUUGAGCCGAUGAUGAUAAUUAUCCUAAAACUGGUGAAUCCAGAGUCAAUGAAAUGACAUUUUUUUUUCAAUCAAGUAUUGUAGUCUGAAUUUUGAGUGCAGGGAACAUUAGAUGACGGAAAGGAAAUAGCCGUGAAGAGAUUGUCGAAAGCUUCGGGGCAAGGUUUGGAAGAAUUUAUGAACGAAGUGGCGGUUAUUUCUAAGCUCCAACAUCGAAAUCUGGUAAAAUUGUUUGGGUGUUGUGUUGAAGCAGAAGAGAAGAUGCUCGUCUACGAGUUUAUGCCCAACAAAAGUUUGGACGCUUUUCUAUUCGGUUAGUAAUUUAUUCAAAUUUUAUAUGAUAUUUUGGGUCUCUAAUCAAAUUCAUAAUUCAGUUGAAUGGGAUCCCUUAAAAAAAUAAUGUUCUCCCAUAAAUGUUUUUUCCGUUCACAAAAUUUAAAUUUAGGUGUAGUGAUAUUUUGAUUCUCUUCACCGUUUAAUAUUUAUUUCAAUUUAUUGACAUGACUUCAAUUAUGUCUACAAUCAUAAUGAAUACAAUAUGGUAGAAAUACUAUGACGGUUGUAGUUUAGAUCCUCAAUUAUAGGAAUUCAUUAUUAAUUUAGUAGGUUUUUAUGUUUAAAUUUUGUUAUAGAUCCCGUUAAACAAAAACUCUUGGAUUGGAGAAAACGUUUUAAUAUUAUUGAAGGGAUCAGCCGAGGAUUGCUUUAUCUUCAUAGAGAUUCAAGAUUGAAAAUUAUACACAGAGAUCUAAAAGCAAGUAAUGUUUUACUUGACCAAGAGCUAAACCCAAAAAUUGCAGAUUUUGGGAUAGCCAGGAUCUUUGGAGGUGACGAAAAUCAAGCCAACACUAAAAGGGUUGUUGGAACUUAGUAAGUUGGAACUUCCUUCCUACCAUUUCUUUUUAUGCUCUUUUUAAUAAAAUAUGGUAUAAAUAUGUCUAUGGUCGGAUUUGAUGCUUAAAGAUGAUACAUGUCCAUACUUGUAUCGAGUUUAAUUUUAUUCAAUUUGUGGACUCAAUUUAUUGUUUUUAAUUUUGUAAAUAAAAUAUUAAAAAUAUAUUUUUAUAUUUUUGUAGUUAACUUUAAAUUAUUUAUUAUUUAUUCUUAAUUCAGGUUGACCCGUGGACAGGUUUAAAUAAGAGCUGUAAUUGGUGUUGUUUUUUUAUGUUAAAAUACAGUGGUUAUAUGUCUCCUCAGUAUGCAAUGCAUGGGCGAUUUUCAGAGAAAUCUGACGUGUUCAGCUAUGGAGUUCUACUACUGGAGAUUGUUGGUGGAAGAAGAAACACAAGCUUUUACAACAAGGAUGACCUUAGCCUCUUGGGAUAUGUAAGUUUAUAAGAUAGUUAGAGAUGUUGGUGGAUGGAAUUAGGGUGUAAGAUUUUGUAUUUGCGAGCUAUUCGGGUUCGGUUUGAGAAAACUUGAAUUUGGCUCAGUAAUUAUUGAGUCAAGCAAUCAUGUGAGUUGAAUUUGAGAAUCUUAAUACUUGAAUCGAUUAGCUCACAAGUGAAUUUCAAGAACCCUAAUACUUGAAUUGAGUAGCUUGCAAGGCUUUUCAAUCUUAAUUAAUAUUGAAAAUUUUCAGUUCAAAACUCAAGCUUAAUUACAAAUAAUCAAGUUUGAAUUUAUGCAUAGGAGUGAAGCUCAUUGUAGACUUAGAUAAAACAAGCAGAGUUCGAACACGUCAAUUAACUCUAUUAAAGCUUUAAGAUUAAAAAUUUGAGUCAAGUUAAGCCAAAUGAUUUAGGCAUUAAUUUAGAUAAAAUUGUUUACUGUUUCAGGUCAGGAAAUUAUGGAACGAAGGCAACAUUUGGGACUUAGUAGACAAGGUGAUUUCUGUAACAUCCCUUAUAGUAUCCAACACCGGAAUAGAGUACGAGGCACUACCAGAACACAUACACUUGUAAAUUUAACGUGGCAUAAUCUAGCCACUACUUGGCCAAAGCCUAAGCAUGUACACCAAAUAUGUUAGCCAAAUACACAUAUAGCAUAAACAUUAUAAGCAUGGAUGAGCACAACAUUUAUUCAUGUAUCACGCUUACCAACAUGUUUUAAUUCAUAAACCAUACAUGACAUUAAUUCAUGCCAAAUCAUAUACCGAAUAUACCAUACACACAUACUAUGAAACUUUAUUUUCACACAUUUGAAUAACAUUAGCUAUAAUUUCACUAUUCACUCACAUGUAUAUUCAAAGUUGUUUAUCCGAGUUAGAGUCACUAAAUUAUUUUUAUCUGGAGCUACAGAGCUCCAAAUUAAGAUCCGUUAAUUUUCCAUAAAACUAGACUCACAUAUAUUCUUACCAUAAAACUUUCAGAAUUUUUGGUUCAGCCAAAUAGUACAUUUUAUUCUUUAAAGUUUCCCCUGUUUCGCUGUCUGGCAGUUCCGACCACUCUUCACUAAAAAUGAAUUAUAUAAUUGUACAGAAUUUGGAUAAUGUUUUUGUUUAUUUAUUUUGAAGAUAGACUCAUUAAGGAUUCUAAGCAUAUAAAUUAUAACUCAUAAUUAUUUUUCUUCAAUUUUUGAUGAUUUUCCAAAAUCAGAACAGGGGAACCCGAAAUCAUUCUGACAUUGUCUCACAAAACUUAUUAUAACUCAUAAUUUACAAUUCCAUUACUUACACCGUUUCUUCUAUAAGAAACUAGGCUCAAUAAGAUUUAAUUUAAUAUUUUAUUCACCCUCUAAUUCAAUUCCCAAAAUUUUGGUGAUUUUUUAAAAUUAAACCACUGCUGCUGUCCAAAACUGUUUUAGUGUAAAAUGUUGAUUUCCAUUUUGCCCCAAAUUUCACAGUUCAUACAAAUCAGUCCUUGCUCAAUUAACCCCUCAAUUAAGCUAAAAUUUCUCAAUUAGUACUUUAGCUAGACAUUAUAAAUUAUUUCACAACUAUUGAAAUUCAUAAUUUCCACAUAAAACUCUAACUUCAAACUCUUUUACUAUUAGGUCCCAAACAUUCACUUUCUAUUCAAUUCUUUCAAUAAAAUCAGCAUAUGAAAAAUUUAAAGCAAAUAAUCAAGAAUUGAACUUACCUGAAGUAAAAAUAGGAACAACCAGCUUAAGGAAACCCUUCUAUGGUGUUUUUGCUGAUGAGAAUGCAGAAAAAUAAAGAGAAAUCUAGAUAAUUCCACUUUGGUCCUAACUUUAUUAAGUAAAUUUUGCAAUAUUCCAAUUUUGCCCUUAAUUCUCCUUACUUUGUUGCUGAUUUCAUGCCCUUGCCGUCCAGCCCAAAUAGACCUUGGGUCUAUUUGCCUUUUAAGCCCUCUUCCUUUUAUCAUUUAAGCUAUUUAAUCAUUUCCCAUAAUUUUGCAUUUGUUACAAUUUAGUCCUUUUUGUUCAAUUAAUUAUCGGAACUUUAAAAUUUCUUAACAAAACUUUAAUACUAACUUUUUAACACUCCAUAAAUAUUUAUAAAAAUAUUUAUGGCUCGGUUUAAAAUCCCCGAGGUCUCGAUACCUCAUUUUCGAUUCUAAUUAUUUUAAUAUUUAUUUCUAGUGCACUAUUCACUAUUUCAAAAAUUUUCCUAACUUCACAUUUAAUUUAUACUCACUAAAUUAAUAAUAUUUUCUACCCAUUUGUCGAAUUUAGUGAUCUCGAAUCACCGUUCCGACACCUCUGAAAAUUCAGGCUAUUACAUUUUUUUCUCGUCGGAUUUGUGGUCCCAAAACCACUGUUCCGACUAGACCCAAAAUCAGGCUGUUACAAUUUCAAAGUCAGAAUAAAAUUUAAAGAAUAAGAAAGAAAUAUGGAGAUGCAUACAUGUUGGAUUGCUAUGCGUUCAAGAAUAUGCUAAAGAUAGGCCUACUAUGUCUACUAUUGUUUCAAUGCUUAACAGUGAGAUUUCAGAUCUUAACACUCCAAAACAACCUGCUUUCACUCAAGCACUAUUAAUUAGCAAUGAUUUUGAAGAUUGUAUUUCAUUUAAUGAUGUAACUCUGACGGGCUUUGAUGGUCGAUAAAAAUACAAAUUAAUUAUUUGUAGUGUUUACAAUUAAAGUUCAAGCAGUAAAAUUUAUUUUUUAUAUUAUGUUUUGAUAUGUUUUUAUCAUUUUAUUUUGAUCAUAAUUGUCAUUUUAUUUGUUCCAUUCUAGAGUGAAUUUACCAUUAUAUUUAAACACGGUAACUUUGCCCCAAACUUGAAAACUCGAUUUUAUCAAAUCCAAACUUAAACUUGACCUAACUUGAGUUGAAUAUAAAAGAUCAACAAUUUAAACCCGUUCACCUUAAACUCAAAAAUGAUCUAAAACCUAGAAUGAUUUGAAUUUAAAGUGACCAAAUACAAAAUUUCUUAAAUACAUAACUCGAAAUGUUCUAAGCCUAAUAUGACCUAACUUGAAAAACCCAACUUACAAUAGCUUCAACCUAAACUAAUUCAAAUUCAAAAUUAUUCAAAAAAUUUAAAAUUCGAAUUUAGUUCAUUCAAAACCAGUCCAAAAUAGAUUCAAUUAUACUUUAUGUCACUAUUUGUGAUGAUUAUCACUUUUGUUUAUUGAAUUUUGCGGGGUAAAAAAGCUUAUGAAGUUUUAAAAAAAAUUAUUAAGUCAAUCGAUAAAAAAUGCAUUCAAUUAUACUCUUAAAUUUGAAAAUUGUAUCAAUUAAGCUAUUUAGUCAAUGAAAUCCGUCCUUGAUCUUUAAUUUUGUUAGAAGUUGCUGAUGUAGUAGUUAAUAAUGGUCAAAGCAUUCAUUUUCUUUCAAGCGCAGUCCAAAGUAGUAGAUAAUGUGUCAACUUAACGACAUGGGAAUUGGAGAAUAAAUUUAAAGAGAUUAUUAAUUAAACUUAAUGAUAGUUUGUCAAAUCAUUAGUUUUCUUCCAAGUCGCAAGCACGAGCGAUCGGUACAUCCAAACCUAAUCAUAAAGAAAACAUAGAAUUAGUUAAAGUCAAUCCUCAAUAAUAGCACCAAAUUUUGAUGGGUGUCAUCCACCAAAAAUAAAAUAUCUACUCCUAAAAUUGAAAGGAAGUAAGGUCAAUCCCAUAGAAAUUGAUCUAAUUAAAUCUGAAUUUUGUUAUAACUAGAAUGUGUCGUAGGCAGUUUUCAUUUCCACAACUCAUGCCAAUAUGUAUGAAACAGAGAGGGAGAUUAAAUUGAAAUAUAAAAUAAAUAAUAAGAAAAUAAAUAUAGUACAAGAUUAAACAUUUCUAUCUUUCAGCAUUAGACCUCAAAGUUUUUAUCCCUUACAAUUAAAUCUCUAACAACUAGACCUGUUUAUGGGUUGAGUCACCCAGUCUGGCCCAAAAAGUGGGAGGGUUUGGGCAAAAUAAAGACCCAAAAAAUGAGUUUGAGCAAAAAUUAAGGCCAGUUUAAAAAAUGAGUUGGGCUUUGAGUAAAGCAUUUUUUACCCGAGUUUGGCCCGGCCUGAAUUCACAGAAGAACAAAAAAGCUACUAAUUUUUGUUAUUUUAAUGCUAUUUUCUUGUUAUUUUCUUCCUAUUUUGCUACCAUUUCACUAUUAUGUUACUACUAUUUUGUUGUUAUUGUUUGGAUAUUGUAUAACACUUGUUUUAUUAUUACUUUUUAUUAUUAUUAUUUUAGAGGCAUUUGCUUGUUAAGUUGUAUUUAUCUUAGUGUUAUUUAAGGAUAUAUACAUGUUUUUUAAAGUUUAUUAAUUUUAAUGUUUUAGUAUUUUGAUAUAUUAUAUAUUUAAAAAUUAUAUAAAAAUUUAAUACGGGUGAGUCAGACCUAAGUUUUAGUAUUUUUAUCCGAACUGGGUCUAGAUAAAAUCUUGAUAUAGGGGUGAGUAUUUGAUCGAAUCAAGUGAAAAAAUUUUGAGUUUAUGAGUCAUAUUUUAUCAUCCUAACUAAAUUUGAAAUUUUUUUCGAAUUGAGUUGAGUGAAAUGAAAUUCGAGUCAAGUCGAAUCGAAUCGAAUCGAGUGAAAUUGUUCAAAUUAAAUUAAAAAAAAUUAAACAUUUCAAAUAAAAAUAUUAUUACAGUAUAACUAAUUCCAUAUUAGAGCACAUAAAUUUGAAUUUUUUUUCGAAGCAAAAAAAAAAAAAAGAAGAAAGAAAGAUACUUGAGUAUGAUAAAUUUGAAUCAUUACUUAAGUCUCCAAGAUUAUUGUUUUAGAAUAUUUUUAAAAUAUUAACUCUUUUUAUAUAUUUUUAGAAUUUUUUAAAAAUAUAUAAUUUUUGAAGUUUUUAUAAAUAUUUUGAAUUUUAUUUGUAAUUUUUGUUGAGGGAGAGACCAAUUUGCUUAUUUUCAAAAUUGACAAGAACCAAAAUGAUGUUUAUACCAAUCUGUUAUUUGAAUUAUUGGAGUUAUACGAAUUGUGAGAUUCAACUCGACUGGAACUCGAAAUCAAAUUGAGUUAUUCGAGUUAACUCGAAUAAUUCAAAUAACUCGAAAUUAAAAAAUAAUUCGAUUUUUUUCCAAUCGAAUCGAAUUUUGCUCACACCUAAAAAGAUAGAAAAAAAUAAGUCAUAACUUGAUUCACGAACAUGUCUGAUGUAACUAUAUUCCAAGAUUUAAAUAGUAGCAGCAAUGUAAAAUUUAGACUCUUUUCAUUGUUCAAUAUUUAUUUCAAUUAAUCGACAUAACAUCAGUUACAUCUACAAUCACUAAGGUAGAAAACACAACAAUAAUUGUAGUUUAGAUUCACUAUUAUAGGAAUUACUGUUAAUCUUGGAGGUCUCCAUGUUUAAUUUUUAUAUAAUAUAUUCCGUUGGACCCAGCCAAGCACCCAAAAAGGAAGCAUUCCUCCCCUCGAUCGUUUGGAUUUUCUAAUACAUGUUUAAUCACUAUUAAUAAGUUAAUUUUAAAAUUUUCACGUUUAAUAGAUAGAUUUUACAUAUAUCUUACACAUUUAAAUAACGAUAAUCGUUAUAUUAGAUAUUAAUAAAUGAAAAAUGGAACAGAUAUUAACUCAUAUACACAUCGAAAACGCUCUUCCAUUUCUAGCCAAUUUCCAUCAAUGCAUUGGAUUAUAUGACUACUUAAAUUUUACUUUGAAGAUUAGCGAUGAUUUUGAAGAUUGUGUUUCAUUUAAUGAUGUAACUCUGACGGGCUUUGAUGGUCGAUAAAGAUACAAAUUAAUUAUUUGAAGUGUUUACAAUUAAAGUUCAAGCAG
rnacentral:lncRNA from 1 species